rnacentral:lncRNA from 1 species
UGGUGGAAAGUUGCAUGGCAAUAUAUCGCGGAAUGGCUAUGGAAAUGCCAUAAUAGGUAGGUAUGGUGGCUGUUUUGAGGAAGGUAUAUGGUGGGUGUAUGGUAUCGGCGAAAGUUGCACGGCAUAAGAGAGGCUAGCAUGGUGGAAGGGUGAGAGUGUGUAUAAUCCAUGGACUCAACAUUAGUCAUAAAGAACUCAUAUACUUGUUGCAAAAAUCUACAAGCCAUUGAAAACAAAGUACUACAUGCAUGCUCCUAGGGGGAUAGAUUGGUAGGAAAAGACCAUCGCACGUCCCCGACCGCCACUCAUAAGACAAUCAAUAAAUAAAUUAUGCUCCAACUUCAUCACAAAGCGGUUCACCAUAUGUGCAUGCUACGGGAAUCACAAACUUCAACACAAGUAUUCUUUGAAUUCAUAAUUACCCCACUAGCAUGACUCUAAUAUCACCAUCCUCAUAUCUCAAAACAAUUAUCAAGCAUCAAAUUAAUCAUAGCAUCCAAUUCACUUCCUAUGAUAGUUUUUUAUUAUACCCAACUUGAAUGCCCAUCAUUCUAGGACCAAAUUUAUAACCAUAGCAAAUACCAUGAUGUUCUAAAAGACUCUCUAAAUAAUAUAAGUGAAGCAUGAGAUAUCAACAAUUUCUACAAAAUCAAGCCACUGUCGUGCUCUAAAAGAUAUAAGUGAAGCACUAGAGCAAAAAUUAUCUAGCUCAAAAGAUAUAAGUGAAGCACAUAGAGUAUUCUAAUAAAUUCUAAAUCAAGUGGGCUUCUCCCAAAAGGUGUGUACAUCAAGGAUGAUUGUGGUAAACUAAAAAGCAAAGACUAAUAUCAUACAAGAUGCUCCAAGCAAAACACAUAUCAUGUGGCGAAUAAAAAUAUAGCUCCAAGUAAAGUUACCGAUAGACGAAAGCUUAGGCUUUUGGUUAUCCUUGAAUAUCUUGGGGUUCCAUGGGCAUACCCAAGCUUAGGCUCUUGCCACUCCUUAUUCCAUAGUCCAUCAAAUCUUUACCCAAAACUUGAAAACUUCACAACACAAAACUCAACAGGAAAUCUCAUAAGCUCCGUUAGUGCAAGAAAGAAAAACCACCACAUAAGGUACUAUAAUGAACUCAUUCUUUAUUUAUAUUGGUGUUAAACCUACUGUAUUCCAACUUCCCUAUGGUUCAUCCCCCCCCCCCCGAUACUAGCCAUAGAUGCAUCAAAAUAAGCAAACAACACACGAAAAACAGAAUCUGUCAAAAACAGAGCAGUCUGUAGAAAUAUGUAACUUUCGAAUAGUUAUGGGACACUAAAACUCCUACCAAAAUAGGAAGUGCUGAAAAUUUGUAUAUUUAUCUUCAGAAAAAAGAAUCAAUGCAAAAUCACGUUUCUAUGAAUUACUAAAAUUAUUUUCGUGUGUGCAAAGUUUCUAUUUUUCAGCAGAACCAAAUUAAAUAUCACCGUAGGUUAUCCUAUAGGUUCUACUUGGCACCAACACUAAUUAAAACAUAAAACCACAUCUAAAAAAAAGCUAGAUGAUUUAUUUAUUACUAAACAGAAGCAAAAAGCAAGGAACAAAAAUAAAAUUUGAUUGCCUCCCAACAAGCGCUAUCGUUUAACGCCCCUAGCUAGGCAUUGAGAUUUCAAUCAUGCUCACAUGAAAGACAAGAAUUGAAGCACAAAGAGAGCAUAAUAACAUGUGACACACACACACACACUUAAGUCUAAAAUACUUCCUAUGCAUAGGUAUCUUAUAAGCAAACAAAUUAUCAAGGCAAGCAAAAACUAGCAUAUGCAAGGAAGCGGAAAGAAACAAUAGCAAUCUCAACAUGACGAGAGGUAAUUUAGUAACAUGAAAAUUUCUACAACCAUAUUUUCCUAUCUCAUAAUAAUUACAUGUAGGAUCAUAAGCAAAUCCAACAAUAUAGCUAUCACAAAACAUAUUUUCAACACGAUCCACAUGCAUGCAAAGUUGACACUCUUCCAAAAUAGUGGGAUUAUCAUUAACUAAAGUCAUGACCUCUCCAAACCCACUUUUAUCAAAAACUUCAUAAGGUUGAACAUUAUCCAAAUAUGUGGGAUCUAAAGUUGAUACUCUUCCAAACCCACUUUCAGUAUUAUUGCAAACACUAUUAUCAAUCUCAUAUUCAUCAUGGAUCUUAAAUAAAUUUUCAAGAUCAUACAAAGAAUCACCCCCAAUCAUGAUCAUUGCAACAAGUAGUAGACAUAGCAAAACUAGCACCCCCAAGCUUAGGGUUUUGCAUAUCAUUAACACAAUUGACAUCAAAAGAAUUUAUAGUAAAAUCGUUGCAAUCAUGCUUUUCAUCGAAGGAACUACCAAGUAUGGGUGCAAUAGCAACGAUCUCAUGUUUAACAUAAGGAGCUAUAGCAGAUUCAUCUUCAUAAAUAUUGGCAUCAUGGCCACAAGAAUAGCAAGCAUCAUGUUCAUCAAGGGAUAUUUCAAUCAAAUCAUCGGAAUCAUCAUUAUCUAUAGAUUCAUGCUUAUCGUUAUUUUCUUCCAAAGCAAUGGUCAUUCUCUCAAUAAAUUCUUUGACACAGACAUUAUGAGCAUAGUUUUCAUAGCAAUAUUUAAGUAUGUCAAAAUUAUCAGAUUCGUAGAGAGUAAUAUCAUACUUUUCAAUCAAAGAAGCAACUUCAUAAGCACCCUUAAAAGCAACAAAUUCUUAAAUUUGUUUGAUAUCAUAGUAAUUAUAAACACCCUUUGCAUAAGAAGAUAAGAUUUCAUUAUCAUUAAACUCACAUAGGUAGGGAAGGUGUUUUUUAGGAUUCUUAGAGCAACAAGUAAAAUCAUAAAUUUCACAAAGAUUCCAAGCAUAACACAGCAAUCUAUUAAUUUGAUCCCAUAAAAGUCUCCCUUUUUCAUACAAACGGUGAUGCACGAAAUGAGCAUGCUCAUCUAAAGAUUACCCAUCAACUAGGCUAGUCGGGGUUUCAGCACGAGCGCAUAAGGAUCGAAGAUGAUCCAAGUAGAAUACGUUAAGUCGAUCCAUACCAAUAGAUUUUUAGCAAGCAAAGAUGCAAGCAAAUAGAAGGCAUGUGGAAACACAAACAAAAAGGCAUACGUGAAGAAGGCAAAGAGAAGGCAAAGGUGAAGUGGGGGAGAGGAAAGCGAGAGGCAAAUGGCAAAUAAUGUAAUGCGAGGGAGAUGAGUUUGUGAUGGGUACUUGGUAUGUCUUGACUUGAGCGAAGACCUCCCUGGCAGCGGCGCCAGAAAUCCUUCUUGCUACGUCUUGAGCUUGCGUUGGUUUUCCUUGAAGAGGAAAGGGUGAUGCAGCAAAGUAGCGUAAGUAUUUCCCUCAGUUUUUGAGAACCAAGGUCUCAAUCCAGUAGGAGGCUCCUCAAAAGUCCCACGCACCUACACAGACAAACAAGAACCUCGCAACCAAUGCAAAGGGGUUGUCAAUCCCUUCACGACCACUUGCGAAAGUGAGAUCUGAUAGAGAUAAUAAGAUAAGAUAAAUAUUUUUGGUAUUUUUAUGAUAUAGAUUAGAAAAUAAAAGAUGCAAAUAAAAGUAGAUGGAAAACUUAUAUGAUAAAAGAUAGACUGGGGGCCAUAGGUUUCACUAGUGACUUACCUCAAGAUAGCAUAAGUAUUACGGUGGGUGAACAAAUUACUAUCUAGCAAUUGAUAGAAAAGCGCAUAGUUAUGAGAUUAUCUAGGCAUGAUCAUGUAUAUAGGCAUCACGUCCAUGACAAGUAGAUCGAAACGAUUCUGCAUCUACUACUAUUACUCCAUGCAUCGACCGACUCCUGCCUGCAUCUAGAGUAUUAAGUUCAUGAAGAACAGAGUAACACAUGAAGAAAGAUGACAUGAUGUAGAGGGAUAAACUCAUGCAAUAUGAUGUAAACCCCAUCUUUUUAUCCUUGAUGGCAACAAUACAAUACGUGCCUUGCUGCCCCUACUAUCACUGAGAAAGGACACCGCAAGACUUGAACCCAAAGCUAAGCACUUCUCCCAUUGCAAGAAAGAUCAAUCUAGUAGGCCAAACCAAACUGAUAAUUCGAAGAUACUUGCAAAGAUAACUUAAUCACACAUAAAAUAAUUCAGAGGAGAUUCAAAUAUUUCUCAUAGAUAAACUUGAUCAUAAACCCACAAUUCACCGGGUCUCGACAAACACACCGCAAAAAGAGUUACAUCGAAUAGAUCUCCAAGAAGAUCGAGGAGAACUUUGUAUUGAGAUUCAUAGAGAGAUAAGAAGCCAUCUAGCUAAUAACUAUGGACCCGAAGGUCUGUGGUAAACUACUCACAACUCAUCAGAGAGGCCUUGGAGAUGAUGUAGAGGCCCUGCAUGGUCGAUCCUCCCUCCGGCGGAGCGCCGGCGAAGGCUCCAAGAUGGGAUCUCACGGAUACAGAAGGUUGCGGCAAUGGAAUUAGGUUUUCGUGGUGCUCCUCGCUGGUUUCAGGGUACAGGAGUAUAUAUAGGAGGAAGAAGUAGGUCGGUUGACGCUCAAGGGCCCCAUGAGGGUAGGGGCGCGCCGGGCACCCUCGUGGCCACCUCGUUUGUUGCUUGACAUCCAGUCCAAGUCUCCUGGUUUGCAUUUGUUCCAAAAAGAUCGCUCCCGAAGGUUUCAUCCCGUUUGGACUUCGUUUGAUAUUUGUUUUCUUUGAAACACUGAAAUAGGGAAAAAAAAUAGCAAUUCGGGCUGGGCCUCCGGUUAGUAGGUUAGUCCCAAAAAUGAUAUAAAAGUGUAGAGUAAAGCCCAUAAACAUCCAAAACGGGUAAUAUAAUAGCAUGGAACAAUCAAAAAUUAUAGAUACGUUGGAGACGUAUCACUCCACGCCCAUGAACCUCUUCUCCAUCUUGCGCACCUCUUCUAGGUACGCAUCCAUGUGUUCGGCCUUAGGCGUGUCACUACAAAAAAAAGACACAUCCAUGACAUUUUGGGCCGAACGAAAAAAAUUAUGUCAUACUUAUGACACUUCUAUGACGAUAAUUGUGACAAAACCCGUUAUCAUCAUAGAUGUGGAGGGCUCCUACUUCUAUGACAAAAAAUCAUGACAGAAAAUGGGCUUUUCGUCCUGGGGGGGCCGGAGAUGCAGCUGCAUGACAUUGUUUGGGCUGUCCAUGACAGAAAAAACCGUGGUAGAAGUGCGGGCAAGGAAAAUUUCGGCGAGUUCCCGGUUACAGUGGGAGGUCGGGGGCCGAGCGAUGCGCAUUUCUCUCGUACAUGUACGCACAUGUGUGCGAGGUGUUGGCUCUAACUGACCCGAGCGAGGCGUUGGCCGGUCGAACACAAGGUUGUUUCAUCCGUUGUGCGGUAUGCCAGGCCUCGUUUCCAUCGCCUGUUCCGUCCAAGCCAGUUGGAUCCCACGCGUUCCGUUGCCUCCCGAUGAACACGACACAUUUCGUUGCCUCCCCAUGAACAUGACGCAUUUUGUUGCCUCCCCAUGAACACGACGACGAUGUUGUUUCUCCGUUCCGACCCAACCAUGUACACGAUCCCUGGCCGUACGUAUGCGUGAGUAGGCGUUUGAGACCCCGCUCGUAUGUACACAUACGUGGCCGUAUUUUCUUCCUUGCACACUGGCCGCUACACGUAUGUGUACAUGCUACAUGCGCGCCUCUACUACGACACGUGAGCGCCUCUACAUCCACCAGUAUGUACGUACAUGUUCGUGGCCAAUAUGACAAUGCUACGUACACUUUGACCAGGUGGGUCCUGACUAUCAGGCACUUCCUUGCGUGCGAAGAUGUAGCUGGUGGGUCCCAGCAGUCAGGGGGGCGAAUCGGUUUUUUUUGCCCAGACGCACUUCCUUGCGUGCAAAGAUGUAGCUGGUGGGUCCCAACAGUCAGGGGGAAACAUUUUUUUUCGCAAAAUACAGUGGCCCGUCUGGUGGGUCCCUGCUGUCAGGUGGAGGUAUCAUUAUUUUCCGCAUAAUAAGGAGGCACUUCCUUGCUGCGGCCGUGGACCCAGCUGUCAGCCACUCCACGUAUAGUCCACGUCCGAUGGAAGUCGUUCCUUGACCACGUUAACCAUGCCGCGCCGAGAGCACCACGGCGGUGGACGACAACGAGGCCUAGGAAAGGAACGACACGGAGUCGGGGAAGACGCAACAGUGGAUGCCCACAUGAAGAGGAGUACGAGGGUUCACUGGUUCGGCUGAGGUGUGAGGCUGCCAUCGCCGCAGAAUAACAGGGGGUGUGGGUGAGUAGAGGGAUGGCCUUGCCAGCGGUGGGAGUAGUAGGGGCGGUGAGGCCACCGCGGCAUCACAGCCGGCCACGGGAGGCAGGAGUAUGCGUCACGACCGCCGCUGCUUUGGGCGGCUGGAGCACGAAGACCAGAGGUUGAAGAAGCACUACGGGCGUUGGAUGGACAUCGUACGGUCACUGGAGCUAGAAUCGUUCAUAUUGACUAAGUUGACAAAGCCCUCCAUCCCUGUCAACUUAGUAGGCCCACAAGUCAGCCUCCCACCAAGGUGGGUCCCAGCUAGCCGGGGGAGUAUUCAUUUUUUGUGCGUAAUAAGGAGGCACUUCCGGUGGGUCCGAGCUGACAGCGGGGGGAAUGUUUUUUUCGCGAAAUACGGUGGCCCGUCUGGUGGGUCCUAGCGGUCAUGGGGAAACGUUUUUUCGUGAAAUACUGGUGGCCUGUCUAGUGGGUCCCUGCUAUCAGGUGGAGGAAUAAUUAUUUUCCGCAUAAUAAGGAGGGGCACUUCCUUGCGGCUGCCGUGGACCCAGCUGUCAGCCUCUCCACGUACAGUACUCUUCCGAUGGAAGUUGAUCAUUGACCACAUUGACCACGCCAUGCCGCGAUCACCACGGCGGUGGACGACGGCAAGGCCUAGGAAGGGGACGACGUGGAGCCGGGGAAGACGUGGCAGUGGAAGCCCGCGCGGAGAGGAGUACAAGGGUUCACUGGUUCGACUGUGGUGUGAGGCUGCCGUCGCCGCAGGGCCUGGCCAGCGGUGGGAAUAUUAGGGGCGGUGAGGCCUCCGCGGCAGCACAGCCGACCAUAGGAGGCAGGAUCAUGCGGCACGACCGGCACUGCUUUGGGUGGCUGGAGCAAGAAGACCAGAGGUUGAAGAAGCAUUACGACCGUUGGAUGGACAUCUACGGUCACUGAAGCUAGAAUCGUUUAUAUUGACUAAGUUGACAAAGCCCUUGGUACGCGCCAACUUAGUAGGCCCACAGGUCAGCCUCCAAAAUGGUGCGCCCCAGAUGUCAGGGGGAGGAAUCAUUUUUUGGGCGGCCAAAGCUAAGAAUAUCCGAGAUUGAAGAAGAAACACAACAUCCGUUGGAUAGACUUCCAACGGCCACUACUGCUAGAACCAUGUGUUGACUAUAAUAAGUUGACGAAGCCUUGCAUACGCGUCAACUUAUUUUUUAGGGGACGCGUCAACUUAUUAGGCCCACAAGUGUGUGGCAGAGAACUUAUAGCCCAUUUGCGAUUUGUAAGAAUGUACAACCCAUUUUUGAAUUCUAAUGGAAUUUACUAUAGCCCAUUUAUAGUUUAUUAAAAGCACAACCCAUUUUCUAGCUAGGACAAUGAUUAAUAAUUUCAACCAACCGUUGAAGACAGAAUUCAAUAAAAUUUCCCACAUUUUGAUGGGAUCCGAAAUAUUUUUAUCCCGAAAUUUCUAUUUAGAUUAAAUAUAAAUUUGUAUUACGUAAAAAUCCAACGAAACAUUGCGCGCGCAACAAUGAAAAUUUAAGAUUUUCAAAAUCCAUAAAUAAUAUUUUAUAAACUAAUUUCGUGUUUGGUGCAUUUUUUUAUAGUUACUGCCUAGUUUUUAUAAUUACAUCCCAAUUAUUAUUUUUUUAAAGCCCAUUUUCCAGUUAAGCCUAAUGCAUCCCUCCUAGGAAAGAUUUGCAGCCCAGCGGGGCAGAGAAUAACAAAUUGACCUUGCCUGGGUAUUCCUCAAAAAAAUGUAUAGCGGCUAGCCAUUUUCAUCUUGAAAAAAAUUAAUAUCUGGCCUGGGCUAGACUUGCCACAGCCCACCCAGUUAAUACCAUGCUCUCCUCUGAACAACAACGAAAUCAUCGCCAAGAAAAACUCUGCAGUGCUCACGCCUCAAUAACACAAAUACUGCUCGAGCUGCUUGGUCCCAGCUGUCGUCCGCACCUUGUGAAAUUCUCUCGCUUAUAUUGACUACAUAGGUUGAUAAUGGUGUGGGACCGUGAUGUCAGGAAACCAGGAGGAAGCAAAAAAAAUAGUUGUACAUAAUAAGGAGGCACUUGCGUACAUACGGCUAUGGCCCUAGUGGGUCCCUAGUGUCAUCCAGUCAAAAUAAAGUCAUCUCCUGAAUCCUCAUGUUCGUUGACGAUGUUAACAAUGCUCGGCGCCACGGCGAGUGCAACAACUCAAAGGACGACGGAGCCCUAUGGAUGGUCUGAUACAGCGCCUGAUGCUCAUUCAGGAAGCUAGGAUCAUCGGACACCUAUGAGCACCUUCGAGAAACUGAGACGACAUGAAACGGUAAGGCCGCGCUUGGGAGCUCUGGUUUAUUUCAAACCGGUAUUAACAUACAAGUGUAAUUUACUCGUCAUCAGAAACAACAAGUAAAAUACAGGCAUAAUGGGAGCUCUGGUUUAUUUCAAACAACGCGUAAAAUACAGGUCUGUAAGCAAAACCGGCGGGUUACGCGUGUAAUUUGAGAGACCAGUAUAUAUUUUACGAGCAUUGCCAUAUGGACAACAUUACCAUACGAUACAUGCACGACGUGCGUAUCAUGCCAUCCAUGGGCAAGGCUGAAAUAGUAGCUAACGGCUGGAUUAGCAAUCGUCCGAGUGUCGUUCAACGUUUUUAUCGUGUGUGAAGUACUUCCGAUAUUUUACUAGUCGAAAUCGACCAACCAAGCGCUUGGCCCGAGACCAUCUGCUUUUAUUUACAAGCGUCAGUUUUACAAGCAGUUUUGGUUGGAAAACGACGAUCCAAUCACGGCCUAAUAUCAUGAGUUGGUUGGAAGAUCAUAUGGUUUCACGUCUAACCUACCCGACAUGUCGUAUAGGCUAUGAAUGAAACAUAAGACGGUGAACUUCUUAAGAACGGAAACAACAGAAGAGGAUGAUCUUCUUAACAAUCAAAUCACUGGCAUUAGAUCGACAUGCAAAACAUACAAAGCAUUAUUCUUAGGAGGCACGGUGAACAGCUCGUGAUGCCGCAUGCCACAACAUUCCAAGCUCAACUUUGCAAUCAAACACAAGGGCUGACAUUACAUAGACAAUAUUUAGAACAAACUCUUAACACAGGAAUAUCUCAGCAGAGUAACUAUUUACUUCUAAACUGAACACAGGAAUAGGAAAAAACAAUCGACACCGCUCACAGCAAGGGCGUCCCACUCAAAAAUAUCAAAUGCAUGUCUUCUGGCUAACAUCAAUGAGCAAAUUUUGACAAGGUUUUCCAAUUCCAAUAUAUUAAACUAACAUCUUCUUGCUAACAUCAAUGAGUAAACUUUGACAAGCUUUUUCCAUUCAAAAUAUGUAAUGCAUAUGAUCGUGGAGUCCUAUUGUAGCUUCUUACUUGUUUGGGCACUUUUUGCCCAGUGCACUCCAUGUGUUGUAUAAUUGCCAAUGCUUUCUGCAGACUAGUCAUGUCACCAGCGUCUAAUAAUACUCUGUAAAGCUUCUCGGUCAUUCCUUCUGUAAUGUAGCACAAACAGUGACUGCUUCUUUCUGCAAAGUGGAACGACCAACUAGACCAAGUAAUGUAGCAGUUUGCCUUGGACACAUUGGCUCCUUUUGUGCAGUUCAACUAAAAUCAAAGUCAGAAUAAAACCGAGCUUUAAUUUUGAUAUCCCUGUAAGCAACAAUAGGUAUAAGGGAAACAAUUACUGAGAAAUAACGGUUGAUGACUUGUACUCCCAGAAGAAAAGCAUCUACUGAUCUACCUUAUCUUAAUGGGAAACAAAGCAGGAGAGUAGCAAUUCUCCAUCAGUGUGAUUCAUUCAUAUUGACUGAGACAUUAUCUUAACAAUGCCUUGUUUCAAAAUGUAUAAAGAACGACAAAGCAGAAAAGUACCAUUCCUAAAAUAAUGCAACUGAUUCAUUUUAACAGAGAAAUUAUCUUAACAAUACCUUGGUUAAACAUGUAGAAAGAACUACAAAGCAGGAUAGUACCAUUCCUAACAAGUGUUGUAGUUUUGAACUAAGAUUCAGUAGUUAAUUAAUUCUGAGAGUGGCAUUGCUUAAUUUUACCAGCGGCAUUAGAUUAACAAAAAGCAUAAACAGUUCCAGGGGAGAGUGGGCGCAACAAAAAUAUGUGCUUCCAUCUACUUAUAAAGGGGGUGAUGCAGAGUUUGUUGUAACAAAGCAACAAGCAUCAUGUCUGGGUUGGUCCCAUUUUUGUUCACUACUUAGUGGGAAAAGACAGCAAUACAAUAGCUUCAAUUCAACAUUUAUUUAAAAUAGUACCAAUACAAGUAGCAGAACAUCUCAAAGCACACUACACAAUCAUGUGGAUGAAGGCCUAUACUGACCUUUGAUGAGAAGACUAGGAUAAAAUAUGAAUCUGCCAACACGAAUAGGAAAUCCAAUCUCGUUUUGUGCAGUUGAACUGAAAUCAAGCAAAGUGUUUCGCGUAGCGAAGCAAAAUGUCGCAAUAGCAACAAGUUGAAUAGAUAUCCCUGUUUAAACAGAGGCAAAAAAGGAAUCAAUUACUGGCUAAUAAAGGAGGAUGAAACAUGCGGCCACAAAAAUGGUCAUCCCGCCAAUCCCUAACAAGUGUUGCAAUUUUGAAAUAAGAUUCAGUAGUUAAUUCUGAGAGUGGCAUUGCUUAAUUUUACCAGCGGCAAUAGAUUAAGAAAAAGCAUAGACAGUUCCAGGGGAGAGUGGGCGCAACAACACCAUGUGCUUCCAUCUACUUAUAAAGGGGGUGAUGCAGAGUUUGUUGUAACAAAGCAACAAGCAUCAUGUCUGAGCUGGUACCAUUUUUGUUCACUACUUAAUGGGAAAAGAGGGCAAUACAAUAGCUUCAAUUCAACAUUUAUUUAAAAUAGUACCAAUACAAGUGGCACAUCAUCUCAAAACACACUGCACGAUCAUGUGGAUGAAGGCAAGUACCAACCUGUCAUGACGCUCACAAGAUCAACUACGAAUCUGCCAACACGAAUAGGAAAUCCAAUCUCAUUUUGUGCAGUUGCACUGAAAUCAAGCAAAGUGUUUCGAGUAGUGAAGCAAAAUGUCGCAAUAGCAACAAGUUAAAUCGAUACCCAUGUUUUAACAGAGGCAAAAAAGGAAACAAUUACUUGCCGAUAAAGGAGGAUGAAACAAACGGUGAGAGAAAGAAGCAUCUAACUUAUCUUGGAUGGAAAAUAAAGUAGGAUAGUAACAUUUCUAAAACGGUUGCAUUGAUUCAUAUUAACAGAGACAUUGUCUUAAAAUAACAUUCGUUAAAAAAUGUAAUUUAGUUUUAACAGUGGCAUUGCUUCAAUUUUCCGGCGGCAUUCUUAGAUUAGCAACAGCAAAAUAGUCAUAUGGGACAUGCCAGCACCACGUGCGUCCACACGUAUAAAUGGGUGAUGCAGAGUAUGUAGCCAAGCAGCAUAUAUGUGUUGGUCCCAUAUUUGUUCUCUUUGAACCUUUUUCCUAUGUGAGGGCAGCAAAUUUUGUCCUGUACAAACUACUCGACCCCCCAGUUUCUUUCCAUUUUCAACAAAGAGAUCGGUUCCCUACAGAUGUGUGUACUGGGUUACCCCCUUUUUCCCUUUUCGACCAACAAAGCGGCUGGAUAGCCAGUCUAUACUACUUUCCGUCCCUCCUUUCCUCAUUGAACCACGUCCUAGAUUCUUGCUCCAGCCCACCGCAGCCUUCUUUCCUCUUUGAACCAAGACCUAGAUUCGACUACAGAUCGAAAAAGAUCCACAUGCAGCUAGAGCAACGACGGUUUCAAAGAAACUUAUACCUUAGGGUCGUCGGGAUGUGGCAAGGCGUGCGGCGGGAGGCCGGAUCUGCCCACACUACGUACGACUGCGAGGAAGAAGGGGUCGGUGGACCUCCCGCACAGGCGCUGGGUGAAAGAGAACAGCGCAGCCGGCAGUGGAUUGCCUCCCUCGCCGAAGGGAUACGGACGGGAUACGGAUGGCUGCGCACCUCCUCCCCUUCCCAGUGUGACGGGAUACAGAUGCCUCCUUCACCAGCUAUGAGGGGGGAGAGAGAGACAAGAGGCCAACGCAGUCUUGUUUAGAUCUGGUGAACAGAGGGUGAGAGACUGUGAAUAUAGCAAACCCUAGCAAAUGAACGCUGAGCCUCUAGCGUGUAUACAUAUAUGUAGUGCGGCGAGAGUGUGGAGAGUGCAAACCCUAGUGAACAAGCGCUGAGGCUCCAGCUUAUAUAUAUACUACUAUAGUACAGACUGAGCUCUAGUGCCUUCACUGCACCUGCUUUUGGCUGUAUGACAGGUGAGCCAGCCACAUUUUGGGCCCACCUGUCAUAAACCCAAAGGCAGGUGCACUAAGUCAAUGAAGUUGUGUCCAUAUAGUACUCUCGUGUAUACGACUAAUAUAUAGUGGAGUGGUUUUCUUAUUCUCUCCAUAACAAUCAUUUUAAAUUGUGUAAGUACGAAAUGAAACUCUUUAUUUAACAUACAGUGAAGAAAACUACUAGUACUACUUCCGAUGAACUAACGAUCCACGCCCACGCAUCCUGGUCACACUUCCAGUCCUUCAUCUGCGGUACACUACCCUCCCUUAAGUGAACAACCACACAUGCGCCAAAUUAUCGGAAAUGUGUGAGAGUUUGUAGAAAUAAAGGAUUUUAAUUUCAAUUAUCGGAAAGGUUUGAGAGUAUUACAAAUUUUGACUUUAGUCAAAUCUAAUAUGCGGAGUAAAUAAAAAUGGAGGGCUACUACGUCCAUCCGGGUUUUUAGUCCACACCAUUUUUUAAAUCAAAGUUAAUAGCUGGACAAAUAAAAUUACAGGGGAGCUGGAGAUAAAGUUGUGAGAAGGCUUAGAAAUCAAUACAAAACUUAUGCUCUUAGUACCAACGUGAAAGACGACUGCGUCUCCAACGCAACCAAGGUGAACUAAUGAAGGAUAUCAUCUUUGUGCAUAACAAGCAAAGAGCACUGAUGGAAGACAACUUGUUUUUCAUUGAAAAUCGAUCAGCUUCACCAGCCGACGCAACCAUGAACAUCGAUAGGUCAUCGUGGUGAUGCAUCAUCCAUUUGGCAUCAAGUUUGGGUGAGGCACCUAUGAAGUUCGACAAAUCCUCACUGUGGUCUGUUUCUUCUCAGUAAUCAAGCUCGAGGAAGGAAGAACCACGUGGCAGAGGACAGUGAGGCGGAACAACAAUGGCCAUCCAAUUUUGUGCAGUUCCACUAAAAUUGAGGAAGACAUGCUCGGGUAUGGAGAUACGCAUCGUUGUUUCCAAAAAUAUACAAAAGAGAUAUAGUGUUGUUACUUUGUUUUACUCCAAUUGUCAAUAAGAAUUAAUGAAAAGUACACCAACAAACAGAAGCAUCAUAAUUAUCUUGAUGGGAACUAAACCAGGAUACCUGAGAAAAAAAACAUUUCUUCAUUUAACCAGUGAUAGUACUACCACCAUAUGGACAAUGACCGCACAACCACCUUGUACUUUUUGUCGAAACAACAUGUAUACCUCCACCGAGGCAUAAAUCAGGACAACUUUUCGAGUGGCAUUUCCUCUAUAAUAGUACUAGUAGGUGAUGUUGGACCAGCCGACGAACCCUAGCUACUAUACAUGGGGAGCUGGGGAGUAGUCGCAUAGAAAAAAAACCGCACUCAGCGACCUGGGGAGCUGGACCAGUACAAGAAGCUAUACCUCAGGUGGGCGAGAUGUCGUUUAGGCGGGCGGGCGGGAUCUGCCCACACGAUGGAGUGAACAAGGGCGCGGAGGAUCUUCGUCCGCGCCAGCGCCAGCUCCAAGAGGACGGUGCGCAUCGGCUUCCUCCGUCGCCGACGGCGACAACGUCAACGCUGCACCUCCUCAACUCCCGCAGCGGAUGGGAUUUGGUCGGAUCUGUGACCACCGGUGAGGAGAGAUAUAGAGUGGACAAUUGUCAUCUUGUUUUGAUAUGGAGAGGGUGAGAGAGCGAGACGCGAGAAACUCUAUCAAACAAGAGGCUAUAAUGGAGUAAAAAAUCUCUCCAUAGCAGUGGUUUUAAAUAGAAUACGCGUUUUCCCAGAAAAAAGAAAUGAAAACUGGCGGACAAUUUUUUUAAGUACCAAGAAAGAAAACUCGAUCAAAAAGAUGCCCCCGCUUCUAGAUCGCGAGAGUCGUCGCGCACACACACAUAGACAUAGACAUGCAUAUCCGUGUUUACGUAAAAUUCCAUUUCCAUCUCCAUCUCCAAUCAUAUUUGUCCAACUGGCACAUUAUUUACGUUGUUAAUUAUAUACGCAGCAAUAUUAACGUACAACAUCUCUUGUUUGCGGAUGUCCGGGCCGCUGCCACGGCCGGUCCUGACCAACCCGAACCCUCUUCAUCACCCGCGCGUGCUUCCCGCCCGAAACGGUCAGUACCGCAUUCACGCCCGGUCAGAGCGGAAGUGACCUCUCACUGGCGCCGGCAUUGAAGCGGCGCGCUGGCCGAUAGAGCGUCGCCCGUGCCGCUUCCGGGUGCACGCGACUGCUCCGCGUUCAAAGGUCACAAUAGCCAGCUACAACAUGCAUGUAAAAAGUUCUUCGGAGUCCAUGCUACAGCUAGCUGUCCUCCCCCAACUCAUCAAUCUCUUCCCGCAGUGCUAGUACUCCAUGGCGCGAUGCAUCGAGAAGCAGGCGGGAAAGUUAUCAUAUACUCGGUUUGCGGUGAGUGGCAUGCCGAGCGACCGUGUGGGGUCGAGCCGUGGAGGAGGGUGAGACACGACGUGAUUUAAACGUUGGUUUUGCUCGAUGGCGCGAUCCAAUGAAACGAAACGUUGGUUUCUCUCCAUUUCCAUUUUUUCUCCGGAAAAACGGAAACUUUCCACUCCAUUUUCAUUCCUAUUCCAAGGUUGCCCCAUUACAACAUUCCAUCAAAUACAAAGGAAAACUAACACGCAUGCUGAUGCAUCUCAAUGAUUCACAGAUCAUAGCCAAUAUUUACUUCACAACUAAAGACAAAAGUUGUGAGAGCGUGUACGAAAGAAAAACUACUGAUGGGGUCACUACGACUUAAACCCUAAACCCUAAACAGGAUUUAAUUUCCUGGCCAGGUAGAACCUAUCAAAGGAAAGAUGGCUGGCACCCUCUGAUCAUACGAUGUUUUUGUGCAGUUCCACUAAAAUCGACCUGAGCAUCCCAGAUGGCAAAGAUAUUGAAGAAGUGUGAUUAGAAUUAUAGUACUGGCACUAGUUCAUGAGACAUAAACUCAUCACAAGUAGAAGCCGAUAGGUAGAGAAAGAUCGACAUGGAGAUGGAGCUACGGCCGUGGAGCAAGCCGGCUCCAAAAGGAAGAUGGACUACCUGGGACGGCGGGCUGUAGCUAGAAGGGUGGUUGGGACGCGGCAUCGGCCCAUACCAUGGUGACCCCCGAUUGGGACGCACCGACUGUGGGUUUUCUCCCUCACCGAUGUCGAACGCGUCUACGCAGAACAUUGUUCCCUUCCCCCAGCUGUGGGAUCAUGCCCGUCGUUCUAUGCUUGUGAAGAGAGCAACCUAAGCAAGCAGGCUUGUAGCUUAGGCUCCUGCUAGUGUAUAUAUAGUGGUUUUAUUUUUCUCUCCAUAUCAACCAUUUUAUAUUGUGUACGUGUCAUUGAAGAGUGAAAUGAUGGUUGCUUCUUCCGACUAACUUACUGUGUGAUUUGACUGCUCCUUAGUGGCCCCUACACGUACUCCCCCUACGUGUAUGCAACAAUCACACGUACACAUGGAUGCAAAAACGCGUGCGACACCCUAAUGCAUGCAUGUCCGAGCACACGACGGAACACACACGGUCACGCUCAAGUGCUCAACCUACACGUGCAUGCACACACAUACUCAGUCAGGGUGAGCUAGUGACCGUAUAAACACCGGAAAAUAUAUAUAUUGAGCGCAAUGAGCGUAUUAUGAAGUCCAUUGACCGUAUUUUUACAAAUAUACAGUGCCAGACAGUGUAUUUAUCUCGUUUGAAAUUAAGCCAUAUUAACCGGAGAGGAGGCAGUAUGGACUAGCAUUACUUUGCUGUGUCCCGUCAACUUGCCGAACGAGAAGAAGGUUGUAGGACGGGAGAAGCUUGUGCGCGGUGGCCCGCAGGACAAGGAGAAACUUUUGACUAAUGCAAGCUCUCCCUCGCUCAAGCGGUGGACAUGCAACAGUUAAUUCGGUGUCAGAUUGCCAGAAGCAUACACUAUACUACUAGUGCUAUUAUUGUUCGACUUCCCGAAUAGGCGAACAGCCAAGCGCAAAGUUUACUAGUAGUACUAGUACUACUACUAUAGUCUAUAGAGGUAUGUACUAUACUAGUACUAGGAACCGGAUGGAGGAGCGUCUCCACUCUUAUUAUGAUAUUAAAAUGUGAUAAAGCAAUCUUUAACACGUUUGGUUAUCUUUGAGGGUUCUCGCAUGUGAUAAUGGAAGUUGAUUGCAUGGAACACUCGCCACAAUUCUCGCUUAAUUCUGGCUCACAUCCUGUUACAAAUAGGAGUGCUCAGUAAUAUUUCCUAUUUUUUUGUUAUUCAGCAUGUAAACAGGUCAGCAGACCUUGCGGCGCAUCUUCGUGCGAACCGUGCUUGCUGCACUUUGAAUGUGGCCGAGAGAUGGCUUGAUGAAACACCUCGCUUCCUACUUCUUUUUUUGCGGGGUACCUCGCUUCCUAGUGACCAGUGUCUUGGCUGGUCGUCCAAAGAUAUAUGAAUAAAGCUCUCUCAUUUACCUGCAAAAAAGAUUAAGCCAUAUUAACCGGAAAGGAGGGAGUAUGGACUAGCACUACUUUUUUGUGUGUCCCAUCAACUCGCAGAACGAGGAGAAGCUCGCUUACGCCUUUUGACUAAUGCAACCUACCCUCGGUGGACAUGCAUCAGUCCAUUCGGUGUCAGAUUGUCAGAGGCAUACACUGUAGUACCCAACAUGCGGAGUACCAUCAUUGUUCAACUUCACGAAGAGGCGAAGAGCCAAGCGUAGUAGUACAAGUAGUACUACUACUAGAACCGCAUGGUGGAGCGUCUGUACUCUUACUUUUUCUAUCUCUGAUAAAGUACACAUUUAUUCCGGAGAAGGGCGGAAAACGGCAGCCCAACAUGUAAUGAUGAUAUCGAUCAACCAACCAUGCUCGAAUAUAUCUUAGCCUCCGUGCGAGCCCGUCUGUGUGUUCUCGCUCCUCGUCUCUCUCAAGGAACAGCGGGUUGGCUCUUUGCCGUCAAUUGAGAUUGGUUUGCUCACACUCAUGUCCCACAUGUCAGUGAUAUGCCAAGAGGAGGUGCGUUGACCGACUGGCCAUACGCGUACUUGGUUUUGCACCUUCAUACUACUCCUCCCUCCGUCACAGUUUACAGGGCGCACUUCAUUAUGAUGCAUUUCUCUCAAUCCAUUUCCACCACCAGAGAGACUUUAGACGUGUUUGGUUUAAUGCUCAAUUAAUUAGGGCGUGGUAACCGCAAUCAAGUCCACAAUUUUCUCUCAAUGUACUCCUUCCUUUCCGGUUUAUAGGGCUUAUCUCAAAAUUUAAGUGUUUCCAUUUUAUAAGGCUCAAUUUGGUUGUUUUCCAACAUAUGUUCAGAUUCCAAGGUGCAUUAAAUCAUUGCAUGCAAGUAUUAAGAGAAAAUUGACCAAUGCAUGUACUUUAUGCAUGCAUGCAUUGCAAGUAAUGCAUUAAUAAACAUAAUUUUUUGAGGAAAACAAGAGCAUUAAUUAGGUGCUUUUGCAAAACUACAAAAAGUAUUCCACCACUCGCCAUCUACCUUGAUUUGUGAGAUUUUUGAAUUGAGCACUAUAAACCGGGAAGGAGGGAGUACUACUACGAAGUGGAGUAAGUGCAUGCAUGUGUGUACCCGGGGUGGAAGCACUGCAUGCAUGUGUGUACGCAUUAUUCCCUCUAGUAAUAGACGUCGUGCUAUAACUACCAAUGCUAUUUUUCAGGCCUAUCGCUAGUCGCCUUGGUCCCACAGAUUUUUUAUUCUUUUUUCUGAAGCGCGCUCUAUAAACAGUGACGGAUGGAGUAGUAUGAGCGGAUUCAAAGAAGAGCGUAUUGAUGGUUGCUUCUUCUGAGCAACUUACAGUGGGAAAGGUGGGGCUUAUGAUUUGACUGCUCAUUACUCACUAUUAAUGCGGCGCAACGACCGGGCUGAGUCUCCCAUGCGGUUGUGCACUACCCCCUCGGUUCUUAAAUAUACUCCGGAGUAUUUGUCUUUCUAGAGAUUUCAACGAGUGACUACUCAAAUAUUUGUCUUUUUAGAGAUUCAAAUGGACUACUACAUACAGAUGUAUAUAGACAUAUUUUAGAGUGUAGAUUCACUCAUUUUGCUCCGUAUGUAGUCACUUGUUGAAAUUAGAAAGAUGAAUAGAGUAUUUAGGAACGGAGGGAGUACACAUACGAAGCAAAAUGAGUGAAUCUGCACUCUAAAAUAUGCCCAUUUGAAAUUUGUAAAAAGACAAAUAUUUAGGAACGAAUGAGUAUAAUUUUGUGCAUGGCACAUGGACACGGAUGCUGAAGAGGCUUCUGGCAAUGCUAUCAAACUUCCAUCAUUUGUUUACAUAAUUGACGUAAUAUACAAAUAAUUUUCCAGCGACAUGAAAUUGUACAAUGGUGUGAGCUUUCAGCUUUUGUUUCAUGUGUCUUGCCAUCGAUGCUCUUUCGGAAACAAUAAAAAACUAACUUCUUGCUAAUGCAUGUCAAUUAUUAGCAAAUUAGAGCUAAUAAUUACAGCACAACUGAAGACAGAGUUGUGAUAAGGUGUUAAAUUAAAAUUGAUCCAUGCUUUCAUUGGCAGCAACGUCCCCCCAGCUCUAUCUAAAUCAACAAGGCAUGUUGGGGGGAAAAGUAGCUGUCUGGAGCAUGCAACAUUCCGAUCAUUUUGGGCAGUUCCACUAAAAUAGAGUUGAGCGUCCCUGUUCCAAAGAUAUUAAGUGUGAUUAUGAUAAUAGAGGACUGGUGAUGAAACAAUAAACACACAAAUAGAAGUCGGUCACCUUUGCAGUCUCUCUUAAGACUAACUAGUUGGAGAAGAUUAGGCUUGGAGUUGGAUGAGGAGGAUAGAGCAAAACCAAUAUCCCUUUGUGCAGUCGCACUGAAAUGUAGAGACGUUGCCCGUGUGACAUUUUAGUACAACUGCACAAAACACUCUUAAGAAAAAAGUGAUUUGUGCAGUUCACCAAAAGGUCGCAAUAGCAACGAGGUGAAAUGGAUAGCCCUGUUUGCAAAAAAGAGGUAGAAAGGAAACAAUUACUGGCCAAUAACAGUUGAUGACACAUGCGACGACAAAAAGAAGCAUAUUCCUUGUCCUAAGGGAAGAUAACAACACGGUUGUGUUUGUCUAAAACAGCGUGAGGACGAGAUUGCAAUAUGGAAAGUACGCUAUACGAGCUACGUUUUGGGCAAAGAACUAUGGAAGAUCCACAUGCAGCGACGUGGGAAGACGGCAAUGGAACUAGGUGAGCAGCGGCGGGCGGAAUCUGCGAGCAGGUGGCGUAGGCCCUGCCGCGCCAGAGCUUGGUCAGAGAGAGCGGUGUGUACCGCAGAUCGGGACGUGCUGCCUCGGCACCGUCGAACAGAGAAACGAUGCACUUCCUCCCUUUCCCCCGGCGGACGGGAUGCGGCUGGAUUAGUGACCAACGGUGAGAGAGAGAGAGGCCACCGCACUCCCUUUCCCCUAGCGGACGGGAUGCGGCCGGAUCAGUGACCAACGGUGAGAGAGAGAUAGGCCAUCACAGCCUUGUGUGAGAUACUCUAAAGAGCGACAAACCAGGCAGGCAGGCUCCAUUGUAUAUAGUUGAGCGUACUACCUUUUUCUCCAUAAAAAUCAUUUAUGUUCUGUGUACAUGCCAUUGAGCGCUAUAACUUUAUUUAAAAAUAACGCGGCAACGCGUCAAGUCAAACUUUGUUUCGUGCACGCAUGGUACACGAUCUCCCUAGGUAAACAACCGCUAUAGGCAUUCAAAUUAGCACAUGGGCUGCCAUUUCAUAAAGAAAUGAGCUCCACAUGUACCCGCGCGGGUGUGGCUGGGCACGAAGCAUGAGUACGUGCACGGUGCACCUAUUCUCUUCUUGUAUACAUACACCACCUACGUGGUGUUGUGUGAGAGAGAUAAAAACCUAGAGAGAUAUAGUGUGUGGGUUCGUGAGAGUUUUUGGGGGGGUCAAUCAAAAAAUGUAACAUAUGCAAUGUGUGUGAAAUAGAGUCCUGGAUAUAACAUAUAUAUAGAGGGGCGAUCCACGAGAAGAGAGUGGAGGUAUCAUUGGCUUGAGGUGUCCAUAGAAUCGAAGAGAGGGAUGAUGUGUGUGUGUGUGCGCGCGCGCGCGAUCGAUAAAGAGUGCCAUCGAAUUUGUGUGUGCUCACGUCAAAGAUAUAGAGUGGCUGGCCUACUAGAACGUGAGAGGGGACAUGUGCAGUUUGUCUCUGUGGCAUGGAUACCUACCUGCAGUGCUCGACUAUCGGUGUGUGGUGGGGGAAGAGGGAGGCCCAAUUAACUAUAGAGGUACAAUGGCUGGUAUAUGUGUGGAGGAGGAGAGAGGACUACUUCAUGUAUUAAGGAGAUCGAUCUGCCUCAUGUAUUAAGGGAGAUCGAUCGGCAUCCAUGCAUAUGUGCAGGAGAGGAAUAAGGUUGGGAGAGAGAUAGAGCUAGAGUGUUGGAGGGGGUGGUAGUGGAGUUGCUUCUAACAAAUGGUGGGAUAGGCUUGCUAGACAAACGGAGGGCACGCCCGCAAUAUCAAUAAGAGAGGAGAUGGCUGCUUGUUGUUGUCUGUGCACGUGCGUGUGAGAGACGGGUCAGAAGGCAUGCACGAAUGAUGAGGGGGGACGAUAUGGUUGUGGUAAGCACACAUAACUACAUAGGAAGAUCAAUCGCCCUUUGUUAGAGAAAGGAGAGACAUAACUUGUGAGGUACGUCGAUCGAUGGGGGGAUAGUUAAAGUUGAUCUAGGUAUAUGUUGGGAGAUCGAUCGUUACAGUAUACAUGCAUGUGUGUGUUAGAAGCAAAUGAGGCACGAGGAGAAGGAUAGAGAGAGAGGGAUGCAUCUAGGAGGUGGUACGAGAGGCAUGCUAUAUCGAGGGGGAAGGAGUGUGCGAGUACGAGAUCGAUGAAAAGAGUGGUGGGAGUGAGGCAUGGACGGUGAUAAGAGAAGAGGGGAAGCUUGUGUUUGUGCUAGGCACACCUGGCUAGAGAGGCAUAUCUAUCGAUGUGUGCCGUAAAGAAGGAGCUGGGGGGCCUACACACACCGUGGGUGAACGACCUAAAGUGAAAAGACAAAUUUGCGUGAUGGAGCUAGAGAAUGCUGAGGGAGGGUGAGAGGAUGCGGGCGUGUGCAUGCACGAGAGAAAGUUAGCGCUAGCUACAAAGAUAAGAGGAUUGUGUGGGUGUAAAUAAAAGACGAAUAGAGAUCAUACUUCAUUAUAAAAAGUGAAUUCGGAUAUUUGAAGAAUUUAUCAUAGUGUUUUAAACUGACGCAUGUGUGAAUAUAUAUAACGGUGAUACACAUGGUGUGGUUAUGAACAUGUUAUACUACAUACUAGACCAUAGAGGCGCGCGUUGCCGCACCCGUCUAUUGUGGCAAUAAAAUUGUAGUCAUUUUCAUUUCUGUAUAUGCAGAGACACCGAAUAUGAAAGGGAAAUUCGCAUGAACCUACUUCUUUGUUAGUCUAAAAAAAGUGUUUUGUCGCGCCAAGAACGAACGGAAAAAAUAAUUGAACAUUAUAGUGGCAGGACAUCAGAUUUAGGGAAAGUAUUUAGAUUCAAAACCGACAUGCAAAUUCUUUGUACGUAACAAAGAAUGAUGAUGUUUCAUUGAACCAUCUCAAAAUAAGAACUUUGAUAAACUUCUCUCCUUCGUUAGUGAACCCAUAUACAUACAUGAAUUUCAGCAUUUUCUGUAUUAGUUCACCGUGUAAAUUUUGUCCACAACUAUUUAGAAUUUAAUUGCAGAGCGGUGCUUGUUUUGCCCUUCUUUUAAUUUGUAUCAACAUAACUCUUCAGCAAAAAGUACAUCAUGCAAUUUAGCUUAUUUUCCUAUGAGUUAGCAAGCUCUUUUAGGGCAUCUCCAAUGCCAGACAGCGGGAUAGAUUUCCUAUUGAUUUCCCGGCCGAUUAGCAGUUAGCCCAUAAAAUCCUAGCUUCAAGUGUGGCAUCGAUGCAAAGGUUUGCAUUGGGCGCUAGGCCUUUUUUCUUCGCUCCGCUAGGCAUACGUCUUCCUCAACGUGAGAAUGCAUCAUAUAAUUUACACAUGCAAUUCACUGUUGUUACCAGAUCUAAAUAAUCUACCUUGUAUUGAGCUAAUUUGAAAGCAGUAGAGGGCCGGGAAGGUGUAACCUGUAAGUUACAUAGGAUGAAUUUUCAGAUGUGAAACAAUUACACAAAAAUUUGGAACAACCAGGAAAAGUAUCAAGCAUUUUUCAUGCACUGACAAUGAUACUCUGUUGAUAGAUAAUCAGAAAGCCAAGAGGUAGAUGAGUCUACAUGUUGUUCUAAUCUUGUACCUAAUGUUGCUCUAGAAUCUAAACCACAGAAACAAUUCUGGACAAGACUCAUCGGCAUAUCAGUUACAGAAUUGGAGCAGUUACAUGACAUCGGGAAUGGGAGCAGGAUGCCAAUUAUUCCCCAUGGAUGGAUCUGCAAGGUUGAAAUAAAUCAGGGCAAGACACAUCUCAUAUCAGUUACAGAAUUGGAGCAGUUACAGGAAAUCGGGAAUGGGAGCAGGAUGCCAAUUCCACAUGGAUGUAUCUGCAAAGUUGAAAUAAAGAUCGGACCUGCUGUGAGGAGGCGACAUGGGUUGUAGAGGAGCUCCUCGCACAGGAUCCACCUCCGCAUCGCCUAAGGCCCACUUAAUUAUCAUCGCCUCUCCUCAUCAGAAGAAAGAGAAUCAACAAAAGAUGAACUCCAAAUUCGAUGGCGAAUGACCUAGGAUGGGAUGAAGCCUUGAAAGGGGGUGGGGAUGGAAUAGCCGAACCGACGAGACUAUAUGGACGCGAAACAUCAUAGAUCGGCAUGGAAACUGACUUGAAAUUAUCCACCGCCCCAUCGCCCGCCAUUAAAGUCCCACAUUGAUUUUCUUCCCGAAUCUCCGGCUACUUGACUUCAAUCGACAGCGAUGGUUUCCAGGCCGGCGAGGCGUGAAGCGCUCGCCUCGUACAUGUCGCUUACCCAGCCGCGAUGACUGUGUUGUGGUGGAUAUUAUUAUUCACUUGGGACGGGAAGAAACUGGAUGACACGGGCCCAGCAGGUCCAAACAACAACAGAUCAUUGAUUUUGUUGCGAGAGCAGCGGCCCAGUCCGUCUACCGCUCCCAGCAAGGUGGAAGGUGCAUCGAACGGCCAAAAACGUGUAGAAGUGUUGAUCCGGCGGUUGAGGUGCUGAUAGCCUGAGAAGGCUGGAAAGGUGCUCAGUUGUAAUGUUUCUAAAUGAUAUAAUUUAUCUCUACUCUUAUAAAAAAACGAAGUUGUUGAUGAUAGUGUGCCUGCCAUCCUGCAAUAUAGGUCGUCCGAUUUAUAUCUGGCGGAUAGGAAGGAAACUAUGGCAAGUUUGAAAAAAGAUACCCACACCCCUCUCCAUAUUUGCAAAUUAGGCCCCUUGAUCAUGUUGAUGUUUUGUGGAACGCAUGGGCAUCUUGCUAGUACUACGUAUAAUACAUAGAACAUUGAUUAUAAUUUGGGCUAACAUGUGGCUUUUGCAGCUCAGGUCUAAACACUUGUCAUAAUGUAGGGGGCGGGGCACUAUACUUUGUGUGAUAAACACGGUGUACGUAUGGAACAUGGUUUAGAUUAUGAAUAUAUAGUUAGUACAUCAAAUGUACUAUUAUUUGGAAUCAACAUCAAGUGUAUCCAAAAAAUAGAAUUCGAGUUCAUGUAGUACACAUAGUUCAUAUCUAUCUCUAUAGUAAUCAUGUGGUGUGUUAUUAAGGUAAUACACGAAUGAUGGUUGAAGUUGGCAACAAUCAUGAUUGUAGAUUCUUAUUGAAAUAGAGAAACGAAUUCAAAUUUAGCUCGAAUUGCAGCGAUAGUACAGAAAUUUAGUUCGGAUUGCAGCGAGGAUACAUGCAUUAUACAGCAAGUGAAAAAACUUAAUUGGACAUAACAUGGAUUCAUACUCCCUCCUUCCAUCUAUAUAGGGCGUAAUGAGAUUUUUAAGACCACCUUUGACUAUUGAAAAGAUUAAUAGUACAUGACAUGCACAAUGUGAAAAUUAUAUCAUUGAAAGAACCUUUCACAGACGAAUUUAACGGUGUGCUUUGUGUAAGUUGCAUGUCAUAUAUUAUGGCUCUAAUAUUUGGUCAAAGUUAGCAUCAAAAAACGCAUUAGGCCCUACAUAGAUGGAAGGAGGGAGUAGCUUUGAAUAGCAUUUGUAUAGUAAAACGGGGCAUCUCUCUUUGUGUGGUGUGAAUAGUUUUAUUUUUUUUGUUUUCUUUUUGGUUGAGGGAAGUGCGAAUUGAUUUGGUACGUACAAGUACAAUAUUACUACAUGUUAGGCUUGUCCCUAAAAUUCAACCCGCGUCUUGUUAUAUCCCGAAAAUUUAGAUAUCGUGCUCCCAAAACUGGCGCCUUCACAACCCGCGCCUUGCUCCCGAAAUUACAACGCGCGCGAAAACUCCCUCCAGCUGCCAAAUCCCGACACGCGAAAUCCCCCUUCUAACCCUGAGCCGAAAGGGCCGCUAGUUCAAAUCGGUGGGGGGUACUUUUGUAACACACCCUACAUUUUGGAUAAGCGCGUCCUUAAGUCAUGCUUCACCCGCUCUCAUCGCCUCCUUUUCGCCAUUCGAAAUCCCAAGCCGCCAUAACCUCUCUGCUCCAGCCGCGAAACCCCACCCUCCUCCAUCCACCACCUCACCGCUGCCCAGCCGGAGCCUCUUCCCCGACGAUGUCAUCUACCGCAACAGCUCGACGUCCCUCGUCCACCUCCCCGGAUGAGGAUCCGUCAUCCAUCUCGUCGUCCCGCCGGUUCAGCCGCCUUGUCCUCCACCUCCAAGGAGCUGCUCCGAUGAUCGCCUCGUCAAUUGCGGCUGCUCCAUCCCCACAGCGCCACCUUAACCUGCUCCACCAAAACCGCAGCAUCCUCACCGACUCCUCGGACGAAGUAGAGGCCUACUCGGCGCCACCAAAGAGGUUGUACACUCAUCGCAUCGCACCUUCUCCUUAACUCGACCUCCCAGUGCUGACGCUGCUCCAUCCCGCACCCCCAUGGAGCGGCUACCUUGAAGCCGGCGCCGCAGGCGACAUCUCCACGGCGGCUCUCCCCCAGUGCGAGGCCCCUUCGGCGACGGCGUCCAUACCAGCCGCAUCUGCUGCUGUUGCUCCGGCUCUCACUUGCUCGCGCGCGCUGCUGCUGCUGCUCCGGCUCUCGCUCGAUCGCUCGCUCGCCCAGCUGCUAUUGCUGCUCUCCCCCUCGCUCAUGCUGCUGCUCUGCUCCGAUUAAGCCACACUUUAGUCGACUGAAUUGACUUUUGGGUCAGUCAAUUUUCAGGGGUUGGGGGAGGCUCGCCGGAGUUAAGGAAGAACCACCCGCAGCGGGGAUGGGGGCUCGCCGGAGAGGUACCCCACUAUUUAUCUUAGGGUUCAGGGUAGGGGCAGGGGGGGCUAGAGGGCUAGCCAGGGCGGGGGUGGGGAGUUGUUUCGGGGCGGCGAGGCGGCGCUAGGGCCGGCGGUUCGGCCGGUGGUGGCUGACGGCUCAGGGGGUGCAGGUUGAAGAUGAACUACAGGCCCUCCCUAAACUACAUGUCAAGUGCCUCUUUGCUACCAUUGCAUUCAGUUUCAAUAGUAGCAUUCAGAUUCCAUAGUAAAUUUCAGUUUCGACAGUUAAGUUCAGAGUCAACAGUUUUUACCUCAUCUGUUGUAGUCAGGUGGUUUUUGGUGAUGUAAAUUUUACAUCUAUGUUACAUCAUCUAUUGGAGAUGCUAUUAGAAUCCCACUUGAGAUUGACGAUGUGUGUCUUGUGCUGCUUCAGCCUUGACGUCUUACGGCUCACCGGAGCUGCUCCAACGACAGAACGAUCCAUCACAAUAGAGCAGUGCCCUGGAUGUCAUCUAUAGAUUCCUCAGAUCUUCCUCCACACCUCCGACAGCCACCUCUGCCUCAACUGCUUCAGCGACCAACCCAAUGAUGCUGAGGUCGACACGGCUAUGGCAAAGAGGUUGUACACUUGUUGCAUCGCUUAUUACUAUACAUUCACGUCGAUCCAUUAGGGCUAUUUUGGUUCAAUGGAAAGACAUAGCAAUAGGGAAUUUUCCAAUGGCACUCUACUAUUCAAUUAUUCAUGCAUUUUGUUGAAAGGAAUGAAGAAAAACAUCCACCUGGACCUACUUUUCAAAAUCCUAUGCAUAAAAACAAGACCAAGUGCAUUAGUGGCAGAAUAACAUUCUAACUGUACACGCUUUCAUAUGGUUUCACUUUAUUUUGGCCAUGUUUCUUUGCAUUCCUCUGCUCUUCCAAUUCCUGUAAACCAAACACCCAAGUUGACAGAAAUCCUGUGUUUACAAAUGCUCUGUUUAGCAUGUGCAUUCCUAUCCUAUUUCGGUGUUUUUCCUAUCCCUGCGUUUUUAGAAUCAUGCAAGCCAAAUGAGCCCUUACAGAAUUACUUCAGUUACAGAUAGGUGUCGAAGGGAACUUUGUGUGGUUUGUCCUGCUCCUACCGCGACGCCAUCCACCCCACCUGAGCUGCUCCAUCGACAGAAGCGUCCACCAAACCAGACAUCACGACUCCUGACCGUCUUUCGCCGCCUCAGAUCUCCUUCCCUGCCGCCGGCACCAACCGCAACGGCAUCACCAUCAUCAACUUAGCAGAUGAACCUAAGGAGUACACGGGUCCACAAGAGAUGUCGCACUCUUUUGUUUCUGCUUAUGUUAUGCAUUGCUUAAACUUACCUGCUACUUUAUCGUCCUAUUCAGCUCUUGGACUCCCAAGUCAGGUCCAAAUUAAUGUUCAAACUUGAGUUCUAAAUUAGUUGUUAGGCACAUAUCGAGGCAGCAAUGAAUAGCAUGUCUGUCUAAUAUCUGGUUCACCCAGGGUAUGCCUAUGUUGUUCAUCUUGGGUGGGAAACAAAUAGUAAAGCAAUCAUCAUCUAUCUUUUUAUUAAAUUAAAGCAAUCAUCAGCCUGCUAUCAUUAUUUUUGGAUCCAUCCACUGGUUGUUACCAUCACUCUAAAUUUCUGCAUGCUCUCCUUACAUAAUCUCACCAUAUUUUUUUCGUAUGCAUGUCAGAUAUUGUACACAGUCAUGCUGAACAUGUAGAGAAAAAGAGAAGAGUUUUGCGCGGCAAUACAAUGUCAUGCAGACAUCGCUCCAUGGUGGGUUCAAUGGCAAACCCUCCCCACCCCUCUCUAGAUUGUAAUCCAGAGGAAGAUAUCUGUUCUGAGGCGGAUUCAGACGCCGCUGACCACUCCUAUUUACCUCCCCCAAGGUGUUUGCUCUACCUUGGCAUGAUGAUGUUAGUCAUAUCAUGCAUAUGUUGCCUUGUAGUGCCUACUUUUGACAUCAUAUAUGUCAUCUUCUUAGUUUAGACAUGUUCUGUAAUGCCACCUGUUUAGUUUCUAUAUCAUAUAUGGGAAAUAUGCAGUCUCAUGUCUUUUAGCCAGCCAUAAUAUAUGUGAAAUGUGCAAUGUCAUCCUGUUUAACCAGGCAUCAUAUAUUUGAAUGAUAUCUUGCCCAUCCUUUUCUUCAUUACAUUUCCAUUUGUUGACAAUGUUUGUACAUUAAACUACUCUUCUUGUGAAUCAGCCAUUUGGGUGGGAGAUGGAAAAAUCUGGAGUGAAAACAAGGCCUUCAAAGAAGACAGUGCUACCUGUCGAAGCAGAUCUCUUGUUGGGCCCCGAUAACUCCUCAGAGAUGGAUUCAGAGACAGAUGACCAGUCCUAUUCCCCCACCGAGGUGUAUGCUCAAACUUGGCAUGGUUAUACUGCUCAUAUCAUGCAUAUGGUGGCUUGCAUUGCAUAGUUUAGACAUCAUAUACACAAUAUUCAACACCGUGUUCUUAGUUCAGACAUCAUAUCGAAUGCCCUGUGUUUAGCAUAUAAAUCACAUAUGUGAAUUAAAUGAUGUGAUCCAGAUUACUUAGAUACCAUGUAGGUGAAUUAUGUCAUGCGAUCCUGUUUAGUUAUUCAUCAUAUCUUUGAAUUAUGUUAUGCUAUGCUAUCCAUUUUAGAUAGACAUCAUAUAUGUGAAAUUAUGUCAUGCUAUCCGUUUUAGUUAAACAAUAUACAUGUCAACUAUUUCAUGCCUUUUUUCCACAGUAUCUAUUGCAUCUGUCUCUCAUACAAUGUCUGUACAUUCAACUAUGUUUCCUGUUUAUCAGCCAUUUGAAUUGGAGCGGGUGAUGCCAGUAUCCAGCGGACUAAAAACACGGUCUUCAAAUAAAACAGUGCUACCUCUUGGUGGAGAUAGCACCCCGGUUGUACUUGCACAAGAACCAGCCCUACCACACAUAACCCAAACUCUCGCAGAUUGUACCCCUAUUGCGAUGGAUAGAGAACCAGCUUCACCCAAUCUAACCCCAACCCCAGCAGAUAGUAACCCAGUUCCUGUUGACACAGCACCAUCUCCACCAUAGAGCUCCCAAACAAGAGCAGUUAGUAAGGCAGCUCUAGUGCCCAAAGGGCUAGUACUACCACGGCGAACCCCAACUCCACCAGUUAGUACGCCUAUUCCUGUGGAGGAAGCACAACCAGCUAGUCGUAGUUUAGCAGCUAUCGCAUUUGAUGUUGUUAAAUUGUAUGUGUGUAUCUUCCCAUCUUGGAAAUGUUAUACUGAAGAUGAAGGAAAAUGCCAGUUGCAGGUGUUUGUCCAGGAGUUAUGUGUAAGUAAUGUUAUUCAUGGCAAUUACUUUGCUUUGUCCCAUACAUCCUACCUCCAUGAUGGUUAUAAUACAGCAAAUUUUCCCAGUUUUUCUCUAUAGAGAAGGACCGAUUUGGAAACUCAGGAUGAGGUAACCUGUGCAAAUACCUCUGCUAUCUUCAAGAAUGCUUGGUGGCAGUAUCAUAAUUACCUGAAGAAAACGUACUUCACUGGCAAAGAAACUCAUCAAAUUCCCUUACGUUCUCCUGAGACACAUUUACUGGAUGAAGACUGGGAACGCCUUGUUCUGUACUGGUCCCGAACCAAGAAUGUGGUAAGGUCUAUGAGCUCAUUUUCUAUUUUUAAGUACUAUAUUCUUGCGUCUUAUUGUACUCUGUUCAUGUAGAACAAGUGCCUAAACCUAAAGAAUAAUUGUUCUAAUUUAAGAUUCCAUUGCUAUCAUAGUUCAAAAAAGCGCUAGGCAUUAAUUGUGCGUUUUGCCACCGCCUUGCUCUUUACUGACCAAAGCGCAUGCUUAUGUGCAGUUAUGCACAGAUUAAGCGUAGUUAUGCGCAAUGCAUUUUGCCAACGCCUAGAGCCUAGGCGCGCCUUUUAUAAAUAUGAUUGCUAUCGUGCAUACUGCUUUGCUCUUGUAUCACUGUAUUUACUCAUAAAAAGUUAUUUUUAAAUUGAAGAAUCCAAUCGAAACUCCAAUGGCACAGCAGGUACGUUCAUGCAUGUUUCUUUAACAGGUUUGCUCUUAUCAAUAGCUCUAUUGAUUUCAAUUUCAAUUGUGUAUACAGUUGACUUCUCAUAUCAUGCAUAUUACUAGCAUCACAACAGAGCCAAUAGUGUUGUUGUACAUGUAGACCCGUGGUACCCAUCUAACAUCUUGUUGUGUCGUGUAGUUUCCCACUCUUUGUAUUCUUUCACUACUGCUUUUCUUGAACUGAUAUGAUUUGAACCAUGUCACUAUUUGAUUUGGCAAGACAAUGAAGUGACCAUAGGACAUAGAUAUAUGUUUGUUUGAUGCUUUUAUUAUGUACUAUUACUUGGCAAUAGAAGAAUUGGUAGUUUAAUCCUGUCCACCUUACUAAUGAACUGGUUCACCGAAAUGAGUUUCAUAUACUAGUACAUGCUAAACCUGUUAUGUGUCUGCUUGUUUCUUCUUUUAGAAUGCUGACAGUAUAUUGGGGAAGAGUGCCUUAUUAAGCUAUGGUAAAGGACAUAAUGCAGAUAAGGUUCAGGAUAGUGACACAUCCUUGUUGGUCUCCAACAAAACUGAUAAAACAGCUAAGGAAGACUAUCUUGAAGACAGUGAGACAACCCUAGAGUCCUUUCUUGGUUUAGUGUUCGAGUUACUGGCCACUACCGCUUGCACAAGCUAUUCAAACUCACUGUCUGAAUCAAUUCGGUUUCUUGAGUCUCAACUGCAAGCUGAAAGACAUUGAUCAGCUAUGCUGCGACAAGAAGCAGAAGGACUGCGGAAGUCCCUGGAGCAUUCAGAUGCAUACUUUCUGGUGCAACAGCAAGCGUUGGAGGAUUUUAGCACCAAACAGGACAAAGCUAAUAAGCUUGCUAAGCUUAUUGUCAGCAUGGUGGGUACCCAGGAUAAUGUUUCUUGAGCUCUCCUGAAGUUGUUUCAGUUAUGCUCUUGUUUUGCUGUCGCGUUUAUUUAAACUGGUGGCCAAUUUUGAUGGCCAAUGUAUGUAAUAUGCUGCUUUGUUCCCUAUAUUUGCACUGGUGGCGAACUUUGAUGCCCAAUGGAUGUAAUAUGUGUAAUAGCGGUAAUAGGCUAGCGUUAAUUGAUUGGUUAUUUAUUUCCUCAUUGUCUUGUUUAGUUGUUUGCUUGUAGUCACUGCAGUUCUUUUUCUGUAUUUUUCUAGUGGCCACAAUAGCCUAUUUUUGGUAACUAGGCCAAAAUAAUCAUGGUAGCGCACAAACUGUUGUAACACUGGGCCUCCUGCGAGCCGUAUGAUCCAUGGGCCUUCUACGGUCGUAGGAUCCAUUGGCCUUUGUACGGGCCAUAGGAUCCAUGGGCCUUCUACGGGUCGUAGGGUCCAUGGGCCUCCUACGGGCUGUAGGGUCUAUGGGCCUUCUACGGGGCGUAUCAUCGUUUCGCCAAUCAUGGGCCGUACUAUUCGUGGACCAUAACGGGCCAUAUUUGGUAACUGUAUGAAAACAACCCAACGGGUUUUUUUGACAUGAAAAUGGCCCAACAUAUUAACGGUCCACAAACGGGCCGACUGUAACGACGGGCUGAAUUUGGCCCACAAGCAGAAAAUGACAUUAACGGGUUGUAAGUAACUGAAUGCUGCAAAUGAGCCCAAGAAUAAAUGGACCCUGAGAAGGCUGAAAGAUAACUUGGGCUGGAAAUGGCCCAGUGGAAUAAUGGGCCGUUAAUGGGUAUAAAGUGAUACACUGUUCAUUACGGGCCAGUUUCACCACGGGCCGUUAAUGGGCCAAGAGUUACAAAGGGCCUCAUAUGGGCCGAAAGAAGUCAUGGGCCACACAUGGGCCGGACGUUAAAACAGGCUGGAAUCAUAUUGGACGGCCCAGAUGACGCUACUGGGCCUAAUUGGGAUAGGGCAUAAUGGGCCCUGGGUUAUUGGGUUGUAAAUGGGCUAUAUGCGGACACACCGUUAACAGGCUUUCCGUGGCCGGCCCACCACCUUUUGACCAAGUCAAACAGGCCGGCCUUUUCACAAGAAUGGGCCUCUGUUGGGCCGUGCCACGUGUCGAUGUAUCAUAGGCGCCUUGGGCCAAUGAGUGGAUGACAUAUGGCCCAACGGUGAGCCGACACGUGUUUCCUCCAGCCAAUGAUGAUUUCACACGUGGAAAAUCCCCAUUGGUCGGGGCUAUUAACGGGUUAUCGGAUCCGAAACCCAACCCGAUAGCUUAACGGCGUUCCGUUACUGUGGAUGCCACAUGUCGGUCACCCUUGACGAAAGCACUUCUGUGAUGCGCGAUUUAUCGUCAUGGAAGUGGACACUUCCGUGAUGAUAAUUUUGGUAAUGUCAUGGAACACUUCUACGACAGCACAGGUAUGACUAUCUUGAUUCUGUCAUAAAAUCGUCAUGGAUGUACAUGCAUGACAAAAAAACGCGACCUACUGUGACAAACACGUAUCAUCACGGAAGUGUAUUUUUUCUAGUGUGUACUCCUUGUUGGAGAAAUUAACGAGAAGUUGAGAAUCGCCUUUGAUGUUGAGGCGCUUCACCCCUAGCGCGGCCGUGGCCCUGAGCCCGGCGAGUAGGCCUUCGAAUUCUGUGAUGUUGUUGGAGACCUUCUCGCCCCACUGAAAGCAGAGUUGUACCGCAUAGCAAAGCUUGUCCUUGGUGGGCGAGAUGAGGAUGGGCCCCACCCAUGCGCCUUGCCGAGCAAACACCCCGUCGAAGUACAUGACCCAUCCGUCUGGCUCUUCAUCUCCUGGCAAGAGGGAGUAGUCCUCGCCUUCUCCUUGGUUUGGAGCAUCGGUCCAUUCGGCCACGAAGUCAGCAAGGGUCGCGCCCUUGAUGACCCUGGUGGUACUGAACUCGAGAUCAAAUGCUUGAAGCUCAAUGUUCCAUUCAGCAACUCGCCCGGCUGCAUUCGGGCUCCGGAGCACUCUCUCUAGCGGGUAUGUUGAGACAACUUUGAUGGGGUGGCCUUGAAAGUAGUGGCGCAGCUUCCUAGAGGUGACUAGAAGUGCGAGCAAGAGCUUCUGUGGCAUGGGAUAUCGUGCCCGGGCCUCCCUUGGUACUAUGUUGACGAAGUAGACGGGGUGCUCAACGAGGGAGGAGGUAUCAGCAGAAUCUUGUUUUUCAUGAGGGCACAGGUCCGUUUUGGCCUCUUGAGGCCUGUGCUCUAGAGCCUAGAUAGCCACGGGGCCGUUUUUGGCCUCAGGAGGAAUGUCGACUAUUGCGCAUGUUGGUACUUUAGGUGCCUCUUCUGGGGUGUGCUGCACUUUGCUUGUUGGUUGCGCAUCCUGCUGCAACUUCUUGACCGGGCGCUCCUUCCUUAGCGCCACCAGGGCGGCGCUUGCUGAGUGUAGGGUUGCCGCCAGAUAGAGCACCAAGGGCUCGAGAGGGUGCGGUGCCACCAUCACGGGCGGACUGGUGAGAUAUCUCUUGAGGUCCUGGAAGGCUGCGUCUGCCUCGGGGGUCCACUCGAAUGGCUCCUUCCUUUUCAUCAGCUUGAAAAACAGGAGGGCGUGCUCCCCCAACUUGGAAAUGAAGCGUCCAAGCGAGGUUAUGCAGCCAGCCAGCUUCUGCAUCUCCUUCAGGGUCUGCGAGGGGUUCAUGUCCUCUAUUGCCUUGACCUUUUCUGGUUUAGCCUCGAUCCCUUUGUGGGAUACCAAGAAGCCCAGCAGCUUGUCGGAGGGGACCCCAAACACACACUUCUCAGGGUUAAGCCGAAGAUCCACUAUGUGCAGGCUGGGGAAUGUCUCUUCCAGAUCUUCUAUCAGAGUCUUGGCCUCCCGGAACUUCACCACUAUAUCAUCGACGUAGGCCUCCGCGUUUCUCCCGAGCUGCAAACCCAGGGCGAUGUGCAUCAACCACUAGAACGUUGCUCCGACGUUGUGUAGCCCGAAGGGCAUGCAGGUGUAGCAGUACACCCUACAUGGGGUGAGGAAUGUCGUCUUCUCCACAUCUUCCACGGCCAUCUUGAUCUGGUGGUAGCCGGAGAAGGCGUCCGAGAAGCACAGCAGGUCGGACUCGGCAGUGGAGUCGAUGAUCUGGUUGAUGCGAGGGAGCAGAAAGGGAUCUUGAGGGCAGGCCUUGUUGAGGUUGGUGAAGUUGACACACAUGCGCUCCUUCCCUCCUUUCUUGGGGAUGAUGACGGGGUUCGCCAGCCACUCUGGGUACCGCACCUCUCUGAUGACCCCUGUGGCUUGUAGCUUACGGGUUUCUUGGAUGAUGAAGGCUUCCUUCUCGGUGGACUGCUGGCGAGCCUUCUGCUUCACUGGCCGCACAUUUGGGCAUACCCUCAGAUGGUGUUGGAUUAUCCCCCUCGGGACCCCGGCCAGGUCUUUGGGUUCCCAGGCGAAUACAUCCUUGUUGGCUCGCAGAAAGUUGAUCAAUGCCUCCUCUUGAUCCUGUGGGAGGCCAGCCCCUCUGGUGAAGGUGGCACUGGCCAUCCCAUCCUCGCAGACCGACACUUGCUUCGUCUUGGCUCGGUCCUGAGAGAACAACUGCUUCUUCUUGGCAGGUGCUGCCUCUGGGGCCUCCUAAUCCUCCUUCUUGCCAGGUUUCGCGGUCGCAGUUGUCUUGAAGGCGGGCUUGAGGGCCUGCAGUGCAACUUUGGUAUCCCCUGCCACCGUGAGGACACCGUUGCUGCCCGGCAUCUUCAUGAGGUUGUACGCAGGAUGGGUCGCGGCCAUAACUGCGCCAAGGCUGGGUAUCCUAGAAUAGCAUUGUACGGCAGGUUGAUCUUGGCGAUGUCGAAGUCGACGAGCUUGGUGCGGUAGUUGUCAUGGGUCCCAAAGGUGACACCGAGGCGGAUCUGCCUUAGGGGCCUGGUGGAGCCGUCUCCAACUCCAAAGAAGGGCUUGGAGGGGCGGAGCCGGCUGGGCGGUACAUGAAGCAGGCCGAACGCCUCCGGGGAGAGCACGUUGAGGCCGGCUCCGCCGUCGAUGAGGGUCUUGGUGAUCGCCACGUGGCAGAUGGUGGGGGUGCAGAGCAUUGGGAGCACGCCCGCUCCCAUCAUGGCUACAGGGUAACCUUCGGGGCCGAAGGCGAGGUCAGCUUGGGGCACCGCCCAGCCCGAGGGAGCCCCCGAGCCCGCCUGAGUGUUGCCUGCCAGCUGGUGGAACUGCUUGACGUGGCGGCCGGAGGGUGCCGCCUGCGAGCCGCCCAGGAGAGCUGCGAUGACUAGGGGCGUCGGCGCCACGUAGUGGGCGAGGAAGAGGUCGCUCAGCUCCUCCCAGGAGGCCACAGAAGAUGUCGACAGGUUGAGCAGCUAAGCGCGUGGCGCGCCUGUGAGGGCCAUGGGGAACCAGUUGGCCUUCACCUUGUCGUCUCCACCAGCCGCCCAAACUGCUUCCUCUUACGCCUGAAGGAAGGGGGCUGGAUCCGCCGCACUGUCGUAUCAUGGCGGCAUCUCCGGUCAGAACUUGUGCGGCCACUACACUUGAUGGAGAGAGAGGGCGAAGCAGCGUAGCCCCGGUGCUUCGCGCGUCGACAAGGCCGACGGAGGAGCACCCACCAUAUGGGUCAGCGGCACAUUCUGGAAGUCGAGGAAGAGGAUUCCGACGGACCCCUACCUGGCGCGCCAAAUGUCGGAUUUCGGGGUCCGGCAACCCGUGAGAGGUUCAAACACUGGGGUGCAUGCGGAGAUCUCAACCUGCCCAGCCAGCCUACUCGCGAUCCUCCCUAGCCUAGUGCGAAGGACUCAUAGAGACACAGAGAUUUAUACUGGUUCCGGCCACCAUUGUGGUGUAAUACCCUACUCCAGUGUGUGUGGUGGAUUGCCUCGAGGAGCUAUGGAUGAACUAGUACAAGGAUGAACAAGCCUCAGGAGGUGAGGUGUUCUUGAGCUGGUGUGGUGCUCUACUUUCUCUGGUUUUCGGUCCUCCUCUAUGGUGGUGUCUAAGUCCUACAUAUAGUGCCUUGGUCCUCCUCCCAAAUAUGAGCGGGAAGGGAUUCCACAACGGCGGGAUUUGAAAGGGGACAAGUAGUACAGUCUAUCUUGACAAAAGUAUCUUCGCCUGCGAAAAGUCCCUGGCCGUGACGCUGCGGGUGAUGACCUCCGUCCUGCCAUCCUGGCGGUCUUGAUCUCGUUGCACCAGAAUGGAAACCUUUGGUUGCUUCCUUGGGACUCCGCGCCUGUGGCUUGCCUCCUUUGCACCGAAGAGGAAACCUGCGCUCUACACCCGCCUAGCGCCCGCCUGGCGCCCGCCUGGCCUUGGUCGUCAUGGCUCAUGUCAGCAGAUACCUCAUGAGGUAUCUACAUAGAUCUCUCCUCCCCUCAGGAGCCCUCCUGAGGAGGCCAACUCCUUCAGGGGUCUUGGCGUCGUCCGCCUUGCGAGGGUCUUGCUAUGCUGCUGUUGAAGCUGGGUCAUACCAGGCCAUCGAUGGAUCCACGUGGCAGUGGGCUGCAGGCAGGCAGGACUGGAUACCCCCAAGUCCAGGACGCCGACACUACUAUCAUCCUCACCAUGUACAGUCAUCUCCUUAUUCCUCUCGGUUGUUGACCAUGUUGACAACACCAGAGGGUGGCGCCACGGCGAGCGAACCAAGGCGGAGGACGAUGGUGAGGCCUCGUACAGGAAUGAAAAGGAGCCGGGGAAGAUGCGCAGAGUUUUAGGGUGCGAUGUGGCCACGAUGCAUGCGCGGCAGAACAACCAGCCGUGGGAGGCGGGAGCAGGCAGUCCCGCUGGUGCUGGUUUGGCUUUGGCGGCUGGAGGAAGAAGAGACUGAAGAAACACGACAGAUGUUGAAUGUCAAUCCAACGGUCAAGGUUGGCACAAUCGUUUGUUGACUAAGCCGACACCAAGUAGCAUACUUUUUGUAUAUAUAGGAAGAAAAGAAAAACUGGGCUCGUUUGCCUGAUAACAUUCCCGAAACUACGACCGUUCGAUCUUGCGUUGCAACUAAAACUGCAAGGAAAAUGCGUUCGUCUGUCGUCCUCCUCCCAGGGAACAUUCGCCACAUAAGUGGCUAGCACCCUUGGUUUCAACCGAGAGGUCUUGGGUUCGAGUCCCAGGAACUCUCAAUUUUGUCCUUCUUCCUUCCUUGCAAAAAAACAAAGAAAAUCAAAGACUUGAGAAGACGUACAGAACAAGCUAGUGUACCAGUAAAGAGAAAUUGCUGAGUUUUAGAAAAAAGAGAGACGUGCUCCUGUAGCUGGUUCGAAUCCAAACCUAGACUAUGACUAUAUAUGGUGCUAUGCUACUGUACAAGUAAUGAAACUGACAUAUCCAAUGUUCGCUUCUCCUCUUCCCUACUUACUCUGCCUAGAUUCAGAAGCGCUGGCCACAGCAACCAUGUCCCCUGGCUGCUCGUCCACCUGCUCUUCAGUAGGCAACAACAAGAUAUGCGCCAAGUCGCCACCCGUACCAUCGCCCAUGGGUCUCAUCACACCCCCGCUGGCACAGGCACCAUAGUCGGUUGCUCAUCGCAACUCGCUGCCGUUGGUGUGGUGCCACUGCUGCCAAUCAUGCAGAGUCAUCUGUCGCGUCUCAACCACAAUCCUCAACCCUGGUCGAGUCUUCUACAAAUGCCUGAAUCAUGGGGUAAUAAUAUGUUUAAGUGUUGUUCUACUGCUUUCAGUUGUUGAUUUUUUUAAUAGUUUGGUUGAUGAUCUUCCAAAUUGAUUCAUGCAGAAAAGGGAAGAUUCAUGUGAUUUGUAUUUCUGGGAAGUUGCUGAUGUGGGGGAAUGCAACUACGCUUAUUAUUUGAUUAGCCGAGGAAUCCCAAUACCAGCAGGUUGGGGUGUUGGACAAGUAAAUGAAGGAAUGGCAGAAGAGGAAGAUGCAGAGCAGAAGGUUAAAGAUGUUGUUCCUCUGAUCAUGACCAAGCAACAGCUGCUGAACGGCCUUGACGGCAAUGAGGAGAUGAAAGAGCUUGUGAAGAUAAUGGGCAAAAUCGAUGUUCUCUGUAGGAUGAUUGUCUCUUUAUUUGCAGUGUAUGUAGCACUCGUGAUGUAUUCAGUGGCUAUGACAUGAGCACUUUGCUGAAACUAGUAAUGAAUGAAACCUGUGUAGCAGGCUGGGCGUAGUGUUGUGAACAUCUAACGAUUUCUAUUAACGGAAAUCAGGGGGUAUCCCCUUUUGCUCAUAAAUAAAUAAAUAGCAGAGGCCCUUUUGGUAAUAAAUAAAUAAAUUAGCAGAGGCCCUAUCGGGUCAUCUUUGUUUCCAUUCGAAGACAUCGAGUAAAUUGCAGUCCAAGAGCAAACUAUGUCAUCAAAUUCAAGUUUCAUAGCCAAAUAUGAGUACAACUAAACAACUAUGUCAUCAUGUUUUAGUCGUCAUACAAUCACCAAACACAAAUCAGCAUACAUAACAAGAGAUGUUCUCACAGCAAAAUACUAAACAACACAUUCAUCGGGUUUCAAUUGUCAUAGCAAACACAAUUUCACAUAGUAGAUAAAAACAUCUUCUGACAGGAAAAUACAACAAAAGCAAUCUAAUCAUCAUCCGUAGCAGUAGCGUCAACAUCUUCGCCAUGUGUAUCAGCAUGAAUCAUAAUUCCCCACGGUGUCAUCUUCUUAUUCAUCCUCAAUGUCCUCGAACGUUGGCUUCUUCUUGAUCAACUCUUGUAUGUCCACAGCACGACAUGCAAUCUUUUCGCCAGCGUCAUUGACAUGAUGGUUCUCAAAGAUAUUAGGAACAUCUGUGGAAUGUUGUACAUCAGGAGCAGUGUAAGCAUCAUCUUAUUGUGCAACUUCAUUAAACGAAUUCCUCUGCUCAAACCUUUGCAAUACUCUCCAGUCAUCGCUAUGUGCAAAUGUGUCUUCCAAGAAAAUUAUCUGUGUUGCUUGAUUUGCCAAAAUAAAAGGCUCGUUGGUCUGGUACGCCACCUUGACAUUGAUGGAUUUGAAAUAAUCAUCAGCUCUGGGUUUUGCGAGCCUGGAAAACAGGUUAUACCAACGACAGCACAACAGAACCACACACCGAUGAUCCUCGAAACUGGAGAUAUAUUGCAACUGAACAAUGUCCGUUAUGUUAGCAUACAUUUCAGUUGUCUCUCUGUCAUACGUAUCUGUCCUCAUGAUGGCACUGUUUUGUGUCUUCCGGCCUUCGUCGCGUGCAAGGGUGUUGUAGCGCACAUCUCCAACAACGCAAGAUACAUAAUGUCUUACUCGAGUAUCAGGACCCAUUGCUAGUGCGUAAAGGGCAUUAUCAACUGCCUGCCCAUCCUCCCGCAUCUUCUUAACCUAUGGUUAGAAAAUAGACAAGCUGACCAUCUUAUGUACUCAAUAUAUUAAAAAAAACUGGUAGUGCAAUUCAAAAGCUUACAUGGCUCUUGAACCAUUUCGCAAAUCCUGCCAUAACUAGUUUGUCAAUGUUUCUUGGAUUUUGCGACAGUAACUCCUUUUUGUGGAUGCUGCAAAACAUAGUGAUCGCGUCAAACAUCUAAAUAUAUAAGAAUGUGCUGCAAGUUUAGUAGAUUAUGAUGUAUAAGCUGCAGUACUUAGCACUUGCUUGAUAUAAGGUAGUAUCUCAGGACAGUUAUUCAACACAUACCAAACCAUUUUGUCGAAAUCUUUAGGUUUGUCCUCUUGUCGACUCUUCACUGUAACUCGAACAUAAUAAUCGAAAACAUUGAACCCGGGAUUGUCUUCACCCACCUCUUUGCUAAGCUGAUCAGCUGUUUCAAUGUAUUUUGAGCAGAAUGUCAACGCUUCUGUAGCAAUGUAGGCCUCUGCAAUGGAACCCUCGGGUCUAGCUCUGUUCCUAACAUAGCCCUUGAAAGUGCCUAGCCGCCUUUCAGUAGGGUACAUCCAGCCAAACUAUGUUGCACCUCUAAGUAGUGCCUCAGGUAGAUGAACAGCCAAAUGCACCAUCACAUCAAAGAAGGCUGGAGGAUAUAUCUUCUCAAGGUCGCAUAGGAUAGUUGGUAUCUUGUCUCUAAGACGCUCCAAUGCAUCUAUCCUGAUAUUUCUACUUCAGAGUUCCCUGAAGAAUUGUCCCAACUCUACAAUUGCUCUGUAUAAGUCAAAGAGGCCCAAUCCUCUAAGGAUAACAGGUAAAACCCUUUGAAGUAGGACAUGGCAGUCAUGAGUUUUCAACCCUUGUACCUUGUUUCCAUCUGCACUGACUCUCCUUUCAGGGUUGGAAGCAAAUCCAUGUGGGAAUCUCACACGUGACAGGGCCUCGCAGAAUUCUUUUCUUUUUACCUUGUCCAAGAUGUACACAGCUGGUGCCAUAUGUCGUGGUACCUUCAUCUUGCACCUGCAAAUCCUGUCUGAUACCCAAGUGUGUCAAAUCAAUCCUAGAUUUUAAGGUAUCUUUCGUCUUGCCUUCAAUAUUAAGAAGUGUGCCGGUAAUGUUGUCACAUAUAUUUUUCACGAUGUGCAUCACGUCAAGAUUAUGCCACAGAUCCAAAUCUUUCCAAUGCUCCAAGUCCCACAAAGUGGACCUGCGGGUAAACAAUAAUCUCUAUUCUGCCCUGCCAUGCUUCCUUUUCCCGCUACCAUUACCAGGAUGGUUUCCUUGUGUAAUAUGCCUGACCUUCUCUAAGUCCGCUUGCAACUCAUCGGUGGUGAGCCUCUUUGGCGCAUCACGGUUUUCAUGCUUUGCAUUGAACACAUGUUUUCGGUAUUUUCUAGGACGUGGCUUGUCCUUGGCAAGGAAACAACGGUGUCCAAUGUAACAAAUCUUGCUAAGUAUUGCAUAUGACAGCGGAUUCCUGUCACAGCAAACACAUGCAUUAUAACCAUGUGUCGUUCGCCCUGACAUAGUGCCCAAAGCCGGAUAAUCAUGGAUGCACCAAAUUAUAACAGCACGCAGAAAGAAAUCAGCUAGUGGGAUGCUAUAUAGGUCUCGAGUGAGAACACCCCUCCCUAGCUGUUGAAGUUCCUCCACAAGAGGCUCCAUGAAUAAAUCAAAAUCCUUUCCAGGACUUUUGGACCUGGGAUGAGCAAGGCCAUCAUGUAGUUUGAUUCUUUGGUGCAGACAUUUGGAGGCAUGUUGUAAGGGAUAACAAGCACUGGCCACAUGCUAUAUGUGGUGCUCUGGUGGCCAAAUGGGUUAAAUCCAUCUGAAGCAAAGCCAAGUCUAAUGUUUCUCGGGUCAGCAGCAAACUUUUGUGUUUCUGAUUGAAGCUUUUCCACUUACUACCAUGAGAUGAAUGGCUCAUUACAUUCUGAUCUCUAUACUCCUGGUUCCUAGAAUGCCAUAGUACAUCCUCUCUUGUUUUAGCAUCAUGAAACAACCUCUGCAAUCUUGGUAUAAUUGAAAAAUGUCUCAGAACAUUAUGAGGAAUCCUCUUCAUAGCAUCACCAUCUUUCCAUCUUGAUGAUUUGCAUUUCGGGCAUUCACUUAAGUUGGCAUAAUCCUUCCGGUACAGAACACAAUUAUUCUUACAAACAUGGAUCAUAUCAUAUCCAAUUCCAACUACAUGAAGGAAAUUCUUCAUUUUACUGUAGGUGUAUGGCAGCUCAGAUGCAUCUAGGAAAGAUUUCCUGAAAGCGGCCAACAUCGCAUCGAAUGAUUUGUUGGUCAUCCUCUCAGAUGUCUUCACCUGAAGAAAGGUGACCAUAGCUGAGAAUACUGACAACUUAUUUCCUGGGGUGAUAGCCACGUUGCAUUUUUCCAACAUGCGGGUCCAUCGUUUCUCUUCUGCAGGUGAAAGUUCACGAAAUGCACAAGCAUUUCGUCGCAUUGUUCCAAUGUUGGUCUGAUACGUUCAUUUUGCAUCAUGCUUUUAUAUCAAUAUUUAUUGCAUUAUGGGCUGUUAUUACACAUUAUAUCUCAAUACUUAUGGCUAUUCUCUCUUAUUUUACAAGGUUUACCAUGAAGAGGGGGAAUGCCGGCAGCUGGAAUUCUGGCUGGAAAAGGAGCAAAAACCUAUUCUGCACAGCUCCAAAAGUCCUGAGACUCCACGAAACAACUUUUUGGAUUUAAUAAGAAUUUCUGAGCGAAAGAAAUAGGCCAGGGGGCCCACACCUUGUCCAGGAGACAGCCCCCCCCCCCCUAUAAGGUGCGCCACCCUAUCUCCUGGGGCCCCUGGUGGGCCUCCAGCAUCCAUCUUCUGCUAUAUCAUCACUUUUACCCUAGAAAAAAUCAUGGGCAAGCUUACGGGAUGAAACUCCGCCACCACCAGGCGGAACCUUGGCGGAAUCAAUCUAGGGCUCUGGCGGAGCUGUUCUGCCAGGGACACUUCCCUCCGGGAGGGGGGAAUCAUCACCAACGUCAUCACCAACGAUCCUCUCAUCGGGAGGGGGUCAAUAUCCAUCAACAUCUUCACCAGCACCAUCUCCUCUCAAAACCCUAGUUCAUCUCUUGUAUCCAAUCUUGUAUCAAAACCACAAAUUGUUACCUGUGGGUUACUAGUAGUGUUGAUUACUCCUUGUAGUUGAUGCUAAUUGGUUUACUUGGUGGAAGAUCAUAUGUUCAGAUCCCUUAUGCAUGUUAUUACUCCUCUGAUUAUGAACAUGAAUAUGCUUUGUGAGUAGUUAUGUUUGUUCCUGAGGACAUGGGUGAAGUCUUGCUAUUAGUAGUCAUGUGAAUUUGGUAUUCGUUCGAUAUUUUGAUGAGAUGUAUGUUGUCUUUUCCUCUAGUGGUGUUAUGUGAACGUCGACUACAUGACACUUCACCAUUAUUUGGGCCUAGAGGAAGGCAUGGGGAAGUAAAAAGUAGAUGAUGGGUUGCUAGAGUGACAGAAGCUUAAACCCUAGUUUAUGCGUUGCUUCGUUAGGGGCUGAUAUGGAUCCAUAUGUUUAAUGUUGUGGUUAGCUUUACCUUAAUACUUCUUUUGUAGUUGCGGACGCUUGCAAUAGGGGUUAAUCAUAAGUGGGAUGCUUGUCCAAGUAAGGGUAGUACCCAAGUACCGGUCCACCCACAUAUCAAAUUAUCAAAGUACCGAACGCGAAUCAUAUGAGCGUGAUGAAAACUAGCUUGACGAUAAUUCCCAAUGUGUCCUUGGGAGCUCCUUUCUCAUUAUUAGAAAUUGUCCAGGCUUAUCCUUUGCUACAUAAAGGAUUGGGCCACCUUGCUGCACUUUAUUUACUUUAUUUACUUGUUGCUCGUUACUAUUUAUCUUAUCACAAAACUAUCUAUUACCUACAAUUUUAGUGCUCGCAGAGAAAACCUUACUGAAAACCGCUUAUCAUUUCCUUCUGCUCCUCGUUGGGUUUGACACUCUUAAUUAUCGAAAGGACUACGAUAGAUCCCCUACACUUGUGGGUCAUCAAGACUCUUUUCUGGCGUCGUUGCCGGGGAGUGUAGCACUUUUGGUGAGUGGAACUUGGUAAGGAAACAUUUAUUUAGUGUGUUGAAAUUUUCUGUUACUUGUCACUAUGGAAAAUAAUCCUUUGAGGGUUUGUUUGGGGUAUCUUCACCCCAACCAGAAGAGCAAAGAGUUGCUCCUCAACCUACUGAACUUUAUGAAAAUAUUUUUUUUGAGAUUCCUUCGGGUAUGAUAGAGAAACUGCUAGCUAAUCCAUUUGCAGGAGAUGGAACAUUGCAUCCCAAUUUACACCUUAUCUUUGUGGAUGAAGUUUGUGGAUUAUUUAAGCUUGCAAGUGUUCCCGAUGAUGUUGUCAAAAGGAAGGUCUUCCCUUUAUCUUUGAAGGGAGAUGCAAUGACAUGGUAUAGGCUAUGUGACGAUACGAGAUCUUGGAAUUAUAAGCGAUUGAAGUUGGAAUUUCACCAGAAGUUCUAUCCUAUGCAUCUUGUUCAUCGUGAUCGUAAUUACAUAUAUAAUUUCUGGCCUCGUGAAGGAGAAAGCAUCGCUCAAGCUUGGGGGAGGCUUAAGUCAAUGUUAUAUUCAUGCCCCAAUCAUGAGCUCUCUUGGGAAAUGAUUAUUCAGAACUUUUAUGCUCGGCUAUCUCUUGAUAAUCGCAACCUGCUCGAUACUUCCUGUGUUGGUUCUUAUAUGCUGAAGACUAUUGAUUUCAAAUGGGACUUAUUGGAAAGAAUUAAACGCAACUCUGAAGAUUGGGGUUCCGACGAAGGUAAGGAGUCAGGUAUGACACCUAAGUUCGAUUGUGUUAAAUCUUUUAUGGAUACCGAUGUUUUUCGUGGAUUUAGCGCUAAGUAUGGACUUGACUCUGAGAUAGUAGCUACUUUUUGUGAAUCUUUUGCUACUCACGUUGAUCCCCUAAGGAGAAGUGGUUUAAAUAUAAUCCUCCUGUUGAAGUGAAAGUAGUUGCUCCUAUUACAGUCGAAGAAAAGACUAUUACCUAUAGUGAUCCCAUUGUUCCUACUGCUUAUGUUGAAAAACCUCCUUUUCCUGUUAGGAUAAAAGAUCAUGCUAAAGCUUCGACUGUUGUUCGUAAGAGUAAUACUAGGACUUAUACACCUCCUGAGCAAAUUAAUGUUGAACCUAGUAUUGCUAUCGUUAAAGAUCUCUUGUAUGAAGACUUAGAUGGGCAUGUUAUUUCUUUCCUAGGUGAAACCGCUAAUACUGCUAGACCUGAUACUAAGAGACGUAGACCUGUCGUAGGCAUGCCUGUUAUUUCUGUUAAAAUAGAAGAUCAUUGUUAUCAUGGCUUAUGUGAUAUGGGUGCUAGUGCUAGUGCAAUACCUUAUGAUCUUUAUAAAGAAAUUAUGCACGAUAUUGCACCCAUUGAAUUAGAAGACAUUGAUGUUACUAUUAAGCUUGCUAAUAGGGAUACCAUUAAACCUAUUGGGAUUGUUAGAGAUGUUGAAGUUUUGUGUGGGAAGGAUAAAUACCCUGCUGAUUUUCUUGUUCUUGCUUCCCCACAAGAUGCCUUUUGCCCCAUUAUUUUUGGUAGACCCUUCUUGAAUACUGCUAGUGCUAAGAUUAAUUGUGAAAAGAAUAUUUUCACCGUUGGCAUAGAUGGUAUGUCUCAUGAGUUUAAUUUUGCUAAGUUUAGUAGACAACCUCGUGAAAGGAAACCACCUAGUAAGGAUGAGAUUAUUUGUCUUGCUUCCAUUGAUGUUCCUCCAACUGAUCCGUUAGAACAAUAUUUGCUAGACCAUGAAAACGAUAUGUUUAUGAAGGAAAGGGAAGAAAUAGAUGAAGUGUUCCUUAAACAGGAACCUAUGCUGAAACGUAACCUUCCCAUUGAAAUUCUUGGGGAUCCCCCUCCACCCAAGGGUGAUCCCGUGUUUGAACUCAAACCAUUACCUGAUAAUCUUAAGUAUGCUUAUCUUGAUGAAAAAUAAAUAUAUCAUGUUAUUAUUAGUGCUAACCUUUCAGAGAAAGAAGAAGAAAGAUUAUUGAAAACUCUGAAGAAGCACCGAGCUGAUAUUGGAUAUACUCUGGAUGAUCUUAAGGGCGUCAGUCCCACGUUAUGCCAACACAAAAUUAAUAUGGAGGACGAUGCCAAACCAGUUAGAGAUCCUCAAAGACGAUUAAAUCCCAAGAUGAAGGAAGUGGUAAGAAAGGAGAUACUAAAGCUCCUUGAGGCAGGUAUUAUUUAUCCCGUUGCUGAUAGUGAAUGGGUAAGCCUGUCCAUUGUGUCCAUAAAAAGGGAGGUAUUACCAUCGUUCCUAAUGAUAAAGAUGAAUUGAUCCCGCAAAGAAUUACAGGUUAUAGGAUGGUAAUUGAUUUUUGUUAGUUAAAUAAAGCUACUAAGAAAGAUCAUUAUCCUUUACCUUUUAUUGAUCAAAUGCUAGAAAGGCUAUCCAAACAUACACAUUUUUGCUUUCUAUAUGGUUAUUCUGGCUUCUCUCAAAUACCUGUGUCUGCGAAGGAUCAAUCUAAAACUACUUUUACUUGCCCUUUUGGUACUUUUGCUUAUAGACGUAUGCCUUUUGGUUUAUGUAAUGCACCUGCUACCUUUCGAAGAUGUAUGAUGGCUAUAUUUUCUGAUUUUUGUGAAAAGAUUUGUGAGGUAUUCAUGGAUGACUUCUCCGUCUAUGGAUCCUCUUUUGAUGAUUGUUUGAGCAACCUUGGUCGAGUUUUGCAGAGAUGCGAAGACACUAGUCUCGUCCUGAAUUGGGAAAAGUGUCACUUUAUUGUUAAUGAAGGCAUUGUCUUGGGGCACAAGAUCUCUGAGAGAGGUAUUGAAGUUGAUAAAGCCAAAGUUGAUGCUAUUGAAAAGAUGCCAUGUCCCAAGGACAUAAAAGGUAUAAGAUGUUUCCUCGGUCAUGCCGGUUUUUAUAGGAGGUUCAUUAAGGACUUUUCUAAAAUCUCUAGGCCUCUGACUAAUUUAUUGCAAAAAGAUAUUCCUUUUGUCUUUGAUGAUGAUUGUGUAGAAGCUUUUGAAACACCUAAGAAAGUUUUGAUCACUGCACCUAUUGUUCAGCCACCUGAUUGGAAUUUACCUUUUGAAAUUAUGUGCGAUGCUAGUGAUUAUGCUGUAGGUGAUGUUCUAGGGCAAAGAGUCAAUAAGAAAUUGAAUGUUAUCUAAUAUGCUAGUAAGACUCUUGAUACUGCCCAGAGAAAUUAUGCUACUACUGAAAAAGAGUUCUUAGCAGUUGUGUUUGCAUGUGAUAAGUUUAGACCUUAUAUUGUUGAUUCCAAAGUCACUAUUCACACUGGUCAUGCUGCUAUUAAAUAUCUUAUGGAAAAGAAAGAUGCUAAGCCUAGACUCAUUAGAUGGGUUCUCUUGCUCCAAGAAUUUGAUUUGCAUAUUAUUGAUGGAAAAGGAGCUGAUAACCCCGUUGCAGAUAACUUGUCUAGGUUAGAGAAUGUUCUUGAUGACCCACUGCCUAUUAAUGAUAGCUUUCCUGAUGAACAAUUAGCGGUCGUCAAUGCUUCUCGUACUGCUCCCUAGUAUGCUGAUUAUGCUAAUUACAUUGUUGCUAAAUAUUUACCGCCUAGUUUCACAUACCAGCAGAAGAAAAAGUUCUUUUAUGAUUUAAGACAUUACUUCUGGGAUGAUCCACACCUUUAUAAAGGAGUAGAUGGUAUUAUUAGACGUUGUGUGCCUGAGCAUGAACAGGAACAGAUUCUACGCAAGUGUCACUCUGAGUCUUAUGGGGGACACCACGCUGGAGAUAGAACUGCACACAAGGUACUACAAUCUGGUUUUUAUUGGCCUACUCUCUUCAAAGAUGCUCGUAAGUUUGUCUUAUCUUGUGAUGAAUGUCAAAGAAUAGGUAACAUUAGUAGACGUCAAGAAAUGCCUAUGAAUUAUUCUCUUGUUAUUGAACCGUUUGAUGUUUGGGGCUUUGAUUAUAUGGGACCUUUUCCUGCCUCUAAUGGUUAUACACAUAUUUUAGUUGUUGUUGAUUAUGUUACUAAGUGGGUAGAAGCUAUUCCAACUAGUAGUGCUGAUCAUAACACUUCUAUUAAAAUGCUUAAAGAAGUUAUUUUUCCGAGGUUUGGAGUCCCUAGAUAUCUUAUGGCUGAUGGUGGUUCACAUUUUAUUCAUGGUAAUUUCUGUAAGAUGCUUGCUAAGUAUGAUGUCAAUCAUAGAAUAGCAUCUCCUUAUCAUCCGCAGUCUAGUGGUCAAGUAGAGUUGAGCAAUAGAGAGCUCAAAUUAAUUUUGCAAAAGACUGUGAAUAGAUCUAGAAAGAAUUGGUCCGAAAAACUUGAUGAUGCAUUAUGGGCCUAUAGAACUGCAUACAAAAAUCCUAUGGGUAUGUCUCCUUAUAAGAUGGUUUAUGGAAAAGCGUGUCAUUUACCUCUUGAACUUGAACAUAAGUCAUAUUGGGCUAUCAAAGAGCUCAACUAUGACUUCAAACUUGCCGGUGAGAAGAGGUUAUUUGAUAUUAGCUCACUUGAUGAAUGGAGAACCCAAGCCUAUGACAAUGCCAAGCUUUUCAAAGAAAAAGUCAAACGCUGGCAUCAUAAGAGGAUACAGAAGCGUGAGUUUAACGUAGGAGAUUAUGUGUUAUUAUUCAACUCUCGUUUAAGAUUUUUUGCAGGAAAACUUCUCUCAAAAUGGGAAGGUCCCUACGUUAUCGAGGAGGUCUAUCAUUCUGGUGGUAUAAAAAUCAACAACUUCGAAGGCACAAGUCCAAGGGUGGUUAACGGUCAAAGAAUUAAACACUAUAUUUCACAUAAUCCAAUCAAUGUUGAAACUAAUAUUAUUGAAACCGUAACCCCUGAGGAAUACAUAAAGGACACUUUCCAGAACAUUUCAGACUCCGAAAAGGUAUAGGUAUGAGGUACUGUAAGUAAACCAACUCCAAAACAACUCUAAUGGCAAUUUUUAUCAGUUUUGGAUUAUUUAAGAAUCUUAGGAAGAAAGAAGUAGUCUGAAAGGGACACGAGGCUCCCACGAGAGUGGAGGGCGCGCCCCCCUGUAGGGCGCGCCCCCCUGUCUAGUGGGCACCUCGUGUGCCUCCCUGACUCCGUUUUCUUGUAUGUUACAUAUUUUGGUCGGUAAAAAUUCAUUAUAUAUACUCCGGAAGGUUUUGACCACCGUAUCACGCAAAUAUCCUCUGUUUUCGUUUCGAGCUAUUUCUGUUUCAGAUCUAGAGGAUCAUGGCGUAUCCAAGCGCUCCCAAGGACAAGUUUUUCGAGAGGGUUAUCAACCCCUAUCUCGCAGAGGUACUGCAACACCCUCAAACCAUUGAGAUGCGUGAGGGGGUGCUGCACAUCCGCGAUGUGGAGGGACCAAGGCGUACUGGGAGCGUGGAGACAAAGCUCGAAGCCGUGGAGCAAGAAGUUUUCAAGUGUCAAGGGAAGGUGGAGCGUGGACUCAACGCCAACCAGAUGAUGAUCACGGAGUUCACCAACAACCACAAGCUAGAUGCCAAAGUCAUUGGGGAGACCAUCUUCAAGCUUCAAGAGAAAAUCAAACAUCUCCAAGCCCAGAUCUAUGACCUGCAAAACCAGAACUGUGAGUAUGAAUAUAGAUUUAAGAGGAUGAGUUUGGCUGCAGAUUUAAGGAUCCCGGAGACUCGAUCAUCCUGCUAUGAUGGAGAGCCUAUGCCUUGGAAGACGGACGAUAAGCCUACAUCAUCAACAACUCCUACUUCACCACCUCCGGAGAAAUAAUCACAUGGGUAUGGGCACUCCCCUUGGCAACUGCCAAGCUUGGGGGAGGUGCCCCGGUAUCGUAUCACCAUCACACUCCUAUCUUUACCGCUUUUAUUUAUUUCGAUCCUUUUAGUAGUAUCUUGAUCUAGUAGUUUGAAGUUUUGAUAUCAAGCAGUUUUGAGUUUUGCAUUGUGAUCUCUUUAUGUAAUCGAGUCCGUGUGCUAUCUAUAAUAAAGAUUAGUGUUGAGUCAAGGGCUUUGCUAUGUUGAUAUGAUCUUUAGAAAGUAGAAAGAAUAAAAGAGUUCAUAUUGAUCUUAUGGAUAGUGAUAACUUCACACAUAGAAAGUAUGAGGCAUAAAAAUUGUUGAGAGUUGACAAACUUAGCAUUGGUCGUCGUUGCAAUUAAUAGGAAGUGAUAAGGAAAGAGGGGUUCACAUAUAGAUAUAUUAUCUUGGACAUCUUUUAUGAUUGUGAAGCACCCAUUAAGUAUGACAUGCUAAAAGAGUUGAUGUUGUACAAGGAAGACAACGUAAUGGUUUAUGUUUUUCGACAUCUCAGUUAAAGUAUAUUGUCAUUGACCUUCCAAACAUGUUGAGCUUGCCUUUCCCCCUCAUGCUAGCCAAAUUCCUUGCACCAAGUAGAAAUACUACUUGCGCUUCCAAAUAUCCUUAAACCCAGUUUUGCCAUAAGAGUCCACCAUACCUACCUAUGGAUUGAGUAAGAUCCUUCAAGUAAGUUGUCAUCGGUGCAAGCAAUAAAAAUUGCUCUGUAAAUAUGUAUGACUUAUUAGUGCAGAGAAAAUAAGCUUUGUACGAACUUGUUGUGGAAGUAAUAAAAGCGACGGACUGCAUAAUAAAGGUCCACAUACAAGGGGCAAUAUAAAGUGACGUUCUUUUGCAUUAAGAUUUUAUGCAUCAACCCUAAACGUGACAACCUCUGCUUCCCUCUGCGAAGGGCCUAUCUUUUACUUUAUGUUUUUACUUCAUGCUUGAGUCAAGGUGAUCCUCACCUUUCCCUUUUUCCAUUUUAUCCUUUGGCAAGCUCCUCGUGUUUGAAAGAUCAUGAUAUAUAUAUCCAAUUGGAUGUAACUUAGCAUGGGCUAUUAUUGUUGACAUCACCUAAAAGUGAAUACGUUGGGAGGUAACACAAUAAGCCCCUAUCUUUCUCACUGUCCGGCUGAAACCCUAUAACCACAACUACUGCGUGAGUGUUAGCAAUUGUAGGAGACUACGAGAUAGUUGAGUAUGUGAGCUUGCUGAAAAGCUCUAUUAUUGACUCUUUUUGAUGUUAUGAUAAAUUGCAAUUGCUUCAAUGACUGAGAUUAUAGUUUGUUAGCUCCGAUGAAGUUUUUGAACCAUACUUGACAUUGUGAAUUGCUUGUUACUUGAGCAUGGGAAAUCAUAUGACAAAAUCUAUAUAUGUUGCUGUUAUUAGAAUGAUCAUGAUGCCCUCAUGUCCAUAUUUUUUUAUAGACACCUCUAUCUCUAAACAUGUGGACAUAUUUUUCGAUUUCGGCUUCCGCUUGAGGACAAGCGAGGUCUAAGCUUGGGGGAGUUGAUACGUUCAUUUUGCAUCAUGCUUUUAUAUCAAUAUUUAUUGCAUUAUGGGUUGUUAUUACACAUUAUAUCUCAAUACUUAUGGCUAUUCUCUCUUAUUUUACAAGGUUUACCAUGAAGAGGGGGAAUGCCGGCAGCUGGAAUUCUGGCUGGAAAAGGAUCAAAUGUUGGAAACCUAUUCUGCAUAGCUCCAAAAGUCCUGAGACUCCACGAAACAACUUUUUGGAUUUAAUAAGAAUUUCUAAGCGAAAUAAAUAGGCCAAGGGGCCCACACCCUGUCCAGGAGAUAGGGGGGCGCCCCCCUAUAGGGGGCGCCCCCCUAUCUCCUGGGCCCCCUGGUGGGCCUCUGGCGUCCAUCUUCUGCUAUAUCAUCACUUUUACCCUGGAAAAAAUCGUGGGCAAGCUUACGGGACGAAACUCCGCCGCCACGAGGUGGAACCUUGGCGGAAUCAAUCUAGGGCUCUGGUGGAGCUGUUCCGUCGGGGACACUUCCCUCCGGGAGGGGGAAAUCAUUACCAACGUCAUCACCAACGAUCCUCUCAUCGGGAGGGGGUCAAUCUCCAUCAACAUCUUCAACAGCACCAUCUCCUCUCAAAACCCUAGUUCAUCUCUUGUAUCCAAUCUUGUAUCAAAACCACAAAUUGGUACCUGUGGGUUGCUAGUAGUGUUGAUUACUCCUUGUAGUUGAUGCUAAUUGGUUUACUUGGUGGAAGAUCAUAUGUUCAAAUCCUUUAUGCAUGUUAUUACUCCUCUGAUUAUGAACAUGAAUAUUCUUUGUGAGUAGUUACGUUUGUUCAUGAGGACAUGGGUGAAGUCUUGCUAUUAGUAGUCAUGUGAAUUUGGUAUUCGUUCGAUAUUUUGAUGAGAUGUAUGUUAUCUUUUCCUCUAGUGGUGUUAUGUGAACGUCGACUACAUGACACUUCACCAUUAUUUGGGCCUAGAGGAAGGCAUGGGGAAGUAAUAAGUAGAUGAUGGGUUGCUAGAGUGACAGAAGCUUAAACCCUAGUUUAUGCGUUGCUUCGUUAGGGGCUGAUAUGGAUCCAUAUGUUUAAUGUUGUGGUUAGGUUUACCUUAAUACUUCUUUUGUAGUUGCGGACGCUUGCAAUAGGGGUUAAUCAUAAGUGGGAUGCUUGUCCAAGUUAGAGCAGUACCCAAGUACCGGUCCACCCACAUAUCAAAUUAUCAAAGUACCGAACGCGAAUCAUAUGAGCGUGAUGAAAACUAGCUUGACGAUAAUUCCCAAUGUGUCCUCAGGAGCUCCUUUCUCAUUAUUAGAAAUUGUCUAGGCUUAUCCUUUGCUACAUAAAGGAUUGGGCCACCUUGCUGCACUUUAUUUACUUUAUUUACUUGUUGCUCGUUACUAUUUAUCUUAUCACAAAACUAUCUAUUACCUACAAUUUCAGUGCUUGCAGAGAAAACCUUACUAAAAACCGCUUAUCAUUUCCUUCUGCUCCUCGUUGGGUUUGACACUCUUACUUAUCAAAAGGACUACGAUAUAUCCCCUACACUUGUGGGUCAUCAUGGUCAAACUCACUGGCUCCACCACCACCUCCUCCUCCUCUUCCACCUGAGCAUCAGGCAGAUCAAGAUGGUGAUUUGCUGCUUCCACAUAGUCAAUAACAUUGACGUUCACAGCUUUACCAUGAUGAACCCACCUAGUAUAUGUGACCGACAUCCCAUACAAGUGUAGAUGAUUUUGCACAGUUGACUGGGGUCUUGUAAUUGGAUUCAUACAACUGCUACACAGGCAGAGCACAUCUGAUUUCGGACCACCGUACUCAGCUCUGAUAAAGUUCAUGAAGUUUUCAACCCCCUCAACAUAUGCAGUGGAGAAUCUUCGAGCAGAAGUUAUCCAAUUCUUGUCCAUCUGUUAGACAUACAAAUUAGUUCUUCUACUAGAUAUUACAGGAAAAACAUAUUUUUUAUGAAGUCCAGAGAAAAAAUACCUAGGUCGAUGUCUAAAGCUAUGGCAAGAUAUUUGGACAAGCAGAUCUAAGUAACGAAAUAUAUGUAAAGCUAAUUCAGCAAACAGAUUUGAGUGCUAAAUUAUGGUAGGCUGUUUCAGCAGUCAAUGAGGCCGAGCACAUAACCAUCAAACUAUCGAAGGCCAUCGCAGCAACAAAGAUCGAGUAUAAAACGGUGUAGAGCUAUUUCACCUAACAAAUUGGCUACUAGACCAUGGCAAUCUACGUCACAACAAAUAUAUGGCGGGAUAUUUUAGCAACUAAUUGGCCUUGGCAUGACAUCUCAGCUAAGCAGAUUGAGUGCAGAACAGGGCAAGGAAGCUUCUUAAGCAGAGCAUAUUGACUGUAAACUACUUCGGCAAACAGUGAGAUUAACAGCGUCUAUCAGCUAACAUUCAGCGCUACACCGACAUGCACGGGGCCUCGGUCUAGAAUGCGUGUACCGUGGGAGAGGCUAACUGCCAUGCGUCUCCACACGAACGUCACCAGCGGUGGCAGCGGUGACCGCCAUGCGCCUCCACAAGAACGUCGCCAGCGGUGGCGGCGCGGCUAGAGGACGGUAGUCUACCAGAGCAUACUGUGGGAGCGAGAGGAUCGCCGUGCAUCCCCUCGACGAACUGCGGCGCUGACGUAUCAGCACGGCGGGGAGGGCAGCUUUGGCAGAGCGAANNNNNNNNNNNNNNNNNNNNNNNNNNNNNNNNNNNNNNNNNNNNNNNNNNNNNNNNNNNNNNNNNNNNNNNNNNNNNNNNNNNNNNNNNNNNNNNNNNNNNNNNNNNNNNNNNNNNNNNNNNNNNNNNNNNNNNNNNNNNNNNNNNNNNNNNNNNNNNNNNNNNNNNNNNNNNNNNNNNNNNNNNNNNNNNNNNNNNNNNNNNNNNNNNNNNNNNNNNNNNNNNNNNNNNNNNNNNNNNNNNNNNNNNNNNNNNNNNNNNNNNNNNNNNNNNNNNNNNNNNNNNNNNNNNNNNNNNNNNNNNNNNNNNNNNNNNNNNNNNNNNNNNNNNNNNNNNNNNNNNNNNNNNUCGUGCAGUGUGCGGGGGGAGUUUGGCGCAUGGUCGGUUUCUCCAAGUGCAGUCCCACGUGUCAGUGAAGAGGCAAGCCGAAGCGUGUUCCGUUUGCGUGAGCCGUGUGCAGGACCGAAGGUGUGUGGGGUGCAAGGCGACCGCAGCAGGGGUGUUGUGAGUGUACCGCCUUUUUUCCUUUUAAACUAGGUGCUUCACCCCUCAAAAAAAACUUGGUGCUUCAUGCGAUCCAUUGAUACUACUACUAGUAAUCUGGUAAUCCCGACUAAAACGGCGUGGCAGGGUCUUUUCCCGUGCGAUGUGAUGGGAGGUUGGCUUAGUUGGGUUUUUUAGGACGAGUAAUGCUACACCUACGUAAUCCUAGUUAUGUAAUUAACAUAAUGUGAAACGUGUGAGAUGUUGAUUGUAGAUUGGGGGAGGGAGGGGCCACCACCAUGAAAAUCUGGGAGGAGAGAGAGAGGCAAUUUACGUUAACCCUUUUGUAGGUUCCCGUAGAUGUAGAAAGAUGUGAAAUGCGUGAAUGUGUAGUGGACGUACUAUUGGAGUGCCUAAGAUAAAUUGUGUAUGUAGACCCUAUGUGUUUAUUUACUUCGCAUGUUAGCUUUGUCUCGGUUCAAUAAAAAGCAGAGUUGGUGAUGAUGGUGUGCCUGUCAUCCUGCAAUAUAGGCCAUCUGAUCUAUAUCUAACGGAUAGGAAGGAAACUAUGACAAUUUACCGUCACUCCUCUCCACAUUUGCAGAUAAGGACUUCCCUCGUUCAUCCUUUUCUCCACAAGAUCUUGAUGUUCCGUGCAACACACAGGCAUCUUGCUAGUACUCCUACAAUAUACUAUAUUAUUGUGAAAGUUCAUAUACACCGACCGAGAUUAAUGCAAACACGGCAGAUUUUCAUUACAUAUCGAACUUUUAUAGGACAGAAAAAUAAAAGAAACCCGACCCAAAACCUGUUCUAUGACGGUGACCGACGUCCUCCAUCUGUGAUCUCUAUGUACGGGAGCGGGGUUCAAGACCCGUGAAGUGAAGGUGCGGUCUCCGGCGAGGAAGAGUAGAACACGGGAUACGGACCGGCCAGUUGGCACACCAUGCCAUGCCGCCUCCCGUGCCCUACUCAUUCUCGGAGGAGUCCCCGACCUUGGCGGUGCCAGGCGUUGGACGGUGGCAACUAGGACGCGUGGCUGACGGUGCACCCAUCGUCGGCCGCCAGCAUGGCCACCGCUUGUGUGGUCGCGUCCGCGUUCGGCUACGCCACUAUUGCAUCGCGAGCAGCGACUUGAGCGAGGGCGGCGAUGGUCUCAGGUCCUGGGGAUGCAGUUGUCCGUGCUACACCACUCCACGGACGCAGCACGGCACGCGCGCACUUCGGCGCCUCGUGCAUCCUCGACGAGCCGGGUGUUGAUCUGCUGGUCGUGCCACAACGCUAAUGCCACCCUCGGCACACUGAGACCAACCGUGUCCCAUGAUUAUGAUGAGCGUGUCGCUCACCGCGGUCACUGUGUCCAGAGGCGGUGCUGGAGCUGCGCCACAUUGCUGGCCCCCAUGACCCACAUGAACGGUUGCCGGUGGCGAGGAGGUGGUGGGCCAGCUCCUCCAUCGGACUAGUCUGCGCUACGUCGUCUUGACAGGUGUGCCCCAUUUGUCGGUUUCCCUGUUUCCCAGCCAUGUUCGAGCGUUAGUGCUCUGCGUUGCGCAUUAGGCCUUUCACUAUGUAGGCCAAACGAGACAACUUAUUGUUUAUUUGAGCCGUUCAAGUAUAAUCAUGUGGUGUUUGCUUAUUUCUCAUUCCUCUCCAAACCUCUUAUCCAUCGAUCAUGCUGCCCUCCGGUCGAGUCCAUCCUCCCACAUGCCUCAUUUGAACAUUCUGUCGAGUAUCAUUCGCAUGUGGGCCUAGUGUUGGGGAACGUAGUAAUUUCAAAAAAAUUCCUACGCACACGCAAGAUCAUGGUGAUGGCAUAGCAACGAGAGGGGAGAGUGUUGUCCACGUACCCUCGUAGACCGUAAGCGGAAGCGUUAUCACAACGCGGUUGAUGUAGUCGUACGUCUUCACGACUCGACCGAUCCAAGUACCGAACGUACGGCACCUCCGUGUUCAGCACACGUUCAGCUCGAUGACGUUCCCCGGGCUCCAAUCCAGCAAAGCGUCGGGGAUGAGUUCCGUCAGCACGACAGCGUGGUGACGAUGAUGAUGUUCUACCGGCGCAGGGCUUCGCCUAAAUUCCACGACGAUAUGACCGAGGUGGAAUAUGGUGGAGGGGGGCACCGCACACGGCUAAGGAACGAUUCGUAGAUCAACUUGUGUUGUCCCUAGAGGUGCCCCCCUGCCCCCGUAUAUAAAGGAGCAAGGGGGGAGGGGGCGGUCGGCCUAGGAGGGGCGCGCCAAGGGGAGUCCUACUCCCACCGGGAGUAGGACUUCCUCCUUCCUUGCUGGAGUAGGAGAAAGGGGGAAAGAGGGGGGAGGAGGAAGGAAAGGGGGGCCGCACCCCUUGUCCAAUUCGGACCAGAGGGGGGCUGUGCGCCUCCUUCCUUUCGGCCUCUCUCCUCUAUUCCCGUAUGGCCCAAUAAGGCCCAUAUACUCCCCGGCGAAUUCCCGUAACUCUCCGGUACUCCGAAAAAUACCCGAAUCACUCGAAACCUUUCUGAACUCCGAAUAUAGUCGUCCAAUAUAUCGAUCUUUACGUCUCGACCAUUUCGAGACUCCUCGUCAUGUCCCCGAUCUCAUCCGGGACUCUGAACACCUUCGGUACAUCAAAACUCAUAAACUCAUAAUAAAACUAUCAUCGAAACCUUAAGCAUGCGGACCCUACGGGUUCGAGAACUAUGUAGACAUGACCUAGAACUGUUUCCGGUCAAUAACCAAUAGUGGAACCUGGAUGUUCAUAUUGGCUCCUACAUAUUCUACGAAGAUCUUUAUCGGUCAAACCGCAUAACAACAUAUGUUGUUCCCUUUGUCAUCGGUAUGUUACUUGCCCGAGAUUCGAUCGUCGGUAUCCAAUACCUAGUUCAAUCUCGUUACCGGCAAGUCUCUUUACUCGUUCCGUAAUACAUCAUCCCACAACUAACUCAUUAGUUGCAAUGCUUGCAAGGCUUAAGUGAUGUGUAUUACCGAGAGGGCCCAGAGAUACCUCUCCGAUAAUCGGAGUGACAAAACCUAAUCUCGAAAUACGCCAACCCAACAUGUACCUUCGGAGUCACCUGUAGAGCACCUUUAUAAUCACCCAAUUACGUUGUGACGUUUGGUAGCACACAAAGUGUUCCUUUGGUAAACGGGAGUUGCAUAAUCUCAUAGUCACAGGAACAUGUAUAAGUCAUGAAGAAAGCAGUAGCAACAUACUAAACGAUCGUGUGCUAAGCUAACGGAAUGGGUCAAGUCAAUCACAUCAUUCUCCUAAUGAUGUGAUCCCGUUAAUCAAAUGACAACUCUUUUGUCCAUGGCUAGGAAACUUAACCAUCUUUGAUUCACGAGCUAGUCAAGUAGAGGCAUACUAGUGACACUAUGUUUGUCUAUGUAUUCACACAUGUAUUAUGUUUCCGGUUAAUACAAUUCUAGCAUGAAUAAUAAACAUUUAUCAUGAAAUAAGGAAAUAAAUAAUAAAUUUAUUAUUGCCUCUAGGGCAUAUUUCCUUCACCUAGACCAUGCUUGUAUUUCCAAUGUUGUAAUUUGUCUUACAUGCAUACAAACAAAUGGUUCGUUUAAAGUUUCACUUUGCCUCCACUACGUGUCGCUUCCCAUCUUAGUUUUGACAUCCCAUUCGGUUCAUGCCCCGACACAUAUUGACGAGAUCGAUUGAUGUUAAGAGAUCAAUUGCGUGUCAUGCAAGGAGAUAAAGAUUUGGUCCGUUUCUAUGAUAGAAAUGGCCACGGGGGGGUCUGUGGGGAUCAGAGGGAGUAUAUUGUACGUUCAUAGGCAAAUGAACAUAUUAUACCCACCCUAUUCCUCUUUCAAUCGAUCUCUGGACCCCGAGACGAAAUCGAGAGAGAACGAGUGGGUGCAUGUGUGAUACCUAAGGUGGAUUCAAAAUUUUGAACCGGUGAUCAUAGCAUCCGCAAAUCAUAUAUAAAGGGUAUUCAAUGUUUGUUUCGCUUUUGAACAUACAAUAUACUCCUUCCGAUCCUUUCUAGUUUACAUAUAAGUUUUAUGUGUAGUCAAAGUAUCUCUACUUUGAUCAAACUUACAGAAAAAAGUAUCAACAUUCAACAACACCCAAUCAAUAUUGUUAGAUUCGUACGUACUCCUAGAUUUGUAUUCAAAUAGAGAUGGUUUCCAACUUGUCUUCAACCACGUGGAUAUGCUUGUUCUUGCGCAUGCUCUUCCUACUAGGAUUUCGCCACGUCUAGCCAGUCCAAUAGUAACUUUUUUUAAGCUCCCUAUCCAAUAGUACUAGUGGAGUACUGACAACAUCUGUAGUAGAGUAUGCAGUGCUCAUAGUACUCCCUCCUUCCAUUUAUAUAGGGCCUAUGUGGAGGAGAGAGAUGUGAAAAAGUAAGGGGAGUGAGCUCUCAUGCAAGAGCCUAGCUAUAUACGCAUUCCUAGUUAAAUACAAUAAAUAUGAAGAAAGAGAUAGAGAGGAGAUGGAAAAAGUAUUAACACAAUAGCCAACCUUUUUUUGUGGGAAAUAGCCAACCUUAUAGCCCACACUACUGUAUGAGUGCAUAUAGAUGAUGGCUAUAGAUGACAUGGCAGUUCCUUAUAGCCAUCGGCUGGCUAUAUUAUUAACCAUGCUCUCAUGCGUUUUUCAAAACCGCCUUUGACUAAUGACAAGAUUAAUAGUACAUGAGAUGUAUAAUGUGAAAAUUAUAUCAUUGAAAGCUCCUUUCACAUACAAAUUUGACUGUAUGUUUUGUGUAAAUUGCAUGUCAUAUAUUAUUACUCUAACUUUUGGUCAAAGUUAGCCUCGAAAAACGCAUUAGGCCCUAUAUAGUAGAUGGAAGGAGGGAGUAGUAGUGGAAGUGGAUCCUCUGAUGUAGGUAUCCCUGCCUUACCCUCCCUUUCGGUCACUUACUGGCGGACCCCAUGCUUUCUAGGCCCCGCAUGUUAGUUACUCAAUGGGUCCGGCCACGUCAGGGGAUCCUCAUCCAUAGUCUACUCCCUCUAUUUUUAUUUACUCCGUGUAAAACGGAGGGAGUGGUAGUAUAAAUGACGCGAGCGGGGGAGGGGGAGGGACAUCGGUUUGCUCUCAACUGCGGUCCCACAAGCGAGAAAAAAUGCAAGACGAAGCGCAUUCCAUUCGGUGAGCAACGUGGAGGGUCCAACAUGCCUGGGUGCAACGCGAACGCGACAAGAGCGAUGUACAGUCAAAACCGAUUGACCGGUCGUCACCGGAACCACUAUUCACACCAGAACCUUCGCUGCUCGGCCUACGCCAGCCACUGUCCCAAAACCACACCUCCUAUCCAACCCAUUCCCCCACCUUUUGAUCCCCUAGCCCGCAUCAAGCAUCCCCUAGUUCGCCGGAAAGCCAUGGUGCACCGCAAGAUCACGUACUACAAGAGGCUAACGCCGGAGCAUCGCGCAGAAAUUGCAGCGGCGGUCGGCGCCACAGACCUCCAUUCCCAAGCUCGCUUUGCGGCAAGCCAAUCCCCGAGUUCUCUUGAGCCAAGCUACGAGGAGGAGGAAGCUGAUCCAAAGUUCAUGGCGGAGGUCUCGGCGCAGAAGGCCCCCGAUGGGUAUGAGACGAUGGACAUCAACUUUGAGUCGGCGUCCGGGUCCCCCAUGGUGCAGGCGGACCAGCGGUUCAAUUUGGCGAUACUAAAGGAGGACCGGGAGGCAGAGGCUCAACUCAACACGGAGCACGCGCAUGCCACUGGCAUCGAGGCUCUCCUGCAGGCGGAACCGGAUGUCAUGGAUGUGAACCGGGCGGCGGAGCCUCAACUUGAGGCGGAGCGCGCGAAUGCCGCUGCCAUCGAGGCCCUCCUGCAGACGGAACCGGAGGUCCUGGACUUGAACAGGGCGGCAGAGGCUCAACUCGACGCGGAGCACGCGGAUGCUGCUGCCAUCGAGGCCCUCCUGCAGGCAAAACCAGACGUUCUCGACUUGAACUGGGCGACGGAGGCUCAACUCGACGCGGAGCGUGCGGAUGCCGCUGCCAUCGAGGCCCUCCUGCAGGCGAAACCGGAUGUCCUCGACUUGAACCGGGCGGUGCUCUCGUCCAUGUAGAGCACUCGCAUGCUCCGCGUGAACGAGUAGCUGGAGGCCGAGGACAACCACGGUGUGGAGACACGCGUCGGCAGCUACGGCUGGUUCAUGUCGGCAGCAAAGAUGAUGAGGCUGUCUCGUUCCACGAGCAGUGAUAGUUUUUCUUUAUGUUGUUGUUUUUAGGGAUCUUUUGUUGUGUAAAAACAUAUAUUGUUAUGCAAGUCGCCUGACUUUCAUCAUUUGGGUCAGUCUACCAUUUCAGGCAGUUGGAUGAAUAUCCUAUGUCUCCUAACCCUUCUUCCUCACCUCUUCUUCUUCCCCAACAGACCGCCGCACGGGCCGUACGGAUCCUCCCCGACAUGCGGUAUGAUAAACAUACUAUAUGAACGAAAAUUAUGUGCCAGUGGUAGGAUGGCUGAGUUUGGUUUGUCACAUGCGGUAGCACGUGUCAGUGAGGGUGCAUUCCCUUGGUUGGGUUUGCGGCGUGCAGGAGCGACUGUGUGAGGGUGCGGUGCGACCGUGGCGUGUAGGAGCGACCGUGUGAGGGUGCGGUGCGACCGCGACAGCCAUGCACAAGUGUACCUCCUUUUCAUUUUGAAAACUUUAGGCAAGCUUGGCAAAAAUGUGUGGCGAAGUAUGGCAAUGCAAGGCCUAGACCCAAACAAUAUAAGUACGUACGUACUAGGAGUACUAGUGUUAAAAAAAAAAGGCGGAGUUUUCCUUCGCAGGAUUAAUCGAUACAAAUCCUCGUUGAUGUGUUAAUUAAUGCAUAUUUUUUUCUCCAAAGCCCAAAGAGCUAACCAUCUCACUCCUCAUCACUUGACUAAUGCAACGCCAUGCAAACCAACCUUCUCACUUCCGCAUGCAUGCAAGGGUAUAUUAAUGUCCUUGGUUGCUAGUACAAGGCAAACCCCAUCAAUUUUGCCUCGAUUACUAUUAGUGGCCUUUUGCAAAUUGUAAUUUUGAUACACUGACCUUGUGUACAAAGAAAUGGAGGUAGUAACUAUUUGACUUCCUUCCCCAUUGCGGUGACGUUGACAAUAUCUUGAACAUUGUGGUUUGGCAAAGUGCGUUCGAUGGAGAACGCCAUUGGGGGAGACCACGGUAAGUCGUUCGCAAGUGCCGCCUGCAAGCUGACACAACCACCUUAUUUGCAUCCAGGAAGUCCGUUGAACAAAAGGACGCAUAAAUGUACUAGUACUACUAGUACACAAUAGCGUCAUCCGUCCAGCUUAGUGUGGUGAGGUGGUUUCUCGAAGAAGACGAUGGAGAAGUGGAGUCAGCGAAGAGUGAAAUGAUGGUUGCUUCGUCCGUGCUUUGUGAUUUGACGCCUCACUACUUUGUGAUUUGUGAUAGAAGGGACAGGAGAGCAGACUCUAUGCUCUAUAUUGUACAUGCGUCCAAGCACGGGAGAAAGAGGAGAGACGUUGCAUUUUUCUAUUCCUUCAAUCAAUCAAUCAGGGAGCUUCGGUUCCAUCUUGUUGGCUUUGGCAGCACCAUUCACAAUGGUUCCCAAUGAUGCCAAAAGCUAUUUUCACAUUUGGCUACACAUUAUGGAUGCCCUUAACCGUACCACUUGGUUUUGCUCCUGUGUGCUAUCUAUACAAUUCUCAAUUAUAUUGAUCUAAAAAAUUAUAGAAUCAAGAUUAGUAAAAAGGAGGUGAUUUUGCCGCACGGAUGGCGGGGGGGUUCUUAUUUUUAGAGCAUGUUGACCUGGAGGUUUGCUAACAUGCGGUCCCACAUCUCAGUGCUUUACCAAGCCGAUCUGCGUCCCUCAUGAGGCAGAACAAUGGCUGAAGCAACACGUGGUUAACUUGAAGAAGAUGAUGGAGAAGCGGAUUCAGCAAUGAGUGAGAUGAUGGUUGCUUCGUCCCUCCAACUUCUUUUUUUAGAAUUAUUACUUCGUCCCUCCGACUUAACUGCGGGAAAGGUGCAGCUUUGUGAUUUGACGCCUCAUUGCUCAUUACUACGUCGGCGCCAUGACUGGGGUGCUUCACCCCUGCUGCUCUGCACUAUAUUUCGGUAUGGCACGUGGACCUGGUAGCUUGAUGUCCCACAUCUUGGCAAAAGGGACUAGAACAUUUAUGAAAGCGAGCGCUCCACUCUUACGACGGAGGAGUACAUGACACGGCGGCCCAGUGAAUUGUAACUUGUAAUGUAUAGUACUAUAGUUUUGCUGUUUCGCACGAUCCAUCGAUACAAACCUGAUUAAACAGGAAAGGGCGGGAUUUUUCGCGCGUGGUAGAUGAUAUUGGCCAUACAUUUCAAAAGCAAUUUUAAUGUAUGCAAACUGAAUAAUUAAGUAACAAUAUGAUAUCUAGUAAAACUAAAAACACAUAUGAUUUAUUGUGUUAGAGUGUAGUAGUAGUGAUGUAUUACAUAGUUGUUAGCUGUAACACGUGAAAACGUGUAGAGAUGUAGUUUUGGAGGGCCUAGAGAGCGAAAAGCAUAAUACGAUCACCGAACUUCAGGAUACGCUGAUUACGGUCACUAUAUACGUUUUGCAGUGAUUAUACGGUCACUUGCUCAUGGUUCAGCAUCGGAUUGCACUCUGUUGACCAGCCAAAUAGUCUGUGUGGCACCAUGUUGACUAGUUAAAUUGACCAUGUUCCUUGUGGCUCCCACCUGUCAGUUUGCAUAGGAAAAAGGUCAGAUAAACACAAAUUUAUGCAGGCGUGACAAGACUCCAACCCGUGCACGGGAAUCACCUGGUUGUGUAUGUGUCUGUCAGGGCCUGAUGUGUGCACAUGCACAUGUAGGUUGAGCACUUGAGCGUGAGAGAGUGUGUUGGUCGUGUGGUGUGUGCAUGCAUGCGUGCGUGUGUGCGUGCGAGUGUUGCGUGCGUGCGUGGCUGCGUGUGUACAUGUGAGUGUUGCGUGCAUGUGUGGCUGCAUGUGUUCGUGUGAGUGUUGCGUGCAUGCAGUUCGUGUGCAUGCGUGCGUGUGCGUAUAAUCACCACACCAGCUCAUGUGUGUUAAAACAGACGGCUCAUCAUACCAAUACAAGGCCACCUUGUCCGUUGUGCCCGCUAUCAUGACUUCAAACCACCGUCCAAUAUUUUUUUGUCGCUUGUUUUCAUUCUUACUAGCAAGAUGCCCGUGCGUUGCACGUAACAUCAAGAUGCAUUCGUAUGACUAGUUAAUCUUGUGAGAGAAAAGGAUGAACGAGGGAAGGCCUUAUUUGCAAAUGUGGAGAGGUGUGUGGGUACCUUUUUGCAAAAUUGACAUAGUCUCCUUCCUAUCCGUCAGAUAUAAAUCGGAUGGCCUAUAUUGCAGGAUGGCAGGCACGCCAUCAUCACCAACUAUGUUUUUUUAUAAGAGCGUAGAGUAGAUACAAGCCGAUGGGUGGGCCCAAUGGUAGUGAGAUAAUGUGAUGCAACACUAGAGGUGCCACGUGGAGCGUUUAACUGGUCAACUAGUCGUGUCUUGAGCAAAUACAGAGUUGUACGGUGAGCCCGUGACUAUAUAAUAACCACAAAACAUAAAUGGUGACCGUAAUGAGUGGAUUAUAAAGUCCAAUGUAUGUAUCGUGCUUUCGCGUCAAAUACAAUGAUCGUCACUGUAUAUAUCGCAAGAGAAAGAUGAAACAUGCGUGAAUGUGCUGGGGGCUUAGAGGACCUGGAGAUAGUUUGUGUGCGUACGUGAAAGGGGCAUAGAUGGGGUGUAUGCGAUGGAGAGAGAGAGAUGUUCUUUGUUUCUCUUUAUUAUGACUAACUUUAUAUAUAGUAUAAAAAUAUACAAAUUCACAGUGCGGAAUAAAUAUCAUUGUGGGCACCAUGCAAUACAAAUUAACGUUCAUACUCCUCCAUAUAACUUUGUAAUGUUGUAUAUAUGUAGAAAUUCUAAAAUAAUUUUUUUGGCCACACUUUAUUCAAAAGGAAUGUUGUAUGUGAAAUAAGCGUGAAGAGAGGGCUUUUUUUAGAUCAAUGGGGUACGUGAUGUAACAUGUGUGAAUGUGUAGUUGAUGCAUUUGGUAGGGCCUAGAGAGGUAUGUGUGUGUAUUACGUAUUCGAGAGAGGCAUGGAUAGAGGGGCCGGCGGGGAGAGGGGGCGGGGGAGAGAUAGCACGAGAGAUGAGAGUGAUCUAGAGAGAGAGACAAAUAUGAUGUCACGGCGAGAGAUUCCCUUGAGUGUGUAUAUGCAAGGUGGGAGGGGAUAGAGGCACCAGGACAAUUGUUUUUGUGUGGUGUCUGUGUUGGUAUGUGUGGGUGUGAGAAGAUAACGAGACAUGGGGCAGAGGGUGUGUCACCGCGUGAGGUCUGGUGGGUCGAGGUGAGGCCCUUGGUUCGGUUCUGUCCUGCGCCACAUUGGUCGGCCCGUGACACAUUUAGGGAGACCCAUGGAUGACUAGUCCAGGACAAAGAUAGCAGAAUUGUGAAGGACUCUGUGUCCACUGACAAAGCUGACUAGGAUUUGUAAUCCUAGGUUCUCGGACUAAGGUAAUCCCUUAUCUCUGAUAUUACUAUUCAUCCAACCUGACUUUAAGGGGUAUCCCACAGAAUGCUCUGCUAGAAUCAUACUAGUUGAUUAGGAAGAGAGGUGUGAGACAAUGCGUGAGAGACAGGCCUAAAGAUAAUGUGCGUACAGGAGACACGUAGGCAGGUCUAUGUAUAUAGAAAGGUUCGAUGGGGAUGGUGCAUGUGUAUGCUUGUGAGAGGAAGAGUGCUUGUGAUAAACGUUAGUGAAAACAGUCGUAAAUUGUUACGAGAGGGAGGGAGGGUUAUAUUGAGAGCAUGUCCGCGAGAAAGACACCUCGGGAGAGAGUGUGUGAGCAUGUGUGAGAGACCACCGAUGGAGAGUGAAACUACACGUAAAAGACUGAUGUACAAAUUGAUUAAAGAUAUAAAUUGUAUCCAAAUAUUAGGAUGGGAUCUUGAUAUUUGCAAUUCGUGUAAAGAACGGUCAUUGAUCGAUUAGACAUCUAGAUUCUAUCGAAUUUGAGCAUGUCGAUAUUAUUAUUCGACAUACUUGAUCCACAUAGUUAGUAUUUUGAACUCUAGACAAUGCAUCGCUUUAGCAAUAGUAUAAAACGUAGGUAUAGUUCAUGUUGUAUGUGUAAAGCACAUUAUACAUACGAAAGUUACACAAUGAACAUUAUAAAUAGCUACCUAUGAACUAGCAUACAUUUGAAUUCAACUUAAGGUGGUUUAAAAAAAUUGAAUUCAACAUGAAGUACAUUCAAUUAUUUGAAUUCGAUAUCAUCGCAUUUGUAAAUCAUACCUAAAUUAUGGGGGCACCAAUCUUUGCUCUGAUUUUGUACAUAAUAGCAUAUGUAGUCGUGUACAAAAUAGAUUCAAGUUUAGAUCUUCCAUUCCAAAAUAAUCGUAGUUAUAGGAUUUUCAAGUGUCAAAAUUUCAAAAAUAAGCAGAUAAUUUAUCGAGGUUUUCAAACAUACAUGGUCAAAUUUAACGUUGUCUAUUUAGGCCAAUCCUCAAAGUUCAAGAGUACUCUAAAUGUGAAUGCUUCUAUUUCAAAAUUUCGAACAAAGCGCCAAAAGAGCCUCUACUCGCCCGAAACCGCGUGAGACCAAUGUUUGGUAGUACAAGGAAAUUACUUUUCUAACUCCGACCGGUGAAACCUACCGGCCCGACGUCAAAAGGUCUAAACCAGGUUAGGUUUGUAGCUUCAUCUAGACGCCACGCAACCGCCUCCGACAAACAUUCAUACACAAUGGCCGCCUAAGCACACAUGCACGCAGCCAAAAUCGCUCCCGCAAACUAUUUGGGACACCUAGGAUUACCAUCCUACCCCCGACCCGCAGUAGGUCUAAAAUUUAAGAGGGGGCAAAGUUUGUACUUUCCCCAAAUUUCAAACAAGUGCGUCCCAUCUGUUCAAAAAAGCCAAAAACAAGCNNNNNNNNNNNNNNNNNNNNNNNNNNNNNNNNNNNNNNNNNNNNNNNNNNNNNNNNNNNNNNNNNNNNNNNNNNNNNNNNNNNNNNNNNNNNNNNNNNNNNNNNNNNNNNNNNNNNNNNNNNNNNNNNNNNNNNNNNNNNNNNNNNNNNNNNNNNNNNNNNNNNNNNNNNNNNNNNNNNNNNNNNNNNNNNNNNNNNNNNNNNNNNNNNNNNNNNNNNNNNNNNNNNNNNNNNNNNNNNNNNNNNNNNNNNNNNNNNNNNNNNNNNNNNNNNNNNNNNNNNNNNNNNNNNNNNNNNNNNNNNNNNNNNNNNNNNNNNNNNNNNNNNNNNNNNNNNNNNNNNNNAUUUAUACUCCGUGGGCGCCAAAACUACCUCUCCACCAGCCGUGAAACCCCGGCGUCCUCCGUCCACCACCCCAUCCCACCCAUCAACCGCCGCCCUCCUCCAUCACGCCGGAGCCGAUACCCCGACGUCGUCGUCCAUCGCAACCUCAACCGCAACGCCCUCCAUGGAUAGUAGUUGAAGCCGAGGCCGAGCCGUCCGUACUCGAGCCAAUUCAACCAUGCCUCCUGCGCCUCACCGCUGCCGCUCCAACUUCGCUACCGUCUACCACACCGGAGUUGUUCCUGCUAUGCCAUCCUUCGCCACCUCGGAUCUGCUUCCUCUCCGCCGACAUACGGCCAUGGCAACACAGUCAACAAUUUGUCCAUGGGUUCGUCCAGGGCUCCACUGUCCUCCAAAACAUCGGUUCCCCCAGCAAAAAGAAGAAGAUCGUUGCAACAUAUAGAGGAGACCACAUUGGCAACCGGAAAUGGUACUCCUCUUCCCUUACUCGUGCAAAUCUUACGAGUCUGCUUGCAUAGUAUUCAUCCCACAGAAGACACUAGUUGACCGCUUCUUCUUGAUACUAGAUGUUCCUAGUAACUCGCGAUGCACAAGGUUUCUCGUCAUAUACUAUUUCACCUUAGCUAGAGGUUCUUCGCCCCCCUGGAUUUCAAUUCCUGGUCAGUUGAUUCCCAAUUAACGGAAGCAUUCCCCGGCGUAAUAGGCACUAGUCCGCCUAUUACGCCAGGGAAGCAGCGCCUCGAUGUUUAUCAUAGGGGCGUGUGGGGCCUAGAGUUGCUGGCGCCCGAUCUGGAGGUCGGCCAGGAUUAAAGGGAUGGCAUGGGGGUGCUGCCAAGCACGGCGGUGGUGUGAGGUCGAGGGAAGGGCGGGGCGGCGGAGGCAGGGGUCGUCAAUAGUGACUGGCGGGAGGUAGACAAAGGCCAUCUGCCCGUUCCUUAUACAUCAGACGGUUCAUAAAAAAUCGACUGACCUAUUUAUUUUCAGUCAACUGUUAUCUUGAUAUGACCACAUGUGGUUGUGUGCUGGAGGAGUACCUGCAUUUCCUGUGCUCAUAUAUGACAAAAUCAUAUAGAGUAGAAUCUAAUUUUGUUUGCCAUGCAAUGUUGUAGAGCUAUCAUAUGUCUAAUGUCAUUUAUUUUUCAGCCACCUGCUAUCUGCUACUUUUACAGUGCACUAGUUCUGCACGCACUUCACCCUUACUCUCACUAUUGUGUUUUUAUGCAAGGGUAUUUCAGGCUCUGCUGCCAUGAGAGAAGCAAAAAAGAAAUGAGAGAAGUCGCUCCAGCAUCGUACGUGGAUAGGCCAGACACGUUUCAGCCUUAUAAAGGGUGCAGUGUCAGCAGAUGGAGACGGUAAACGUAGCUCUGGAGUUGAUGACCUUGCUCGCAAUGAACCACCAUCCCAGGUGCUUGCUUUAACUUUGUGGUGUCAUAUGUGGUUGCAUGUUGCAUAGGUGUCUAGCUUGUAUUUGAAAGGCCGAAGUCUGUCUUUAUUAUGAUAAGGAAAGAUAUUUUUUACAUGAACCACCAUCCCGUGAGCACCAGAAGACAAAUAGCUAGUCAGGGCACUGGUCGAGCCAGUGACAAGCCCAGCACAGACAGGCAUCACCUGGAAACCAACUGAAAAGCCACAAUGGUGGCUAAGCGGCCCUCCUCCCACCAGGCUCUCAGAUCCUAGAUGAUCAUGCUCAACACUCCAACUAGAUGUCUAGCUUGUGUUGCUUCCAAUUUGGUUAAAUUGCAUCUGCUUAGCUUACACAUUAUACCUUUGAAUAUGACAUGCCUUCCUAUUUUUGGUACAUACUAGUACAUCUGUCUAUUAACCAUGUUCUUACAUCAAACUAAUGUUUUUGUGUAUCCCUCAUCUAUCACUUAUGAUGAGGCAGUCAGGCCAGUGGACUGCUGUGGGUAAAGAUCCUCAUUUAAAAAAUGCAGCGUCAACCUCCCGACAUGAUUCUCAAGAAACAGCAAGGCUAGAUGAAGAUAGUGAACAUAGCUCUGUAGUUGAUUACCACAUUUCCCCUACACUAGUAUCGCAGGUGCUUGCUCUAACUUGGCAGCGUAAUAUGUGGUUGCAUGUUGCAUAUGGUGUCUAGAUUGCAAUUCUUCCAAUCUAGUUAAACUAGCAAUGUAACCCGCGCAUUUGCGUUGCUAGACUUGCAAAAUAUUGUAUUGUUUUUUUCUUAGCCGUUACUUGAGUAUUUAUAUAGAAAAUUAUAUUUAGAAAACAUUAUUAAACUUGGGGCCCAUUGAAAUUUUCUAAAAGUAUCAUGAUUUGUAGAGGUUAUUGGUAAAGAUCUGGAUGUGGUUGCGAGCUUUCCCAAUUCAUUCCCAUCUCAUCCCUAUACAUUCAUCUUUGCGGUGAUAUUACCUUAGAAGUUAUUGCUAAGAAGAAGAAGCAUUGGCGACUUUUAUCAUCAUCUUGUUAUCUAUUCCAUCAUCGUCCUUUACACCAACACAUGACAAUUGAGUUUUUAUUAGGAAAAUUGAUUAACUAUAUAUGCAACCAUGUCUUCUCAUAUUAAUAUAAGUUACUAUUGAGCUACUUUCCGAUGUAAAUCAGCCUAUUAUUUUAAUGGCGUGGAACUUGCUAGCUUUUUUCUUCUUCUCAUGAUGCAUGUUCUCUUUUGCAUUGAAUUAUGUUUUUAUAGCAUAGCCAAAAUGGUUAUUAAUGUACUUGCAAUGAAUUUGCUCCUAACCUUCUUGCUAAAACUGUUUUCUUUCCCUUCACCCGCAUGUUACAAUUAUAUACAUUAUUAUUUCCUCUUCCAAUAUUUUCCAAUGUAGGGAAACUCAUGUUACUUAGUGUUUUUUCCUACAUUGUCAUUGAUAUAUAAUUUAAAUUACAACAAUAUUAUCAUAACAUAUCCAUCUCGAGGAAACAAGAACAGACUUUUGUGGUAAUCUCUACGCUUAUGUGAGAAACAUGAUCAGUACUUUUGUCUUUCACCAAAUGUUAAUCAUAUAAAGUUAGUAAUAAAGAUUUUUUUGCUAUUUCUCGGAAGACUGUGAAAUUAGCAUUCGAUGAUCGGAACCAUCUGAUUCUAUAAUUAAGAUUCAUCUAAGCACAGAUUAUCGUACAAUAUAUAUGAAUAUUCACUCAAGAAUAACUUUGCGUCCAUUUUUUUGCAUCAACCUACAUUUAGUCUGGUGGUAAUCAAACCUUUUAUUUUUUUAAUCGUGUUUCAUGUUCAACUUUACCUUAAAAUUCAUAUGUAAAUCCCAUUGCUGAAAUUAAUAUGAUGGAAAAUGAUUUGCUAUUUAUUUUUACUCAUUAUUCCGAACUUCACAAAUCAAUGGAGUUUUAUUCUUUAUUCACCUAAUUAGAAAUAUAUUCAUUAUUUUUUUGAGCAACAUGACUAAUAACCUUUGAUUGACCCCUGUUCAAAUGAGUAGAUUCUCUAGCUUAAAGGAAUAGUGACAUUUAAUAUUUUGUUUUGUUGAUGCAAUCAUUUAGUUUUUAGCGAUGUGCCUGCUAUAGUUUUUUGUGACCAAACUUAUUUGCACUAAUUUAUCCAACUUAUACCAACAUAAUUUUUUUAAAGUCUAGCAUCAUGUACAGCUAAGAUCUAUAAAUGAGUUGGUACAUGCAUACGCUUGUCAUGCAUCUAACACACGGCACAUACAUACUCGCUAAGCUCACGUGCAUAUAAAGCUACCGCUGUCAAAUCCUGGUACAAUCCAUGUGUAGAAUUGGCCAAAAGGAACUAAAAAAUACGGCCAAACAUGCAUACGUACAUGGAUCAUACCCCGCUCUAGCUUCUUGGUCUGGAAAGGUCAAUCCCUGCUUCUGCAUCUAUGUUGUGGACGCGUUUGGAAAUUCAUCUACUCACUCUGCGCCAUUUGACCGUCUCCAGUGACACUGAGAUGCCACCCCUGCCCCGUGCUGCGAAAGCAUGCGAGAGAUGGUGACGGCAGCCCCGUGCUGUGUAGCGGACACGCCGCAGAAACAUGGAGCGGAAACAUGGAUAGGCGAAGCCACCCAUCUGCACGUCAAGGCAAACCCGUGGCCAUGAUUGGGUUUUCUUUGACGGAGGCUUGAUUUUUUUUUAGGAUAGGCUUGACUUGUUUGAUAUAUGGCGGUCGUAUAGUACACAGACACAUCUCUUUUUUGCUUGGAAUCUGAAUGAUUUUUUUACGUGAUUUUGAUUGAUUUUCGUAGAGGUUUAUUUUAUGGGAUUGUCCUAUACGAAUUUUAGUCGCAGACGUGUACAAUUAGGAUUCCAGUAGUGAAUCAAAACCGGCUGGCCAGUACAAUACGAAUUGUGUAUAAUAACUUGUAAUACUUGCCUAAUACAAUACAUAUAGGACUUGCCUUAUGUAAAAAUUUUAUUCCGUGUAGUAUGUGCCUAAUCUUCACUAUUGACACCUCCUUGACAAUUUCUCUGCUUGCACGUGUGUGCUGUCACAGGGAACCAAAAAUCAAUGCGUGUAGUUGCGUGCCCGUGUGCUGAUUGACUUUUCUUUGCCGGAAAUUAUCCAAGUGUAUUGCUUGCACGCACGUGUUGUCAUAAAAAUCAAUCAACAUGUGUACUUCCAUGUCCGUGUGCUGCUUUUUUUUUUUCUGGAAAUAAAUCAACUGCGUUUUGGUUUACAAAUCUCCACCGUUGACACGUCCUAGUUUUCAAGUGUUAAAUCUUCACUGUUCGUUUUCUAUCAUUUUAAGUAUAUAAUAGAUUGCAUGUGAUAUUUUGCUUAAUUUAUACAUUAUACCUGUUAAUGUGACAUGUCUUUCUGUUUUUAGUACAUAGUACAUCUGUCUAUUAAGCAUGUCCUUACAUAAAACUAUUGUGUUUUUUGUAUCCCGCAUCAAUCAAUACGACGAGACACUUUUAGUAUAUGCAGUGCGAUAUUAGUUGCAUCUUUCAUAUGAUUUAUAGCAUGCGCUGCUUCUAAUUUGUUAAAAUACCAUUUAUGAUGGGAUGCUUUUAACUUGGCAGAGUCAUAUUGGCUGCAUCUUUCAUGUGGUGUCUAGCUUGCAUUGCUUCUUCUUUGUUGGAAUGGUUUUUGCUUAGUUUACACAAACAGUUGUGAAUAUGCCAUGCCGUCCUAUUUUUCGUACAUAUUCCAUCCUGAUAUCAUGUGUUUGCCUUACAUCAAAGUAGUGAUUGUUUAGUAUCAUGCAUGAAUGAGUUCUGAAGAGAGAAUUUUAUUGCUUUUUCUUGUUGGUUUUACUUGACAAUUCAAAAUCAAUAAAGCGGAAGGAAGUUAGCAAGGCAGCGCAUAAAGGUGCUCCUUCCAAACAGAGGGCCUCUACAGAUUCUACUCCUCCAUCCUCCCAAGAUGAUUUGCAAGACAACACAUGCAUAGACACUCAACGUAGUUGUGUUGAUGAUGAGCACGUCUCCCCUAAUGCACCAUCACAGAUGCUCCCUCUAACUUGGCACUGUUAUAUAUGGUUGCAUGUUAUGUAUGAUAUCUACCUUGUAUUGCUUCUAAUUUUGUUGAAUUACAUCUGCUUACUUUACACAUUAUACUUGUGAAUAAGACAUGUGUUCCUGUUUAUAGAACAUACAAUAUCUGUCUAUCACACCAUGUUCUUACAUCAAAGUACUAUUGUUGUGUAACCUGCAACAAUCACUUAUCAUAAGACACGUUUGACUUGGGAGUGUGAUAUAGGUUACAUCUCACAUUCUUUUCUAGCUUGUACUACUUUUAAUUUGUUGAAAUUGCAUUUAUGACGAAACAGUUUUAACUUGGUAGAGUGAUAUUCGUUGCAUCUUUCAUAUGGUGUCUAGCUUUCAUUGCUUCUAAUUUGUUGAAAUGCCUUCUUAGUUUACACAUCAUAAGCUGUGAAUAUGCAAUAGUGUGAAUAUGCAAUGGCACUAAUGAUGAGAGACCUUUAACUUGGUAGUGUGAUGUUGUUUGCAUCUUGCAUAUGAUUUAUUUCUUGUACUGCUUCAUAUUUGUUUAAACGUCAUUUAUGAUAAGACACUGUUAACUUGGCAGAGCGAUACUUGUGGCAUCUUUCAUAUGGUGUCUAUCUUCCAUUGCAUUGCUUCUAAUUUAGUGAAAUGUCUUCUUCUUAGUUUACACAUCAUAGCUCUAGUUAUCUCACGUUGUCCUAUUUUUUGUACAUAUUACAUCCUCCUAUCAUGUGGUUGUCUAACAUCAAAGUUCAGUUCGUCUGUAUCACGCAUCAAUUUGUUCUGAAGAACUAAAUUGUUAUUCGUUUUUUUGUCGGCUUGACUUAACAUGGCACAGAGAAAGAGGAAGCAACACAUAAUGACAGGGAAAGGGAAGCGGAAGAAUCCUGCAGAUUCUGCUGGUACUGAUGGUGUAAUAGAAGGUCAAAGCCCAGAGGAAAAUUGUACAAACAGGGUAUCCCAUGCUACACGAGCUGUAGAACAAGCCAAACAGAAACAAAUAGCUGACACCAAACAAAUAGAGACAGCCAUAGUUGUUGCAACACCUUCCACGGUACCACCGGCUGCACAAGUUACUCAUCGGUCAACUCAGCUAGCAGCACAUUCCCAAGCUCCCUUGCCACCUGACACUACUUCCAAAGCACUCUUGACACAAGAUGAGUUGGCAAGAUCAGAUGAACUUUUUGAGCUUCAACAGCAAGAAGGUAGUUGCUGGACUCAAGUUACAGUUGCAUGCUUCUUUGUAUGUAGUCUCACAGUUUGACGUCCACUAACACUUCCUAUGUUCGUUGUUGGACUAGCACCUAGGCGCAAGAGGAAACAAACAUCAGGGAUAAUGCUCGAUAGGUUAACUAAAUCUAGAGGAUGAAGAAUCAAUAUCUGUUUUGAGGCAGGUUUAAAAAGGCCAUGUGAUGCUACAGAGUCAGCCAAGUUAGUAUCAAAGGCAGCGGUUGCCGUUAGGUGUCAUGUACGUAUCCUCCCAACAUGGAUUCAGUACAGGAAUGACAAAGACGAAACCCAGUUCAAGACCUUCCUCGACCAUUUAUCUGUAAGUAUGGUUAUGUAUGGAAACUAGUAAUAUUGUCUUGCUCUGUCCCAUACUUUCUAGGUUGCUGAUAAUGAGACACCCAUAAUUUUCAAUAGAUGAGGUUCAAGUUGGAUAGCCAAGAUGAUGCAACCAGACAAGCUUGCACCCAUGUUUUCAAGUCUGCUCUGCAAUAGUAUCGGUAUAACUUGAGGAAAACUCACUUUGAAGGCAAGGCUAACAGUGAACUUGCCCAAACAUCUCGAGUGGAAAAUAUAUCGGAUGAAGACUGGAGAGGCCUCGUUAAACACCGGUCUGAUUCGAAGUAUCGGGUACAUUAUAUAUAUGUGUGAUCAGAUCACAUGUUGAAGUCCUAUUUACGCAUGUGCCACACAAAUCUAUCUUGUUGUAGGUGAACUGCCCAAAGAACAAGGCCAACCGUACAAAAGUGAAAUUCCAACAGACGACGGGAUCUCGUAGCUAUAUUGCACAGUGCGAGGCUCUUGUAAUUAGCUGUUGUUUCACUCUUUUCGUUGUACCAUAUUAUCAUAUCUAUAUUGACUUGUUCCAAAUGUAGAGGAAAGCCCGCAAGGACCAAAAAGUACAUGAACCAAAUGUUGUGGAAAUCUUCAAGGACUGUCACACCAGCAAGAAGAAGGGCAUGACUACACCAGUCAAAGCUGAUGUUCUAAGUCCUUAAUCCUCAUGCCUUUUAACUACUACUUACUCUGACUUGUGCCUUGAACUGCAUGGUUUGCAGCCAAUGUCUAUUACUCUUUUUAAUUUUAUACACAAUUGUCUUAGCGUAACAUUGCACCUUACAAGGUUUAAAAGAGAGGAGUGAUGUUCCUUUGAUCUUGACCUGUAAUCUAGUUCUGUGCUGGACUUGCCCACACAACAUUACAAUUGCAUGUUUGUCUGUUCUCAGUUAUUUUGUGAUAUGAAUGAUGUCAUACUAUUCUUACCGUAUUAUAAACUUUGUCUCUUUAUCCUUACCUGUCAAUACAAUGUGAAGAAAUAGACAAUACAUUAGCGACCGUACACAAUCAUAUGUUUGGAACCUGGUUUUAUUAUGUGCUUUGUAGUAAAAUACAACUAAUAUUCACCAGAAUAAGUUCUGUAUAUAGACCAAAGCUAUAUUUUUUUGUUUUGUUGCCUCCUUAAUAUCUUUUGUUCUGGUACUACUAAUGUAAAAACUCAACUUUUUAGCAAGCUAUGGAAAAAAUGGUGGAACCGCCACCUUCUGAAGGUGGCGAGGCAACUAUAACCGCAAUGUCAGCUCUUGUUGCAGUGGGUCAAUACCUGCCCACUAACAGUGCCAAAAGCAUGUUCCUGCAUAAUACUGGGUUGGUUGUUAAGGCAAUCUCGUCCAAACUGCCUCAUGAUCAAGAUAUGCAAGCUCAAAACAAUGUUAUAUUUGCGCUCCAAACACAAGUCCAUUCCCUAACAGAGACCCUUUGUGAAACAAGGACAGACAUUUUUCGAUGACGUCAAGAUAUGCAUGGUUUUGAAACCAUACUAUCAGACAUUUUCUAUGUUGUUCAGGAGCCUAGGAGAAAGGAAGGUGAAGGUUAUGGUGCUCCAUCGGACAAUACAGCAUGAAAACAUAAUAGUGAGGUCAAAUGAACUAAGCUUCUGAAUUUCUGGUGGUGCAUUUAUCUGCCAGGCUAUUAACUUUUAUGCCAACCUUCCUUUUGUUUUAUAGUUGUAAUUUGUUUUGUUGCAACACAAAAUUUGUUCUUAAUGUGCAGCCACCGGCUGAACAAAACAGCAAGCCAUUUUUGUAUAGUGUAGGGUGUUCCCUAUAUUUGCACUGGUGGCAAUCUUUGAUGCUGAGUGGAUGUAAUCUGUGCAAUCACCUUAAUAGCCUAGCAUUAGUUUCGGGCUUAUUUAUUUCCUAGUCUUCUUUUUCCCUGGUUUGCUAGUGGUCGCAACAACCAUGGGCCAUAUCGGACCGUGGUAACCUUGACCCUGCUACGGGCCGUAGGAUCCAUGGGUCUCCUACGGGCCUCGAUAAAUGGGCCUCCAACAGGGUCGUAGAAUCGGUGGGCCUUGGGCCGUCGGAUAAAUGGGUCUACAUAGGCUGUAAACGGGCGUAAUUGGUAUCGGCCCAGCACAAUAACGGGCCGUUAACAGGCCGGAGGAGAGCAAAGGCUUAAUUCUGUCAUAGGCAUAACAGGUCAUUAAUGGGCCAGAAUAUAGGACGGGUUGGAAACGGCGCAACGGGUUAACAGGCCAGAAAUGGGUGCCACGGGCCGAAUUUGGCCCAUUAGGGGAAUAGGCCAGUAACGGGCUGGAAGUAAUUGAGGGCCAGAUAGGAGCCCAAGAACAUAUGGGUCAUCAGUAGGCCGAAAGCUAACAUGGGCUGGAAACGGCCCAUGUGAAUCAUGGGCCGUUAAUGGGUAUAAAGAAAUUUACUGUUCAUUAUAGGCUAGAGUCACCAUGGGCCUCUAAAGGGCCUAAAGAUACAAAGGCCUCAUAUGGGCCGAAAGACAUCGUGGGCCAUACAUGGCCCGAAAGUGAAACGGGCUUGUGUUAUAUUCGACGGCCCACAUGACGUUGUUGGUCCAAUUUCAGGUAGGCCCUAACGGGUCAUGAGUUACCGGGCCGUAAAAUGGGCUAUUUGCGAAGAGGCCGUUAACAGGCUUUUCAUGGGCCAGCCUGCUAUCUUUUGACCAAGUCAAACGAGCCGGCCUUUGUAAGCUAAAUGGUCUAGUGGUGGGCCGUCGCACGUGUCGACAUAUCAUAGGCGCCUAUCUGACCCACUGACGAGCUGACACGUGUUUCCUCCGGCCAAUCAAAAUUUUAGACAUGGAAAUUUCCCAUUGGUUUGGGCUGUUAACGGAUUAUCAGAUCCAAAAUUGGACCAGAUAGCUUAACGGCAUCCCGUUAUGGUGGAUGCCAUGUGUCGGUCACCCUUGACGAAAGUACUUCUGUGAUGCGCAACUUAUCGUCAUGGAAGUGGACAACUCCGUGAUGAUAAUUUUGGUAAUGUCAUGGAACACUUCUACGACAGCACAGGUAUGACUAUCUUGAUUCUGUCAUAAAAUCGUCAUGGAUGUACAUGCAUGACAAAAAACGCGACCUACUGUGACAAACACGUAUCAUCACGGAAGUGUAUUUUUUUGUAGUGAAGAGAACCAUCAAAAAUGUGCAAAACAUUUACGAUGACGGAUGCAUCAAACACAGUUCAGAUUUUUGUUGCCUGUGCAAUGCAGGGCAUGCGGUUCAUUUCAAUUAACUGUUUGCGAUGAGGAGGAACAAAAGAAACGGGCAUCCAGAUGAAGGCGUGUGCGAUACAUAGCAUAUGGUUCACUCGAAUGAACUGUUUGUGAUUAGGCAACACAAAAGAAACGAUAAGCGAGAUCAAGGUGUGUGCGAUAUACAGCAUGCGGUUCACUCGGAUGAACUAUUUGUGUUGAGACAAGAGAACAGAAACGGUUCUAACAAGAUGCGUGUGAUGCGCGGCAAAUAGGUUUGUAAUCAGAAAUGUGUGGGAAGACCGAUAACAACACAGACGAUUCCUGUUAACAAGUCGUGUGUGUUGUGAGCAAACGAUUGCUAGUAUACAAUUGUCAGUGAUUGAUGAAAUCAUCACCGACGGGUUCCCUUGUUUAGUCCGUGUGCGAUGUGAUUUGCUCUAUCUAUAGAGCAUAAACAUAUAUACUUAAAAAGACAGCAUUGCAUAACCAAAUUAAGCAUACAAUUACACAAGUGACUACACAGAUAACAUUUUCACACACCAAAGUAAGCACUUACAUGCAUACUAAACUAGGAGAAACGAGGAUCUAAUCAUAUACUUCUUGUUGCGAUGACGCUUGCCAUUGCUCUGCUUCCGGCUGGAUCCCUGGUCGUUUUGGGGAAGGAGGCACUUCCUCAUGUCAACGAUCCGCCUGUACAUGUCGUAGCACGUGUACGCCUCCUUGGCCGCGUACACGACGUGAGCUUUGUCCAGUUUCUCCAUCUAGGCCGAGUACCAAGCAUGCUUGUCGUUGUUGCAGGAAUCCUUCACUACAGGAAUCUGCUACUUUGCCAUCUGCCACGGCGGACGGCAAAGGCAUGGAUGGCGGACGGCAAAGACCUUUGACGUCAGCCGCGGACGGCAAAAGGUGACGGCAAAGUAGGGGACGGCUAAGAGCUGUGUUGCCGUCUGCUUCGGGCAGCUGACGGCAAAGGGUCCUUUGCCAUCAGCAACGGACGGCAAAGAAGAUGGACGGCAAUAAAUGUGAUGUUACUCCGUUAGGUGGUUAACGGCAGGCCUUUGCCGUCCGCUGCGGACGACAAAGCCUUUGCCGUCAGCCACUGUAGGCAAACUGACCAAAUUGGUCAGCCUCCCAGGAAGCACAGUUGCCUGCCACGUGGCCUCUUUGCCGUCCGCUACUGAUGGCAAAGAGCCCUUUGCCGUCGGUGGCAGACGGCAAAGAGCCUGCAUAUUGUCUCUUUUUUUUCUUUUUUUUAAUCCAACAAUUUUCACAGCAAAUAUAUAUGACAUAUAUAGAUAUAUUUAACAGCAAACAUAUCACAUAUACAGCACAUAAUUCCAUAUACAUAUUACAUAGCAAAGUUUCAUCAACAUAGCAAGUUCCAUCAAGUUCCAUCCAUACACAUUGUUCCAUAUACAUAUUACAUAGCAAAGUUUCAUCAACAUAGCAAGUUCUAUCAUAGCAAGCUAGAUACAAUGCAGAGUUUUAGCAAAGAAAAAGCAAGCACUCCAUCAUAGCAAGCUAGCUUCCAUGAAGUGAGUGAAAUAUGCAAAAUGGUAAAUAAGAAAGUUAGAAAUAGGUGAAUAGAACAAGAAGAAGACUAGAACAAGAAGUAUAUGUCAUUUAUGAGCUAACUUAGGUGAAAUGGAUCAUAUAUGAGCUAACUAAGUUGAAAUGGGUUGUUCAUGAGCUAACUUUGGUGAAAUGGAUCAUUUAUGAGCAACUUAGUUGAAAUGGGUCAUUUAUGAGCUAACUAAGGUGAAGGGCAUCGUUUUUGAGCUAAGUAAGGUGAAAUGGAUCGUUUUUGAGCUAACUUAGGUGAAAUGGAUCAUUUAUGAGCUUUUAUGAGCUAACUUAGUUGAAAUGGGUCGUUAUGACCUAACUUAGGUGAAAUGGAUCAUUUAAGAGCUAGUUUAGGUGAAAUGGAUCGUUUUUAGCUAACUUAGGUGAAAUUGAUCAUUUAGGAGCAAAUCUAGGUGAAAUGGGUCAUUUUGGAGCUAACCUAGGUGAAAUGGGUCAUUUUGGAACUAACCUAGGUGAAAUGGGUCAUUUUAAAGCUAACGUAGGUAAAAUGGAUCAUUUACGAGCUAAUCUACUAAAAUGGGUCAUUUUAGAGCUAACUUGGAUAAAUUGGAUCACUUGUAAGCUAACUAAGGUAAAAUGAGUCAUAUUAGAGCUAACUUAGGUAAAAUGGAUCGUUUAUGAGCUAACUAAGUUAAUUAUGCAAUUUUUGACAUAAGUAAGCUUAUUAAGUCAUUUUGAAGGAAAGGAAGCUAACUCUAGGUCAUUAUGGUAAGCAUAUUGGAGGAAAUAAAGCUAAGUCUAAGUCUAGAGAAACUUACCGCGAUCAGGGAGGUGUAGGAGCGGGCUGGCUCGUGCCGGUAGCUGGAGAAGGAUCGUGCGAUGCGUUUCUGGAGUUAAGCUGCACCAAAGAUCAUUUCCAAUGUCUCGUUAGCAUUAUGACACUCAAAUAUUAAGACUAGCAAGUAAUGUCCAUUCAAAUUAAACUCACCGUGCUCCCAGGAGCAAUCACUGGCAUCGGCGGAGCGGUCUGACCGGACUUCUCGCACACAGACUACACAUUUGGUUUUCACAACAGAGUCAUACUAGUUAGUAAUGAGACUCAAAUGUUAAGACUAGCAAGUAAUCUGCAGAAGAAACUUACCACAAGGAGCUCAUACAUGGCCCUUGCCUGCAUGUCAUUCCGUGCCCUCUCCUCCUCCAACAUCUUUGUCGUCCUCUCCUCCAACUCCCGCUGCCUCUCCGCCGCCUCCGCCAGAAGUUUCUCCGUUCUAUCUCUCUCACUCUGUAUAGCAGCCUGCAACACCACUCACAUGACCAUUUGUAAUCAUUGAUGGAAGCGCACACAAUGUAAUGGAGAAAGAUAGCUGAGUACGUAUAACUAACCUUGAUGGCGAGUUGGACUCGCCGUUCACGAGGCCUUAUCUCAGGAGCGGAGCUCGACUGGCGCACCUUGAUCUCCGAGAGAGUGCUAGGACAACGGAUAAGUCCAUCUCCCAUGGCUAUGGAGCCAUGGGACCUCCCACCACCAGAUAUCAUCAGCAACUCUGUAUCAAUGGGACCCUGGCUCGGGUUAAAGUCCUCCCCUUUCCUCGCCUUCCCCUGAUCUCUAUAUUGCACGAGCUUUUCGUGGGCGGAGAUGUUGGUGAAGUUCUUUGGAUCAUCGAGGUCAGACGCAGAGAAUGCCUUGACUUUCUUGUAAGAGCCAGUGUGGGCCAUGGCAUACAGGUCGUACACCUCUGGCACCUUAUCCGCCUUAUUGUAGCGUGCCUGAAAGAGAGAAACAAAGUAAGUUAGUAAUUAAAGGGCUAAAGCUAGCAUGAUGAAUGAAUUGCAUGAAUCAUGAAGCAAACCACAUACCCAGUUCCGCCCGUACUGAAAUAAGUUGGAGCUGCCUUGGUGGUGUGGCACACCUUCCAUUUGGGCACGUUUGUCCUUGGCCUCGUUGUGGGUGGCCAGCCAUUCUUUUGAGCACCACCCAUCAACCAACACCUCCCAACAAUCCAUCUGAUCCGCACACCAUCUCUGAGGGGCCUAAGUUAGCAAAUAGAAACUUCAGCGCUACGGCUAUGAAUUACUAAAUAAAGGAAUUAAGUACAAGGCCUUAAGAAUUACCUUCAUGUACUGCUCCUUACUCAAGAACUUAUCGCGGCACUCCUGCUUGGACUUCUUGAUACCACGGUCGGCGUAGUAGUCUCGAACAGACUGCACCCGAGCCUCAUGCCGUAAGUUCUGAAGUAGGCGCUUGCACUCCUUGUGGAUAACAUCUGCCGCCUCCUCCUCCUAUCCCUCCUCGCACCUGUAGAAUGUCUGCAAUCAAAUGAGACAAUAUUGAUUAGUACAAUUAAUAACUAGCUAGUUGAAGAUUUUUAAUUGUGUAAAGGAGAAAUUACCCAGAACAUUCUGAUCACCAUGUCUGCCCUCGUCUUGCACAAGACACUGUCGAUAAUCUCACCCGGCGGGGCCGGGGAAGCCAAGUAGUGCACCCAACUCAAUCCAACCUCUGGAAGCCGACCCUCACCAGGCAACGUGACAAACCCCGGAAAGUUUUGUCGAAUCACAACUCCAAGGACGGAGUUGGGCCGGCGGACACUUUCAUGGUGGUCCCAACCCCUGCAGCAUGACAAGGCCAACGCAUUAGUUAUUUGAAGAAACGUGAAUGCAGAAGGUACAAAAAGAUUAAAUGCACUUACCUCUCCCCAUCAGGGAAAAUCAACCACCUAUGCUCGCGGGUCGCCGGCACGGACGGGAGCCGUGUAGCACCACGCUGGUAGACGUUGCCCCCCUCCUCCCCCUCCUCCUCAAGACCAGUUGGCUCCCCGCCAUCAUCAGCAUGGCCACUCGGCUUCCCGCCAUAAUCAGCAUGGCCACUCGGCUCCUCAGGCUGACCCGACCAAGUACCCCAUCCAGACGUGUGCUCCUCCGGGGUCUCGUGGGCCCAACUCUCGUGGGCCAAAGGCCCGUCGACCCGAGGCUCGUGGGCCGAAGACCCGUGGACCGGAGGCUCGUGGACCGGAGUCCGUGUAGCCUCCUCCUCAGACGAGUCCACCCUAGCAGUCACAUGCUUGGGUGAAACAGCUGGGGGCGGAGGCGAGGAAGGCGUCGUAAGAGCCACCCUACCUCCUCUCCCACGACCACGUGCUCCACCUCGGCCCUUCUUCUUACCUCGUCCCCUGCUGGGCACCGCGGUCGACGAAGAAGGGCCCGGCAGUGUCGCCAUACUGUCCAGCAACGCUCGGCAGAGAGGUGCGUGUGGAAUGGAAGACCUCACACUACGCGCCGACGAAGAAGGGGCCUCGGCGCGCUCCCGACCAGCGCCCACCAUCUGUCAACACCUGCCAUGACAAAGAAUAAACGAAAUUAGUACAACAUGAAAAAGUACCGACAUGAAUAAUAAUAUGUAUAUCACUGAAGUGUAUCAUCAUCAAGUACAACAUAAACAACUGCACAUUUAAAACUACCCGAUCAACACAAUUAUAUAUGAUGUUUUUCAUAACAAAAUCGAAAAAAUAUAUGACCUAACUAAUAAUUCACAAAUAUAUGACCCCGUCGGCCUCUGGAAGGCCAAAGAACACCUUUUCGGGNNNNNNNNNNNNNNNNNNNNNNNNNNNNNNNNNNNNNNNNNNNNNNNNNNNNNNNNNNNNNNNNNNNNNNNNNNNNNNNNNNNNNNNNNNNNNNNNNNNNNNNNNNNNNNNNNNNNNNNNNNNNNNNNNNNNNNNNNNNNNNNNNNNNNNNNNNNNNNNNNNNNNNNNNNNNNNNNNNNNNNNNNNNNNNNNNNNNNNNNNNNNNNNNNNNNNNNNNNNNNNNNNNNNNNNNNNNNNNNNNNNNNNNNNNNNNNNNNNNNNNNNNNNNNNNNNNNNNNNNNNNNNNNNNNNNNNNNNNNNNNNNNNNNNNNNNNNNNNNNNNNNNNNNNNNNNNNNNNNNNNNNNNNNNNNNNNNNNNNNNNNNNNNNNNNNNNNNNNNNNNNNNNNNNNNNNNNNNNNNNNNNNNNNNNNNNNNNNNNNNNNNNNNNNNNNNNNNNNNNNNNNNNNNNNNNNNNNNNNNNNNNNNNNNNNNNNNNNNNNNNNNNNNNNNNNNNNNNNNNNNNNNNNNNNNNNNNNNNNNNNNNNNNNNNNNNNNNNNNNNNNNNNNNNNNNNNNNNNNNNNNNNNNNNNNNNNNNNNNNNNNNNNNNNNNNNNNNNNNNNNNNNNNNNNNNNNNNNNNNNNNNNNNNNNNNNNNNNNNNNNNNNNNNNNNNNNNNNNNNNNNNNNNNNNNNNNNNNNNNNNNNNNNNNNNNNNNNNNNNNNNNNNNNNNNNNNNNNNNNNNNNNNNNNNNNNNNNNNNNNNNNNNNNNNNNNNNNNNNNNNNNNNNNNNNNNNNNNNNNNNNNNNNNNNNNNNNNNNNNNNNNNNNNNNNNNNNNNNNNNNNNNNNNNNNNNNNNNNNNNNNNNNNNNNNNNNNNNNNNNNNNNNNNNNNNNNNNNNNNNNNNNNNNNNNNNNNNNNNNNNNNNNNNNNNNNNNNNNNNNNNNNNNNNNNNNNNNNNNNNNNNNNNNNNNNNNNNNNNNNNNNNNNNNNNNNCGUGUCGGGUCGGGUUUUCCCCCCUCUUUUUUCCUUUUCUUCUUCUUCCUCUUCUUCCUCUUCUUCCUUUUCUUCCUUCUUCUUCUUCUUCUUCUUCUUCCUCGUUUCCUUUUUCCUCCUCUUCUUCUCCACCUCUCCUCUUUCUUCUUCUUCUUCCUCCUCUUCUUCUUUUUUCUUCUCCUCCUCCUCUUCUUCUUCUUCCUUUCCUUUUUCCUCUUCUUCUUCUCCUCCUCUCCUCUUUUUUUCUUCUUCUUCUUUCCUAAACCUAAACCUAAACCUAAACCUAAACCUAAAACUAAAACUAAAACUAAAUCUAAACUAAACAUAAACCUAAAACUAAAAAAAUAGAAAAAAGGAAAAAACUAAAUCUAAACCUAAAACUAAACUAAAACUAAACCUAAAACUAAACCUAAAACUAAAACUAAAACUAAAACUAAAUCUAAACUAAACAUAAACCUGAAACUAAAAAACAGAAAAAAAACAGAAAAAAGAGGAGGUAGAGCUCACCUGGGGCAGGGCCGGCGGAGGAGGUGNNNNNNNNNNNNNNNNNNNNNNNNNNNNNNNNNNNNNNNNNNNNNNNNNNNNNNNNNNNNNNNNNNNNNNNNNNNNNNNNNNNNNNNNNNNNNNNNNNNNNNNNNNNNNNNNNNNNNNNNNNNNNNNNNNNNNNNNNNNNNNNNNNNNNNNNNNNNNNNNNNNNNNNNNNNNNNNNNNNNNNNNNNNNNNGCUAGCGGACGGCAAAGAGGGGGGCCGUUAAGUAUUUUUUUUUAACCAGCUCCUCAGUGGGGCCCCCCUCCCUCUUUGCCGUCCGCUAGCGGACGGCAAAGAUUCUUUGCCGUCUGCUAGCAGACGGCAAAGAACAGGCUGAUGGCAAAGGCUUUCUUUGCCAUCAGCUAGUUCUUUGCCGUCUGCUUUCAGGUAGCUGAUGGCAAAGAGCUUCUUUGUCGUCCGCUAGCUGACGGCAAAGAGCUGGCAGAUGGCAAUGUAGCUAAUUCCAGUAGUGCUUCAUGUCUCUGUAGUAGGGGUCGAUGAUGGCCUCGGUGAGGUGAACCAGUGAGUCCUUCUCAUGCUCCUUGUUGCCCCAGAUCUUGUAUUGGCCCUGGAUGUCGACAAGAUUCUGGUAGGCGAUGCCCGAAUUCUUGAGCACCUUGACAUUGUUGGUGAUGUCGACUGUAGCGAACAUGUAGUGGGGGCUGUUGACAAACCUGGCAAAACGCUCGCAAGGCCUUGUGGCCAAGCAGUAGUGGUAGACGGGGACAUGGUGGCCCACGCACAUCUGGGCAACGGUGACCUUGGGACAAGACUUGGCACGAGCGCGGGUGUGCUCGAUGUCGAACCCGACCACCUCGUACUUCUCGUCGGCAAGCAACAGCUCCAUGAUGCGGAUGGAGUGCUCCAUCCAGACCGGGUGGUUGGUGUACACCACCGAGAGCUCCUCGAACCUUCGGUAGGUGUCCACCACGGCAUGGAUGGUGAACUACUACUCGUCGUCGGCAGCAGCUCGGAGCGCCAUUGGAGCCGCGCAGGAUACUCUAAGAAUUUGUCGUGCUGGGUGUGCUUCUUGCAAUGGUGGGGCGCGAUCGAAAGGAUGAAGAGACACAAUGGUUAAAUAGCCGCUGUAACAAAUGGGGCCAGUCGGGCUAUAAUCGUCAUGUCUUGUCACGGCGUUCAUAGCGGAGGAUUGCAGUGCACGCUUGACAACACCGCACUGCACUGAGGAUUCCAGUGCACGCUUGACAACACCGCACCGCAGUUUGACCAUGUGUGGGCUCGAAGAGGCACCAAAUGUAUCAUCGGUGAUCAUGUUCCCAUGCUACCGCAUAGUUUACCGUGCAAGCUUCCCGCCUGGCUUGGUUUGCCACGCAUCGGCUAGAAGAGGGACAAAUCAUGGGUGUUUAUUGGCAAAAAGCUUUGUAAAAACGAAGUGAGUGGAAUGACUUCGAUCAUAAGUUUUACCUGUGGGUGUUGAGGUCAAAGUUACACAGAAGGGUGAUGAUGGACACUAGAGUGCGAUAAUUAAUUCUGCGCUCUACGGGGCACACGAUGGAAGAAACCAACUGUGUGCAAUAAUGUCCAAGAUCGCAGUUGAGUUAGCUAUACAAAUCGUGUGUUGUGAGAUCGACAAGGUAAACAGAUUAGAGAAUGGUUAAUAAAAUCAAAAUCUAAGACCAUUGCAUAUUAAGUUCAAAAUAGUGCUACCAAUAUACAAGUCUCAUACGAUGCCAUUUCAACGAUUGUACCACAAAGGCUCGAAAUAUUACAAGGUUCAAAUUCCAGAGUUAUAUGGCUCAAAUUCAAAGAUUACAAGGUUCAAACUGAUAUUAGAAAUGAAAUUCAGCUCAUCAACUACAAACGCUUGCGUUGAUCCGCUGAACAUGGAUAUCAGAGAGGUUCAAACUAAUAUUACCACUUCUAAGUCUAGUUUUGAAACCUUAGAACUUUUGCAAAGGGGUCAGCCACUGAGAAGUCACGUAUGGGGUUGACAUGAUGAGUUCCGAUUACUCUGUCAUCUGAAGUUUCAAAGUAAUUUCUGAGAGAUGCAGAUCUAGGCAUUCAACGUGAUUGUUAUAUUGUAUCACAUUAUCCACCACUGGGCCUAAUCUUAUCUGCAAAAGAAGAAAACGUGUUAGUGCCUAGAUGCAGUUUUGAACACUUCUACAUGCCUAUUUGGUUUGCGGGAUUUGUAAAAUGCACUAACAUGUCAUCUUCAAUCUGACAUGAUUAACAUGGGCAUUAACAUGCCAUCUUCGAUCUUCACAAGAUGUGGAGUGGAUGAAAAGUUCCAUAAGGAAACUAGUACAUAUGAAUCCAAAGGAGAAAUGCAUAUGGAUUGUAACCAUAUGGAUCAAGAAUUGUCAUUGUAAACUUGGAAAAGGAGACAUGUAUGUACUGAAAUCCUCCAAAAGAAUCAUUCAGAAAUCGUAGUACAUUGUCAUUGUAAACUUGGAAAAAGGUGUCGCAAAUUGAACUCCCUCAUGGUUAACAUUUAACAGGAAAGGAACAUCACCUUGAUAUAUAGCUUCUCCAGGCACGGAAAGCAUCUCAGGAAAGUGACAACUUGCUCCAGGUUGGGGCUGAUAGAUUUUAGUGCCAAGACCUUCAUUGUGUGUGGUUUCGCGGUCAAGCUUGUCGGAAUCAUUUUCUGAAUAACUGAUGAACAAACAUCUUCAAAGUUAGAAAUAAUGUUAAUUUGUAGAAGGAGAGGUAGAAGGCGGCUCUUGUACCUAAACGGGUGUGGAUCCAAUAACAAGUUUGGAGUACUUGUCAGACGAGUAGCCCAGCACUGUCAAUUUCGGCGCAGAAAUGAUAUUGAUUCUUGUUGGGCCUACUUGAUCAAGUACAAGUAAUCUCUCAAGUGCAGGUGUGUCCUCAAUGACCAUACCGUGGUACACAUCUUGUGAUGUCUUCCUGCCGAACCAGCAGCACACAUAAAUAGUCCGAAGAGUCAUGGAGGUGAUGUGGAAUGUACUAAACCCACUAAUCACCUGAAGAAGAAGGUACUCGAGUGCAGUACAGCCACGGAGCAGGCGCUCCAUGUCACCAUUUGAGAGGCAGACGGUGACGAGCUCGAGGUGCUUCAGUCGUGGUAGAAUAAGAGCAGGUGCAUCAUUAAGGGGGAUGGCAGUUCCUGAACUUGACGACGCGCAGCGUGGGCAUGAGGCGGAGCACGGACGUUGGCAGCGAGCGCAUAUGCCCAUCAUCAAAAGUGAGCUCCUUGAGCUGAUCUAGGGCGAGGGAUUCGAACCAGUCAUCAAGCUUGGCUCGGUCCCUGCCGUUGGAAUGGAACUUUCCCAUUCUAAGGCCUCUAGUUGCGCCAGGGUGACUGCCGAGGAUCUUGGAGAAUGCAUCCAAGCUUUUAUGAUAGCCAUGGCAGAGCUCAUGGGUGUCGAUGAGAUCGAGAGGGUUGAAGUUCCAUAGGGGGCGCCACCACCGAGAAAGGAGGGUUGUCCAUGCCCCACAUUUGAUGGGAGGAGGGAGAUGAUGACUGUCAACAUAUCAUCAGUGAGGCUGAUGAAGUCUAUGCAUACUAGAGUCGCUUGUGGUUCUAGAUCGCCCCGCCUCCGCUUGUUGGCAGCCCCAUUCUCCACCUCUGGAGUCUCCUUGUCAGUGGCGCUUUCUGAUAGAAAUGAGAGUACAUGGAAUAUUUAGUUAAAAUAGGGCAAUAGAAAAGUGUAUUGGUAACUAGAAGUUAUUAGGUAGGAAUAUAGUAAGAAGGGAAUAACAAUUGGUUGCUUAAAUACUACACAAUUCAUUUAACAUUGUUGGGUAAGUCAACAUGCAGAUAGUUGAAAAGAAAACUUAAUUCGAACAAACUCGGGACGGAUGAAUUUGUCAGGGAAGUUAGCAUAUAUCUCAUGACCAGGCCCUUCUAUGUGCAGUCAAAUUUUAGUGCCAGCUUUCAGUACAUAAAACUCAGAAAUUUCUUUCCAAAAGCCAGCGCCAAAAUAGGAGUCACCAUGUUCAUCAAGUCUUACAGUAGCAAUGAUUGUAAAUCCAUGGUUAGUGUGCAGUAUGACAUCCGUGCAGCCUUGAUUUACGUAAAGGGAAAAAUUGUGCACUACAUAAUCUGUUGCAUAGCAAGGGAUGCGCUGCAGAAAAUGGUAGGAUUGUUAAAGAAAAUAUGGUAACAUGCAAAUAUGGGCCCAAAUUGAAAGAACUGUACAGCAGUUGAAAUCGAAGGACAAAAAUCUAUAAUUAAACAGAUAGGGUAAACAUGAUGUCAUGGAAAUAUGAGAGUAGUCGAAAGAACAAUACAUCAUUAAUUUGCCUAAUAUAGAAAGAAGAGGGGGGAAUCCCCUUUGACUUAUAUGGUGCAUGUGGCACCUUUUAUACAAACGUAGCAAUAUUUAGAAUAUAUUCAGGAAAGUAGGCCAUGCCAACCGAUUUAGGGUGAUAUUGAACAUACCGCGCACAUGCUCAAGUCAUCUGGUAUGGUGAGAUGGAAUCUCUAGCGGAGGUCGCAAGGUCCUGAUGUGUCAGCGCAUUGUACACUCUAUGAAUGAAAGAAAACCCUCAAAUCAGCACAAAUAAAAAUGAAUUCACGGUGAUUUCCAUUGGGUGAUUAAAGGAGGCAGAUGAACUGGGAUGAGAGAUGAGAUAAUAUCUCAUUAAAUUAGUUACCUUGUCGUCCAUGAGAAAAAACCUCAGUAUGGCAGAUUCGCCAGUCGAGCAGAGUUGGGUCGACCAUGAGAAGCGUCGAUGGCGAUAGGCGGUGGCAAGCAGAAGUGGCGAAAUGUGGUGGGGUUUGCCGGCAGCCUGGCGGCGGCGGCAGGCAUCAGCUAAGUGGUUACCUCCGCGAUAGGCGGUGCCAUGCAUAGAUGCGGAGGAUCUUAUGCAGGUGUGAAUGGGGACCGCGGGCAUGGGGUGGUGGGCGGGGGUGAGGGUUUUUGUGACAUGGGGAUGGCGAUGGUUUUCUUUUUUCUUUUUUGAAUUGGGUGGUGAGUGUUUUCUGUCCCACAAAGAAUUUCGGAGGCAGCGGUUUGCUAGAGCCAACCAUGUGUGAUUGACGCAAGAAGCAAAACAAAAGUCAUUGCACACGGUUCCAAUUUUCGGAACCGUGUGUGAUUGAAGCAACGGGCAAAAUGAAAGUCAUAGCACAUGGUUCCAAUUUUGGGAACCGUGUGUGAUUGACGUACUACCUCCGUCCUGGUUUAUUGGUCCCCUCUGUAAUUUGUACCAAAUUUCGACCAAAUAUUUGACUAAGAAAUGUUUAUGCAUGUCACCAAAAAUUAUAUCAUUGAACACUAUGUUCAAAUACGCAUCCAACGAUAUAGUUUUUGCUUACAUGCACUGGCAUUUUGUCAGUUAAAUCUUUGGUCAACAUUUAACACAAAUUACAAAGGGGGCCAAUAAACGAGGACGGAGGUAGAUUCCAUCAACCGAACUGAUUGCAUCCAUAUCCCACAGUUAGACAUAAGUAAACAUAGAUUAAACAUACUUAGACAUAGAUAAUAAGUGUACACGUACACAAGCAUAGUUCAACCAUCGUUAAGCAUGCUCAAGCGUACAUAGUUCGAUCCCACAUCUCAUCUCACCAGCCAGCACAAUCCUUAACCUUCUCCAUGUACUCGGCGUACGUGUCGUGCUCCACCCUACGAGCAUACUUCUGCUUGAAGGAGCCAACAGCCCGUCCUCUUGCAUGCACCAGAACACUUUGAUACGCGUCAUAACGCUUGUGGUUGCAAAAUGGGCAUCGAUAGCCACCGUUGCAGGUCCUAAUACGCCUGUUGUGCAUUCUCGCAUAAAGCUCCCUCGGGAUUUGCCUCUUGUACCUCCUCUGGACAUCUUCAUCCUUGUUGUCCACAUCGUCAGGCAGCACCUAUACAAAUGGUAAAAAAAUGUGGCGUCAAAUUAAUGGUUACAAACUAAUCUCUAGCGAACAUUUGGUAGUUGCCAAAAAUUGGCAUCAAAUCAACAAUUACAUGCCGUGAAGUAGGAUUAGGAAUUUAUGGCUAUUUAUUUAUACAUAUCCAGAUAUUAUGGUUUGAUUUUUAAGCACAUCCGUCUAUGUACAAACCAACCUUGAACAAAAUAAUGGCACAAACAUAUGUAGGUCAUUCAAAAUCAAUUUUCAAGUCCUGGCUAGGAAUUGUUAGCAUGAACACUAACCCUAGUCGGAUUACUAGCAAAAAUCAUUUCCACAGAUGAAACAACUAAUCACUUAUCACUUGUACCGUUCAAACAAUCAAUACACUACACGGAUCUAAUGAAACUUACUCAGAUUUCAUGGAUUGGGAGAACAUAACCAUAGGAUUUCUAUUCCAAAAAGUGGGAGGCAGGAAUAACAAGAGAAACCCUGGGAUCUAUUUGACACAUAAAUGGGUAUAGAUGACUAACCAGUUGUCUAUGUUCGUCGGAGUCGUCGCCGGAGUGGUCAUUGGAUUCGUCGCCCGAGUCGUCACCAGAGUCGGUGUGGAACUCCGCCUCCGGCUGUGGAAGCUCGACACCAUCGACGACGUCAGGUUGCAUCGAUAACUCGCCAGCGGUGACGGCAACCUCUAUCUCCAUCUCCACACCGUGCUCUGGUGCUUUAGCAUCCCCGGCGUCGCCACUCCCUCCGAUGGGGUGCUUCGGCGGCAUCCUCAUACACUGACGGCUUUGAUGACUGAGAGCGGUGUCGAGGAUGCAAGUGGAGAGAGGGGAUUGUGUGUGGGGCGAGGAUGGGGGUUGCGUCUGCUCGGGCGCACCAUUAAUAUGGAGUAGUGGGAGUAGUGGGAGAGAGGCGGGCGGCGGUCAAACCGCUGGCUCGCCUCUCAGUGAGCCUGCGCACCGGACUGCUGGCAUGCCUACCGUCAUUUCACACAGCUACUCGCACGCCUCCCGGUGACAAUGUGCAGCGAGCACGCCUCCGCCAAUUCACACACCUGCACGCACACCUCCCGGUCUGCCUGCGCGGCGGACUACUCGCAUGCGUCCCAUCAACUCACGCAUGCUCGCAUGAUACACGGGUCGCGUGGCGGCACGUAUAUUGCUUUUCUAUUUGGAUGAUUAAUGAUGUCGCUUUAUUUUUUGCUUAACCGAACCAUGGCACGUAUCCAUUGUUGGUCUAACGCUCACGGUUUGAAUGAAUAGUCCGUUUGGGAUAUUGGUUCCCAAUUAUUAAUAGGGUCUUUUACAUUUGUGCCCUUAACUCGAACCCACUACUCGGAUUUACCCCUAAUUUUGAAGUGUGCUCAAAUUUGCCCCUCUGCCGUUAGGUGACCUUACAGAAAUGCCCUUUCGUGCUGUUUCCGUCUGGUCAAAGGGCUUUGACCGUUUUCUUGACGUUUGAUGGACAGUUUUGCCCCUUGAAAAAAAAUAAAGAAGAGAAGAGAUAGGGCGCACUUACCUUUUUGGCCAGGGACGGCCCAGCCAGCCCAGCUCUCUGGCUGGUCAUCGUCUUCCUCUCCCGAGGGCAUGUCGCCCACACGCUCACCUGAGCACCGCCGUUCUCGUGGACAACAGCACAGAGAAGCCGCACUAGCAUGUCUCUGAGGCCCACCGUCAAGCAUAGCAUCACCACACCGUGGAUCAUGACCUCGGGUGCCCUGCAACUCCGCCAUCGAAGCAAUCUCGGUCGCCUCUGCCCGCCGGCCACCGGCCUAGAUUCGUUGUCGUCUGACCUUCCCCGAGCCUUCUGUUCAUUCCAGCCAGAUUGUUGUGCGCUCCUGCUCCCCCUUGUGUUUAAGCCCGUCGAUUUCUUCCGCUAGCUGCAUCCCCACAAGCCCGAGCACCGCCAGCCACCAUAAACAUUGCACACAUCGAUCCAAGCCCCCGGUGUCCUUGUGUUGUUAUAGAGUGAUCCCAAAGACCACUGGAAGCCACGAAGAUGCAUAGUUUGCUCGUUUUCAUCACACGGGGACGUGCACGACCAAAUUGUAGCUCAUCCGCCGCUCCGCUCGUCACCGUCCUUGAUUCCGGCGACCAUUUGGACCAACUCCGCCACCAAUAGAUGCGCCUAGUUUCCAACUACACGUAGGUGCUAGCGGUACAUCCAGCUGUCCUCUGUAGAGCGAAUCCGAUGUGCCUCGGUCAUGAUUUGUGGUCACCGACGGUGAAAUCGCCGGGAUGAGGUACGGCCAAGUGGGCCUGACAGGUCAAGUAAUUGUCACCUGUGAGUAUGACUUGUGGGCCCUCCAUAAUUAAUGGUGCUAAAUAUUCAACUAAAAAACAAAGAUAAUUAUCAUAGUAAUAAAUAAAUAAUGAGGCCCUGACAUGUGGGCCCAUGUCCUUUGUUGACCUAGUCAAUGUUGACUAGCUUGGCUUACAAUAGGAGAGUGUUUUUUUAUUUUUUUUCUCUGGAUGGGUCCCACAUGUAAGUGACACAUGGAGGUAGGGGCCAAAUGUCCAGGAAACGUCCGAUAGACGGUCAAAGGCCUUUGACCUAACGGAAACGGUACGGAAGGGCAUUUCUGUAAGGUCACCUAACGGCAGAGGGGCAAAUUUGAGCACACUUUGAAAUUAAGGAUAAAUGUGAGUAGUGGGUUCGAGUUAGGGACAGAAAUGCAAAUGGCCCUUAUUAAUAAUCUCUCGUUUGUAAUUAGAGAAAGAUUACAUCAAAACUAGUCUCAAAUUUGACCCAAAAAAGUACAAUGCAACUUUGUAUUGGUGUCCAUAUGACAACACGAUAAGUUUCAUGAACUUCAAAUAAGUUUUGGAUGUACUAGAAUUUAAAAAUCAAGCUUCUCAUUGUUUGAAAUUUGUUGCACGGGGAGUAAACAUGCACCCAGUGAGACACAUGUGUUUUUGCAAUCCAUUUAGGUGCACUGUCACGUGUGCAUGUAGCUCGAAUUUGAUUUUUGCACAUUAUACCCCUAGAAAAUUAAUCAAUUAAUGUACUAAAACAUCUUAAUGAUCUCUGAUUUUUUUUAAAUUAAAAUGUCCCUCCUUUGGUAACAUACAUAUGUUCACUGCGGGAUAAUUAAUUUAACAUGAAUCGUAGUUGCGGUGGAUUCGCGGUGUGUGUGUGGGUGUGUGCGUCUGGGGGUGGUGAGUGGCUUGCAGUACACUACGAGUUGUGAGCCACCAUGUGGGUUGGUUGUUUUAUUAGGCAAGCCGGUGCCACAUCCGAGUCGUGAAUUCGUAAUUUAAAACAUUACACAACCCUUCCAUACAUACAUGUUUUGGCCACAUGCAGUCGACUAUUGUCCUACACGACACUCGAUACUCGCAUAUGACGCUUUUUGUGGGCCCACGAGGUCGUCGUCCAUCACUUUGACGAACAGCCGGUAGUGAGGUUAAUUUGACCAGCAAGAUAGAAUCUUUUUUGUUUGUGUUAUGGUGGUAUAUAGUACGCGUCGAAGAGGUGGGAGGGGACUAGCAUAUAUAUAUAUAUAUAUAUAUAUAUAUAUAUAUAUAUAUACUAUAUGUAUGCGUCCGUGAACAAGUACACCUCACUCAGUGUCGGGACUUUUCGGUUUCCGGGGCACGUGCCACAUCAAAAUUGUGAAAAUGGCUAUUCAAACAUCACACAACACCUCUUUGCGCCACAUGCAUGCACGCGGUGGUUAUCCUAGCUAGGACACUCAAGUGUGACGCUUCCAUCUGUGGGCCCAUGAGGCCAUCGUCGAUGCAUGUGCAUCACUUUGACCUACAUCGCGAGAGGUUAAUUAAUUAAUUUCACCAUCGAUGAGGAUUCUUUUUGGGUUCUAUUACGGUAGGAGCAUAUAGUAUGCAUCGAAGAGGGGGAGGGGGACCGAACCUCGCUUUGUGUGGGUGCAUGGUUUACGCUUUUUGAGGCAUGUGUGGCGCAUCAAAGUUGUGCAUCUUAGGUAUUAUAUUCUACAUAUGUUUGGCCCACUUGCAAAGUGAUGGUGGUUGUCCUCUCGCACCCACUUAAGCGGUUAUCAGCGAUAUCGAUGCUUUCCAUGUGUGGGCCCGCUUGGUCCAUCAAUACUUUUUGCCUGACGAUGAGAGUGGUUAAUUUGACUUAGGAGGGGGGUUAUUUUUUUGCUUGUAAAUACGGUAUAUAUAUAUAGGGUGGGUCUAUUAUGAUAACACCCUCUAGAGUCUUAUUCUGCACACCAAACUCUUAUUCUGCUAACAUCAUCGAGCUGACCCGUAGCUAGAAACUAACCCCACGAAACAAACGAAUGAACUGAAACGGACAAAAAAAACCCACACCCCACCUUAUCCUCCCACUCUUCCCACGACCCGAGCCAGCCACCUCCCUCCCAGCGCCGUGCCGCACCUCCCUCCCCACCUUCUCCGGUGACGCCGCCCACCACCACCUCCCUCCCCGCGCCGCAUCCCAUCUCCCUACCCACCUUCUCUAGCGUGGCGCGCCCUACCCUGCCCACCUUCUCAGGCGGCGCCGCCUCCCUUCUCCACUACGCCACCCCAUCCCGCGCGGCCAGGCUGCGCCGCGCCGCAGCGCGCAGAUGCGCCAGCCCCCUCCCGCACCGCCAGGCCUCCCCGCUCCCGCGCGGCGCCACUUCCCUGCUCGCCGUCUCCCUCCUGCCGCGAGCUACCGCACCAGUUACACCACCACCCCCGACGGAUCCCAUCGACCCCGGAGACCACCGGCAUGAUGGAGCCGCCCCAACCCCACCGUCCCGACGGCCCUUGCGCCCUCGAAUCGGGCCGAGCCUGGCACCCACGGAUCCAGCCGAGCCUCAUGUCUCCGGCCAUCUUCCUUGCUGGAUCCAGGAAGGAUCUUGCUGUGCCGCCGUGCCCCUUCCCUUGCUGCGCCGCCGCACCCGGAUCCAGUCAACCUCCUGCCGGUGCCCACCAUCUCGCGCAGCCUGGAGUUGGCGGGCCGAUCCAGCCCCGGUCCAUCGUCCUCACGGCAGAGAGCUAGAUCGAGGGGAGAAGACAUCCCGUGUCUUCGAGUGUCCUCCACCAACCACGGCAACGUGUGCGGCGGCUGACUGCUUCCUAUGGCUACUCGACGGACUGCACUUCCGUGGAGGCCGGCGGUGAGUGCCACACCAUCCAACUUCCACCCACAUGCGUGUGCAGUGCACAACUAUUGCGUUGCAGCCCACCUCCCAGGUGCUUGGGUCUCCCGGUGAGGGCCUCCAUCGGCAGUGGUCGUAGUAGCUACGGGAGCACAGCUGUAGGUGGCGGUGUGGCAUCAUUGCUUCUGCUACUAACUGCAAGUUUGCCUCCUGCCCAUGACCAAGUGUUAGUUUUUUCCUCUGAACCGAUUCCUCUCUGUUGCGGACCACUUCGUUGCAGCUUGCAGCCCACAUCAGGGGGGUGAGCAGCUCCCAUGAGGGGAGUUCGGGGGCGGCAGUGCACUCCGGUGGGAGCAGUGGUGCACUCUGGUCAUGGUGCAGUGCACCCCGUUUCAGUAUGCCAUAUGAACACAUGAUAUGCGUUGGGCUUUCUAUCAACUAGUAAAAAUAGCUUGCUUGUUGCCGGUUGGUGUGUGCUUGAUGCAAAUGUGUGUGUGUGUGUGUGUGUGUGUGUGUGUGUGUGUGUGUGUGUGUGUGUGUGUGGAUAUGCAGUGCAGUCAAGCAAUGUACGCAGGUUGGCCGGGAGGGUGUUGCAGUUCAGCAACCAGCCACACCAUGUGCAGUUUUGAGAAGGUGCAUGCAUGUCCGAUUUUUUUGUAAUUAUUGAAAAAGCAAUGUUGUUCGUUCUGCCAUAAUUAGUGGUUCACUUGUAAAAAGAAACUAUUUGGCAAAAACAAUGUUGAAUAUAAUAGUUAAUGACAAAAGUUCGCUAAAUAUGGUUUGGUGGUUUACUUUGGGAAACUGAAAAUUGCAGCCCACUUAUCUCAUCCCUGCGGUUCAUUUUUUAGGUAAAACAAUAAAUAAAAUGAAAUAUUUGUUGAGAAGUUCAUUUCAACAAGCAUUAAUGGGUCAUUUUUCAAGAGACAUAAAUGGAUGCAGCCCACAUGGAGGAGUCUUAUGGUUCAUUGCGUUUAAUAAGGAAGAAACAGAGUGUUGUUCACUUGUUUCAUGGUAAAAAGAAAAUGAUGCAGCUCACUAUGUCUUUAUUAGAUAGAUGUGGCUUUGAAGCUCACUUUGUUGUCCAUGCAGUGUGCUAUAAAACUUCUACGUGGUUCACUUGUCCCACUUGUAAAAACAGGAGGAAAAAUUCUCAAAGAAAAUUCUCAAAGAAGCUCACUUCUAUAUUAGAUGUAGUUCAAUCGCUCGGUCCAUGUGGUCCACUCGCUUGGUCAACGCGCAUAAAAAAUUAAUAAGUACGAAAAAAAGACAACAAAAACUCAUGAGGUUCACUUUUGGUAGUGUUGCGAUUCACUUUCGAAAGUGUUGCGGUCCACUCUUGUUAAAAAAAAGUUGAAAACAAGACAACAAAAACUUGUGCGAGAAAGUUUAUGUUCGACAAAAAGAAAUCAUGAACUUCACUUGACUGUCUGUUGCAGUGCGGUUUUCAGUUUGAAGCAGUGCGUUCUUCUGUCCGGCGAUGAUUUUGGUGUCACAAAAAAACAGAGUGUCCGCUUUUUGCUAAUUUUAAAACUGCUCUUAAACCGUAAGGAAUUAGAGAGUGUGUUCUACAUGAAAAAGUUGCGUCUCGUCGAUAUCUUUCCAACGACAUAUCAUUUGAAUCAUUUCGACAACCGGUUUGUAAAAAUUUAAAAAAAUGGCCGUUGUCACUCGUCCUCCGCCGCACGAUUUUCAAAAUUAACUUAAAACCGUAAGGAAUCUCAAAACCAUUCCAACAUAUGAAAGUUGUGCUUUGUCCAUAGCUUUCCAACGACGUAUCAUAUGACUCGUUUCGACAAACGGUUCAAAAACUAGAGUGAAAACAGUACCGAAAAUUUGAAAAAAUUUGAAAAACAGAAAUCCGCGAUUUAGUAAAUUUGAAACUGCUCUUAAACCGUAACGAAUUAGAGAAAGAUUUAUAUAUGGAAAAGAUGCGCCUCGACAAUAUCUAUCCAACGGCGUAUCAUUUGCUUUAUUCCGACAGCGGUUUAGAAAAAAACACGAAAAAACGCUCGCUGCCACUCGUCAUCCGCCGCACCAUUUUCAAAACUGCUCUUAACCCGUGUGGAAUCUCGAAAAGUGUUCAACAUGUCAAAGUUGCGCCUAAUCCAUAGCUUUUCAACGUAUAUUACACGCCUCAUUCCGAUAAACGGUUAAAAAACUAGAGCGAAAACAGUACAGAAAAAACGCCGCGUGCAGUUUUUUUCGACACGAAGUUCAUUCGUGUGAGUACUGCAGCACACUUGGUUCAAACAAUGACGUGCACUUGCGUUGACCGUGCAGUGCAAAAGUGAUGUGCAGAAUAGUUAUUCUGCUAAUAUUAGCAUAAUAGACCGUCUGUGUGUGUGUGUGUGUGUAUAUAUAUAUAUAUAUAUAUAUGAGCACACAUGCAUGCAUGUGUAUGCAUGAAUCCCUCCCAUCGAGUCGAAGUGGCUAGUACAACUACACGUCAUGAACCGAUCUCGCUCUGUGUGGGGAGAGUGUAUGAUUUUCAACGCACGCGCCACAUCAAUGUUGUGAAAUGGUAUUCAAACAUGCAUGCACGCAUCACCUCCAUACAUAUGCAUGUAGUGGUUGUCUUCAAACAGUACACUCCCUCGUGUGGUUAUCGGCGAUAAGCCUAUAUAUUCGUGGGCGCGCAUGGACAUCCAUGAUCACCUUGACCAACAACAAGAUAGGUUACCAUGGUUGAUUCUUCAUUUGGUUCAUGUUAUCGUAGUAUAGGUCAUGGUGAUAUUCAGGCCUAAUUAAAGUUUGAGCGCAUAUACUAUGCACGCAUGCAUGCAUGAAUCCCCGUUGUCGGCUUGAAAUGUGGUGUAACAUACAUAUGCAUCAUCAACCUAACCCUCAUUCGGUGUGGGGAUUUCUAGUUCGAAAUCACGAUGCCACAUAAAAGGUGUUCCAUUGUGUACUAAAAAACACACCUGAUCCAUACAUAUGUUUGGGCCACACGCAUGCAGUGGUUGUCUUCGGGGACUAGCUACUUGCGUGAUUAUUGGCGAGCUAGCCUAUCUUGGGUUGCAUGGACGACCAUCACUUUGACUAGCAACAAGAGAGAGGUUAUACGGCCAAGGUGGAUUAUUCUUGGUCCAUUUUAUGGUCAAUCUUGGUGAGAUGCCUCUCUCGCCCGCCGACUAAAAGUGUGUUUGGGGGGGUGGGGGCUGCUAAUUUGCACUUUGUUAGGUGAACCUCGGUUGGGGUGCAUUCAUAGCUUAGGAUUCCCUUCGUGCCGACAUGAGGGGGGCUGCUAGUUACUUCGCACUUUGCUAGGUGAACCAUGGUUGGGGGCAUCCAUUCAUAGCUUAGGAUUCCCUUCAUGCCGACACGAGGGAGGGGGCUGUUAGCUUCUUCACACUUUGCUGGGUGAGCCUUGGUUGGGGGGCAUGCAUUCAUAGCUUAGGAUUCCCUUCGUGACGACACGAGGGGCGGCUGCUAGCUACUUUGCACUUUGCUAGGUGAGCCUCGGUUGGGGGGGCAUGCAUUCAUAUCUUUGGAUUCCCUUCGUGCCGACAUGAGGGGGGCAAGCAAUACCGUGCGCUUUGCGAGAUAGGUGCGACAUCGAAGUUGCAUUUGGUAUUUGAAAAUCAAACCACCCUUUUCAUACAUAUAAAUUUGGUCCACAUGCAAGUGUGUUCGUGUUCUGACCCUCUCUCGCGUCAUUUUUCACCAAAUUUAUGAACAUUAGACAACUCGGAUGACGCAACAGACACGGUUCACUCAAACUAACCGUGUGCCAUGUCGGUGCCUCUGUCACGCACACAUCCGCAUAGUACAUUAGGCUCCACGAGGCUCCCCCUCUCAAAAAUAUCUGCUCGCCUCGAGGGUUUUUCAGUUUCAUAACACACGGUUGUUAUCCCUGGACUGUGUGCAAUGUUUCUUCUUACCAAUCCCACCUGCAUCCCUAGAAAAUAUUUGCCCGCCUCGAGGAGGGUUUUUCUGCUUCAUAACACACGGUUGUUAUCUCAGGACCGUGUGCGAUGUUUCUUGUUCCCAAUCCUGCGUGCCCCUAGAAAAUAUCUGCCUGCCUCGAGGGUUUUUCUGUUUCAUAACACACGGUUGUUAUCUCCGGACCGUGUGCGAUGCACCACCAUCAAAAAUUUCAUUAGCCCCGGCAUUUCACUCCCGCGUUGUAAAAAAUUUAUUACCCGCGUCAUUUCCUCAAACACACACCCGCCCCCCUCCACACACACACCAAAACCUCCUCGGGUGCGCACACACACACACACACACCUCCUCCCUUGUUCAAAACCCUAGCAAGGUCCAUGACGCCGCUGCCGCGAGACCUCCAUUGUCAACAUCUGCCAGUUUUCCCGUGCACCUUACCCACCGAUCUCCAUACCAAGGCCGCCCUGAGUUUCUUAGAUGACGCCUGCCAAACGCCCCUUUUCCCCCAGAUCCCCAUCCCCAUCCCCAUCCCCCACUCCAGAGCGUCGCAGCCUAAGCCCGGCUACGCUUCCCGUGGAGCUCGAGGAGCGACUGACCCAAAAGAGGUGUAUCACGGUCUCUUUGCCCGAAGUCACCAAGGAAGCUGGCGACCAUUACUGGCGGCAGGCACUCAAGCAGCGGGCUAGAGUAUGCGAGCAUGUCUCUUCCACCAGCUACAACAUCGAGGUCAUGGACAGCGACGGCCUGAGGCAGGCUAUGUCGCAGGUUAAGUGGCCCACCCCCAACCCCUCGGGUUCAACCGCUGUCGAUCUCAUCCAUGGCCCCGCCGCUGAUCUCCUAUGGCUCGCUGUCAACAACUUGCCAUCCUACAUCGCCAUCGAGCCCCUUUUGUGAUUUCUGAAGGACACGUUCUGUGAUGCUGGCUUGGGAUCCACAGCUUCCAAGUCAUACCUCGUCGACGGCGACCACGAGGAGGGCACCUUCUCCGGCUCUUCUAAGGGGAAAGAGCCCAUCUGCUCUUCCAAGGGGAAAAGCCCGUCUGCGACAUCAGGGAGGGCACCCUACAGCCAUGCUCUUCUAAGGGGAAGGAGCCCAUAUGCGACAACAUGGAGCGCAUCCAGCGUCCGUGCUCUUCCCACGGGAACGAGCCCAUCUGUGACAAGUGAGGAAACCCAUGAUUUGUUUUGUCGUGCCUCUUCACAGGGGGAAACCCAUGAUUUGUUUUAUCGAGUCCCUUUUGUAGUCUAGUGAGAAUAUGUCCAGUUUUAAUUGCUAUAUCUGGUUGUUUGCAGUAUGCCUUCUUUAUUUCAGUUGUUUAAAAUGCGAUGCUCUGUAUGUGCAAUUAUUUACUGUGCAGUACAUUUCAAUCCAGUUUUAAACAUAUCGAUAGGAAUGCAUAUAUUUGCUUGUUGUUAAGCCUGUUAUAGGUAGCAUAUGCCUCUUUUAAAGAUUUUUGAUUGUUCUGUUGUUUAUAGUUAGCAUAUGUUCAGUUUCAAAUGCUAUCUUUGGUUGUUCGUAGUAUGCCUUGGUUAUUCCAGUUAUUCACAAUGUGAUGUUCUAUAUGUGCAAGUAUGAACUGUGUAGUUCAAUUUCAUCAGUACCAGUUUCAACAAUACCACUAUGGCCCUGUUUGUUUCGGAUUCUGGGACCAGAUUCAGCUUUGCCAGUAAAGAUGAAUCUAGAAUCCAAAACAAACAGCUAUUUGGAAUCAACUUUGCUAGUGAAGCUGAAUCUGGAUUUGGGUCAUUUUUAGUGCAAUUUCCUGAAGCACCUCAAAGUGUACUUCGGUGGUGAAGCUGAUUUGCAGAAACAGCUUCGCCACUAAAGUGAAUCCAUAGGUGAUCAAAAUCCAAGUGAAGCUGAAACAAAUAGGGCAUGAAUGGCUACAUUUGGUUGCUGCAUCUUGUAGUUAAACACGCCUUUCCAUUCUUAUUUAACAAUAACCAGUGUACUUAGACCGGCACAAUACCAGUUUGAAUGACUAUGUUUGCUUGUUGUUAAAUGUUAGGCCUAUUGCAGUUAACACACUUUUUCACUUGUUUUGCUUUACUAGCGUGCUUAAACCUGCACACUGAAGCUAUCUUUUGGAGAUUAUUUUGUCUGCCAUGGAUAAUUUUGGUUGAUGCUUAGCUUGUUGUGCUUAACAUGCUUCUCGAUGUACCUACACAGGACAAUUUUGGGAACAACUGAUGUUUUCCAUAGACGCUAGUUUCAUCCCAUGGCUUAUAUAUGCUCACUGUUCACGAUAUCGAUAGCUGGUACCAUAUAGGCCGGGGGCUGAUAACGGACUAAUCAGUGAAUUGGACUUUUAACUGAAUAUAUCUGCAAACCAUUUAUCGUUAGGUUACCUAGGGCCAUAUGUAAUAUAUCUGAGGCUACAUAGCAACAUGCACUGUAAUUAAUGUCUACUUAUGCAAUCCUAGGCUACAUAGCAACAUGCACUAUACUUAAUGUCUACAUAUGCAAUCCUAGGCUACAUAGAAACAAGGAAGAUUGUUACCUUAAUGUUCUGAUGAUGUGUAGAUACACGUAGAAGAGCAGCAGCAACAACAACAACAACACAGCCCUGUUUGGAUACUCAACUUAGCUUAGAGGUUAGAGUUAGUUUCUAGCUCAUGACUAACCCUGAACUAACUCCAUCCAAAGAGGUGUUUGGAUGACAGGGUGAGAUACUUAGAUUGCAAUAAAUGCACUAGGAGAACUAGCUCCAAUUAGCACCUCUUGGGUUGGAUAUUUUUUUGGGUGGGUUAUAGAUGCAACUAGCUCAAACUAGCCCUCGUGCUUAGAUAUACUUUAGGGCUAUUUGAGCUCGAACUAGCUCAAACUAACUCUAACCCAUGGAUACAGCAGCAGUUAAUCAACUGAUAAUUUGUAGGAAUGCAAUAAACUACUUCCGGCCCAUAAUAUAAGAUGUUAAUUCAUCUAAUAUGUGAGUAUAUUGGAUGUUAUAAGAUAUUAUAAAAGAGUGUUGUAUUACAUCAUUGUGCAAUUGGUGUUUAGCUUCUAAUAUUAACUUGGUGCUUUUAGGUACAUAUGUCAUUGGUAAAGAUCCACGCUUCGACCCUUUCUGCGUAUGGGGAAAUGAGAUAUCGAUGAACCAGCAUCAAGUGAGGAAGCUGAUAAAGAUUGUUAGUAAAAUGGGUCAAAAGAUGGCAAUUAAACUAUUUGUUUACACUUUAUCCAAUACAACAGCAAACUGUAGGAUGGUAAGUAAGAACUCUGCAGCCUUCUUUUUACUGCCCAUAAUGAGUUGUGUUAGAUGACAAUGUCUGAAUCUUUUUUCCUUUGCAGUGGUUCCCAAAGCAGUUUACUAAAGCUUACCUCUCAAACUACAUGAUUGGUGGGCAUGCAAAGGUUAAAGUAUUUCUACCAGAACACGAUGAUUAUCUAGAUGUUUUCAUGAAGACCGUGAAGGAUGGGUGGUCGGCCAUCACAAGGGGUUGGACUAGAGUCAUGCGUGCCUUCUGCAUGGAGGAGGGUACAAUAUGGGCAUUCCGCUUCACCUUGUUCAGCAACCAGAAUGUAUUUCGUCUCUUUUUUUAAUAGUACAAGUAUACAAUUAUGGUUCAUCAUUCUUUAUUUGGUUCUUAUGUAAUUCUUGAUGCGUACCUAUGAAUCGAAUAAUGCAUUGGUUGUCUGAACCUGAUGGAUAUGAAUAAAGCUAUACAUUCAAUGUCAAAUUCAAUUUAAAUUUCAAUUUCAAUUUGAUAUAGCAGCAAUUAAAUUACGGUGAAAUUAUGCUCUCCAGGUUGUUAUGGCACACAUGGUUGGUAAAACACAAACGUUUGCGAUAUACACCAUAAUCCGAGACAGUUCACAGAGAGGAAACGUGUGCAAGCAUGCACACAGUUGCCGUUUGCAAAGUGUGUGCGAUGUCAGACAAUAUCACAAACGGUGUUGGCAAACUAACCGUUUGCGGUAGUUGCCUUAUCGUACACGAUUCGCAACCAUGAAUUGUUUCUGAUGAAGUAUGCAGUAAACAUUGCACCACAUAAUAGCGUGUGUGAUAGUUGUCUUAUCGUAUACAAUUCGCAACCAUGAACUGUGUCUAAUGAAGUAUGCAUCGUAAACGUUGAACCACAGAAUAGCGUGUGUGAUAGUUGUCGUGUACGACGAUGUUACGAUGGUCCGGGGUUUCGUAAUCCUAUCCGACACUUGUACGACGAUUAGCUGAUCUUCUUAAUUAGUUAUCGCAUACGGUUUGUGAAAAGCGAAUGUGUGUGAUUGUAUGCUUAUCAUACACGUUCUAUAAUAGUGAACCGUUUGUGAUGGGCCGUGCAUCAUAAACGUAGCACCACAGAAUACUGAUUGCGAUGGCAAUGCGAGCAUAAAUGAGUAGGAGUAUUAUAGGGUCCUUAUCCCCGACGGUUCUCGGGUCGUGUGGGAAGGACACCCCCCCCCUAUCACCAUCACUCACUAGGCGACGGUUCCAAAUGUCGUCGCGGAAAGGGGUCAAAAACCGUUUGCAUAGCAUCAACAGGUACCAGUGUGGGGACACAAGAGAUUUCUUGUAUUUGAUUGCAGGGUUGCUUGAUAGAGACUAUCUUCAUCCUACACCUCCCACAGAUUGAUAAACCUUAGGUCAUCCGCUUGAGGGAAAAUUGCUACUAUCCUACAAAACUUUGCGCUUGGAGGCCCAACACGAGUCUACAAGAAUAAAGUUGCGUAGUAGACAUCAAGCUCUUUUCUGGCGCCAUUGCCAGGGAGGUGAGUGCUUGAAGGUAUAUCUUUAGAUCUUGCAACCAAAUCUUUUAGUUUCUUGUUUUAUCACUAGUUUGGUUUAAAAAAAGAAAAUUACAAAAAAUGGAGAUUGGGUUACCUCAGGUUGUUCUUUAUCUUUAUAAUGUAUAUCUUAAGAGUAAGGAUUCCGAUAAUUGUGCUCAAUUGCUAGAAAAAGAAUUCAACAAAAAUUAUGGCACAAAAACGUUGGAUGAUGGGCAUGAUUGCAAUAUUGCUAGUAUGAAUUCUUGGAAUAUCCAUGAUGUUAAUGAUGAUUGCAUUAGUCAUGAUAAUGAUGUCUCCUAUAAGAAUGUCAAUUUUUGCAGAGUGAAUUGGGAGUGCAAACACACACCAAGAAGGGAAGAUAGAUUUUGUAAGAAGCAUAAAUAUUUAGAAACGUAAAAUUUGCAAGAGAGGCUAGAUGAUUGAGCUGAAAGAAUUAAUUUUUUUUGCCAUCCUUGUGAACUUUGCAAUAAACAUGGUCAUUUAAAUCUCCAAUGCAAAUUGUUUCAUGAUCAAAUUGUGUCCAAAAAUUGUGAUAACUUGAUUACCCUUGAGCAUCAUAAAGAGCUUAGUCUUCUUUUGGGGUACGAAGAAAUGAAACGUAUAACUGAGGGUAUUCCAAAAUUUAAUCUCAAGAGAUUUCUUGAUUUUGAUCUAGGGGAAAUUUAUAUGUUUUGUGCGGUAAAUUGCAUUGAAAAUGCAAAUAUUGCGAACUAUCUAAAGACAAGAAAACAAAUAAAAUAUGAAGAGAGUACUAAUGAAAAUGGAAAUAUUUUCCCAAUAUCCUCCUAGUGUUUCUUAUGAUGAAUCAGGUAACGAGGAGGAGCUUCCUAUCCAAUCAAUCUCUUCAACGAGAAGCUUGAGAAAAUUGAUUAAACCCACAUGUGAGGUGGUGAAAAAGAAAAAGGAAAGAAGAAAAAAUAGAGGUAAAAAAGGUAACUCUCCCAAGAAAUAUUGCUCCUAUCACCAUUGUGCCUCAUGAAAGUGAAUCAAAUAUGUUGAUGGAGGAUGAUGAUAUUGAGUAUGAUUUUGUGAUGCCUACUACUUGUUGUGAUGAUUAUGAUUGGGAAGACAAUUAUGUCUCUUAUGAUCUUGAAAAUCUUUUUGGCACUUGCUUAGAACAAUAUGGUAAUAACGUUUACUAUACUAUUGGUGCCAUUCAUGCUAUUGAUAAGAAUGAUUAUGAUGAUAUGCAAAUCCACAAGCUUGGGGAUGCUAUGUUUGAUGAGUAUGAAAUGUUUGAAGAUUUAUUUGCUGAAAUAAUGCUUGUCCUAAGCUUGGAGAUACUUUGCAUGAUGAAUAUGAUCCUUUGAUUCCUUCUACUUUCGAUAAGAAAAUUUAUUAUGAUGAUAGCAUGCCUCCUAUUUAUGAUGAUUACAAUGAUGAAAGUGGGUUUGGAAGAGUGUCAACUCUAGGUAGUAGUGAUCCCACUAUUUUGGAGGGUGUUGAAUCUUAUUACAAUAUUGAUGAAAGUGGAUUUGGAGAGGUUGUGACUUUAUUUAGUGAUACAUCCACUAUUUUGGAAGAGGUUUCAAUUGACUAUGAUGAGAACAAAGUUGCUACUUAUGAUGAUUAUUAUGAUGACAUGUAUGGCAUAAAUAGUAAUAAAUUUUCUAUGCUUUUGGAUCAUGAAAAUAAUGCUUUAUGUGAUGUUUAUAUGGAUGAAUCUAUUCAUGAUGCUAAGAGAGGAACUUAUGAUUCAUGAUGCUCUUUGUGUUUCAAUUCUUUACUUUUAUGUGAGCAUCAUUGAAAUCAUCAUGCCUAGCUAAAAGGCAUUAAAGAAAAGCGCUUGUUGGGAGACAACCCAACAUUUACCCCUAUUGUUUCUGUGUGUUCACAUGAUUAUGCUACUGUAGUAAUCAUGUUUUAUCUCUUUUGUUUCAAUAAAGUGCCAAGUAAAGCCUUUGGGAUAGUGUAGAUGAUAGUUGACUUGAAUCUAUGCAAAAACAGAAAUUUUUUCACUCCAUCCAAGAAUUUUGAAAAUUCACUGGAAUGCGCUUUUGAUCUGAAUUUUUUACAGGUCAUAGAUAUACAAAUUAUCUCUGUUGUCCUAAUUUUUCAGAAUUUUUGGAGUAGCAUAAGUAUGGCUGGAUUACAGAUUACUACAGACUGUUCUGUUUUUGACAGAUUCUAUUUUCAAUGCAUAGUUUGCUUCUUUCCUAGUUUCUGUGGCUUAUAUUGCUCAAUAUAAAUUGUGGAAAUGAUAUGAUACAAUAGGAAUUGUGUGGAAACAAUUACGAAGCGAUCCAAUGAGUGUUGAAGCUCGCGGCGGGUAUCGUUAUUUUCUGACUGUCACAGAUGAUUUGAGCAGAUAUGGGUAUAUCUACUUAAUGAAACACAAGUCUAAAACAUUUGAAAAGUUCAAAGAAUUUCAUAGUGAAGUGGAGAAUCAUCGUAACAAGAAAAUAAAGUUUCUACGAUCUGACCGCGGAGGUGAAUAUUUGAGUUACGAGUUUGGCCAUCAUUUAAAACAAUGUGGAAUAGUUUCACAACUCACGCCACCUGGAUCACCACAGCAUAAUGAUGUGUCUGAACGACGUAACCGUACUUUAUUGGAUAUGGUGCAAUCUAUGAUGUCUCUUACCGAUUUACCACUAUCAUUUUGGGGUUAUGCAUUAGAGACCACUGCAUUCACGUUCAACAGUGCACCGCCAAAAUCUGUUGAGACGACACCAUAUGAACUGUGGUUUGGCAAUAAACCUAAGUUGUAGUUUCUUAAAGUUUGGGGAUGCGAUGCUUAUGUCAAAAGGCUUCAGCCUGAUAAGCUCGAACCCAAAUCAAAGAAGUGCAUCUUCAUAGGAUACCCUAAGGAAACAAUUGGGUAUACCUUCAACCACAUAUCCGAAGGCAAGAUUUUUGUUGCCAAGCAUGGAACCUUUCUAGAGAAGGAGUUUCUCUCGAAAGAACUGAGUGGGAGGAAACUAGAACUUGAUGAGGUAAUUGUACCUUCUCUCAGUUUGGACAAUAGGUCAUCCGAGAAAUCCGUUCCCGUGAUGCCUACACCAACCAGAGAGGAAGCUAAUGAUAAUGAUCAUGAAACUUCAGAUCAAGUUACUACAGAACCUCGUAGGUCAAACGGAGCAUGAUCCGCACCAGAGUGAUACGGCAAUCCAGUUCUGGAAGUCAUGUUACUUGACCAUGACGAACCUAUGAACUAUGAAGAAGCUAUGAUGAGCCCAGAUUCCGAUAAAUGGCUUGAGGCCAUGAAAUCUGAGAUAGGAUCCAUGUAUGAGAACAAAGUAUGGACUUUGGUGGAUUUGCCCGAUGAUCGGCGACCCAUAAAGAAUAAAUGGAUCUUCAAGAGGAAGACUGACGCUGAUGGUAAUGUUACUGUCUAUAAAGCUCGACUUGUCGCAAAAGGUUUUCAACAAGUUCAAGGAAUUUACUAUGAUGAGACUUUCUCACCCGUAGCGAUGCAUAACUCUGUCCAAAUCAUGUUAGCAAUUGUCACAUUUUAUGAUUAUGAAAUCUGGCAAAUGGACAUCAAAUCUGCGUUCCUUAAUGGAUUUCUUAAAGAAGAGUUGUAUAUGAUGCAACCAGAAGGUUUUGUCUAUCCUAAAGGUGUUGACAAGGUGUGCAAGCUCCGGCGAUCCAUUUAUGGAUUGGUGCAAGCAUCUCGGAGUUGGAAUAUACGCUUUGAUGAGGUGAUCAAAGCAUAUGGUUUUAUACAAACUUUUGGAGAAGCAUGUAUUUACAAGAAAGUGAGUGGGAGCUCUGUAGCAUUUCUAAUAUUAUAUGUGGAUGACAUAUUGUUGAUCGGAAUGAUAUAGAAUUUCUGGAUAGCAUCAAAAGAUACUUGAAUGAAAGUUUUUCAUUGAAAGACCUCGGUGAAGCUGCCUAUAUAUUGGGCAUCAAGAUCUAGAGAUAGAUCAAGACGCUUAAUAGGAAUUUCACAAAGCACAUACCUUGAUAAAGUUUUGAAGAAGUUCAAAAUGGAUCAGUCAAAGAAAGGGUUCUUGCAUGUGUUUUAAGGUGUGUAGUUGAGUCAGCUCAAUGCCCGACCACUGCAGAAGAUAGAGAGAAAAUGAAAGUCAUUCCCUAUGCCUCGGCCAUAGGUUCUAUCAUGUAUGUUAUGUUGUGUACCAGACCCAAUGUGUGCCUUGAUAUAAGUUUAGCAGGGAGGUACCAAAGUAAUCCAAGAGUGGAUCACUAGACAGCGGUCAAGAACAUCUUGAAGUACCUGAAAAGGACUAAGGAUAUGUUUUUUGUCUAUGGAGGUGACAAAGAGUUCGACGUAAAUAGUUACGUUGAUGCUAGCUUUGGCACUGACCCGAAUGGCUCUAAUAACAAAUUGCAUACGUAUUUUUAUUGAAUGGUGGAGCUGUCAGUUGGUGCAGUUCCAAGAAGAGCGUCGUGGCGGGAUCUACGUGUGAAGCGGAGUACAUAGCUGCUUCGGAAGCAGCAAAUGAAGGAGUCUGGAUGAAGGAGUUCAUAUCCGAUCUGGGUGAAAUACCUGGUGCAUCGGGUCCAAUGAAAAUCUUUUGUGACAAUACUGGAGCAAUUGCCUUAAUGAGGGAAUCCAGAUUUCACAAAAAGACCAAACGCAUCAAGAGACGCUGCAACUCCAUCCGUGAUCUAGUCAAGGAAGGAGACAUGGAGAUUUGCAAAAUACAUAUGGAUCUGAAUGUGGUAGACCCGUUGAUUAAGCCUCUUCCACGAGCAAAACAUGAUCAGCACCAAGACUCCAUGGGUGUUAGAAUCAUUAUACUGUAAUCUAGAUUAUUGACUCUAGUGCAAGUGGGAGACUGAAGGAAAUAUGCCCUAGAGGCAAUAAUAAAGUUGUUAUUUUAUAUUUCUUUAUUCAUGAUAAUUGUUUAUUAUUCAUGCUAGAAUUGUAUUGGCCGGAAACUUGAUACUGUGUGGAUACAUAGACAAAACACCGUGUCCUUAGUAUGCCUCUACUUGACUAGCUCGUUAAUCAAAGAUGGUGAAGUUUCCUGGCCAUAGACAUGAGUUGUCAUUUGAUGAACGGGGUCACAUCAUUAGGAGAAUGAUGUGAUGGACAAGACCCAUUCGUUAGCUUACCAUUAUGAUCGUUCAGUUUUAUUGCUACUGCUUUCUUCAUGUCAAAUACAUAUUCCUCCGACUAUGAGAUUAUGCAACUCCCGGAUAGCGGAGGAAUGCCUUGUGUGCUAUCAAAUAUCACAACGUAACUGGGUGAUUAUAAAUAAGCUCUAUAGGAAUCUCCGAAGGUGUUUGUUGGGUUGGCAUAGAUCAAGAUUAGGAUUUGUCACUCCGAGUAUUGGAGAGGUAUCUCUGGGCCCUCUCGGUACUGCACAUCAUAAGAAGCCUUGCAAGCAAAGUGACUAAUGAGUUAUUGCGGGAUAAUGCAUUACAGAACGAGUAAAGAGACUUGCCGGUAACGACAUUGAACUAGGUAUGAAGAUACCGACGAUAGUAUCUCGGGCAAGUAACAUACCGAUGACAAAGGGAAUAAUGUAUGUUGUCAUAACGGUUCGACCGAUAAAGAUCUUCGCAGAAUACGUGGGAGCCAAUAUGAGCAUCCAGGUUACAUGACGAGGAGUCUCGAAAUGGUCGAGAGGUAAAGAUUGAUAUAUAGGACGAUAGUAUUCGGAAACCAGAAGUGUUCUGGGGGUAUCGAGUACGUAUCGGGUCACCGAAAAAGGGUUCUGGGCACCCCCGGCAAAGAUAUGGGCCUUAAUGGGCAAAGAGAGGGACAGACCAGCCCACAAGGGUCUGGUGCGCCCCCAUAUAGGCCAAAAUAGGAGGGGAAGGAAAGAGGAGAAGAGAGAAAGGAAGUGAAGGGAUUCAGCCUCCCCCUUCCUUCUCUCAUCCCUCCUCCUUCCUCCCCCCUUCAAAAGUUAUGGUAAGGGGACCGAAUUGCACUAGGGCCCCAAGUAGGAUUCCUCCUACUUGGGCGUCCCCUUGGAUGCUCCCUCUCCCUCCCACCUAUAUAUAUGAAGGGGGGAGGCACCUAGAAGACACACCAACGUCUGUUAGCCGUGUGCGGUGCCCCCCUCCACAGUUUACGCCUCCGGUCAUAUUCACGUAGCGCUUAGGCGAAGCCCUGCGUGGAUCACUUCACCAUCACCGUCACCAUGCCGUCGUGCUGACGCAACUCUCCCUCGACACUUUGCUGGAUCAAGAGUUCGAGGGACGUCAUCGAGCUGAACGUGUGUAGAACUCGGAGGUGCCAUACGUUUGGUGCUUGAUCGGUCGGUACGAGAAGAAGUUCGACUACAUCAACCGCGUUGACAAACGCUUCCACUUUCGGUCUACGAGGGUACAUGGACACACUCUCCCCCUCUCGUUGCUAUGCAUUUCCUAGAUAGAUCUUGUGUGAGCGUAGGAAAAAAAUUUAAAUUACAUGCUACAUUUCCCAACAUCAAAAGGGUUGGUCAGUGGCUGCCCCAAAUGCUGGAUGCGACCUCUGUCCAGCGCUGGAAUCAGUUGACCACUUGGUGCUCCGUUGCCAUCCAGUCAAUGCUCUCUGGAACAGACUCAUGCUGGCUCCUUUGGCACGCGACUCCCCUGAUAUCAAGCAUUUUGUUUGCCAUGCGGCUGACCAACUUGCGUUCAAGAGUAAAUGAAAUAUUGCUUUUGUGGCUUGUGUUGUCACACUUUGGCAAGUUAGGAAUGCUCGGGUCUUCAGUGCCAAGUGUUGGACAGAGUCAUAUAGCAGGUUUCAUUUUGCUGACUUGAUCCUCCUCUGGAGCAACAGAACCACAAAGUGACAGGACUAGGACGACUUGCAGACUUGGGCUACUAUGAUCGAAGGCUAGAUCAUGAUCAUAUAUAUAUGUUCGUCUCUUUCUUUCUUCCUUCCUUUCUUAGACUGCUCGUGGCCUUGCACCUUGCUGCACUUCACAAGUUAAUGUAACUGCAUUUUCCUCGGCCUUGUGUCUAUUUUGAAAUAUAAGGUAGGCCAUGUGCACUAUGUUGUCUAUAUCCAAAAUAUAUCGAAGAAAUUCAUUGUGGAUAAAUUUUAUGUAUCCAUAACUCGCAUGGCUUCAUUCUCUGGACGUAGAGAAAGAUCCAUUAAAACCAUGAGUUGAUGGGAAUGCGGUAUUGGGACACAAAGUUUCAUAUCCUAGUGCCAUUCGACCCACCACACAUAAUUAGUUGGGGCGUAUGAAUAUAUCUAAAUCUAGUGAUCCAUAUGGAUAUGUAAUCACUACAUCUAUCAACUACAUAGAUAGAUGAUUUUGUACUACCAAUGAUAUAAGUUACCGAAAAGAGAUUCCACCUCUGGAGAAUAGCUGGGUAUCUGCAUGAACCAUUGUGCUACGAUACUUGCUCUUUGUUUCACCACCUUGUUGUUCUCAAUUCUGUUUUCAGAAGAAAACUGGUGUAGGUAUUGCUUAUGAAUACCAUCCCAUUAUUGAACAAGAUUAUUUCUACCUAGAUUAUACCCUUUGCUUGAGUUCAGUGUGAGUGUUGUUCACACUUUGCCAUGGCCAUGGUCUUUGGAUCUGAAUCAUUUGAAAGUUUUUUACAAUCUAGUUGAGCAAUGUAUGUUGACAAUUGUACACUUCCGGUUAUAUGUUUCUCCAGAGUCUAUAUAUGUAUAUAUAGUUGAUGGAAAUACGCUACCCAUGGUGACCGCCCGCGAUUUCCCAAUGCAGUUGAGUCGGGUAUUCCCAUGUCCCGGUUAUCAUGUGCACUAUGACCUGGUUGAUGGAGGUUUCUCGUCCACUGGGUGUAUACUAUGCAUUAGGUGUCUGUCAACGUGAAAUUGACUUGCAUUUACUGAUUCAGAGGCCACGACAUCCUUGCUUGCAAGAAGCUGAAUCCUAAUGUAUUAUUGCCAUACAUCUCCCCCUGUUGCUUUGAACGGGGAGUGGAGUGAUUCUUGUUGGUAUCUUCACUCUUUCAGGCAUAUUUUACAGGAUUGCAGGAUUGUGUGACACAUUUAUAGUCAGAAAAUGAAUCUGGCAGAUUAUUUGCAAUGUGUUGCAAAUCUUCUGAACGGAUGGUUUAUAUCUUUGAGUACGUGGAUUUGAGGCAGAAAUGUGUUAAACAAUUCACUAAUUUUCUGGUAUUCUUAAUGGUAUUUUAACUCUCCCCCUAAUGUCUGGAAAUGUUCCUCAUUGAAUCAGCAUGUUAGCCUUGGAUAACUCCCCAUGUGAGGGGCUUGAGAUAUUAAUGGAAAUACCAAUAUUCCUCACGUAGAUUCCAAAUAUACAUUGAAGGGCUAAUGAUGUAUACCGGGGUGAUGAUAUCGUAUGCAACCGAAUUACCGUGGAUGGGAAAUACUUAAUAGAUUUCCAUGUAUCAAAGAUAGAGGGUAAUAUAUUAUGCAGUUUAGUCAUGAGCGUGUAAAACUACAUGACUCCAACGUAAAGUUGUUAAAUUACAAUUUUAAAGUAAAGAUAAUGCAAUGAGGUUAACUCUUUGGAUAAAGGAUUUUACCAAACCAUUUUGAGUCUAGACAUAUUGAACAGAGUGCUAAACUUCUAUCCUAGGGCCUCGGUCGAGUCCUCGAUCGAUCAAGUUCUUUGACUAGGAGUUAUCCAGGGAUCAAUUGAUCGAGUCGCGAUCUUGGCUUAUUACUCGCUCGCGAUCGAUGGAGCGAGGGUUAUUGGCUCAUUACGCGUUCCAGAUCGGGCACACGAGCUCUGGUGCUUCUUGGCCGGCGUGCUAGCACUUGCUACUCCUCUUCGUAUUCGAAUUCGCCGGGGCGGGAGUUGUUGGAUUUGCUUUGCCUUCGAGCUGUCGCGCGCCGUAUGGGUCUCGCCGUUGAUACGGUGUAGGAGUAUCAUACACCGUAUGAUGAAGUUACCUGGCUGGCUCGAUAUGAUAUACGGUUCGAUGUCCGGCCGUGUCGGUCCAAUCACGAAAUUGAGGCGACCAAGGGGAGCCAGGCUGGCAGCGUCCCCCACAGCUCGACAAUCGGACUCGCUCGCGAACCCUAUACCCAAGGCAUGUGUUGUGCACAAAAUUAUUUGGGGCCUGGCCGGUGCUCGCCGGCGAAUUUCCUGCCGCCUUCUGACGAAGUCAAUAUGUUCUCUCAUAAAAGAACAUCAUCGAUGAUUACGUGCUCAUCGGAUGCAAGUCAAGGAGAAGGAACUUUUGACUCAAAAAUCUGAAAUUGAACUUUUUGUUUGCCAAAAUAAUUAAUAACAGUACUCCAUCCGUCCUAUAAUAUAAGACGUCUUUACAGUUCAAACAAAGCUACUAUAUUUGUUAGAGAAAAACAGUGGCAAAAUAAUUCAUCUUCCUGUACCACUGCAAUAGAUUGCAACUAGUGUAGUGGCCGCGCAUUGCAACGGGGAAUUUUGUAAAUGUUUGAAUGUCUUAAAUUUCAUAAGGGUAAUUCGCCGGCGAACUGUUAUAGGAAAGGUAUCAAUUACAGCAAUACCCCUAGCAAUCAAAUUGUCAUAGGAAAGGUACUCGACAAACAGAAACUUUGCCGAGUGUUGCGCUGGGCAAACAAAAACCAAAACCAAAACCACUAUCAAAUGGUCUUUUUCAUUGUGCCAAAAUAACCUGGGCCGAAAAAACGUCUUACGGGAGUAGCUGUUAGCCAGACCACGAUGGCGACAAUGACCGCUGACUCAUGAUACACUGAUAGAUUGUGUAUCAUGCUAUGAAGGCCAUACAUGCUAUGAUCAGAAACAGUUAGCGGCUAGCAAUAGCAGCAAUAUAACGAUUCACGGAAGUAGUAGAUGGCUCUAUCUGCGGACACAAAUGUAUAAACCUCGCAGAAUAACGAGACAGCAGGACCAGAUACCCAAAAACUCUUAGCAUAGCACAAAAUUAACUAGUUCACCAGGUCAAAUAGCCAUUAAGUAACAAGCAAACUAUUCCAAAAAAAGACCAACUGUUUCGACACUGAAUUUCAAGUCCUAGAUAGGUUCUUUGCCACCGUCACGAUCCCAAGCACUGCUCCGCUUACUUGAAGCACUUGGCGUCCAGCAAGGCCUGCCCCUCGAACGGCUCAAGGUCCUCGAUCAUGGCUUCCACGCGCUUCUUCUGGGCCUCGUCAGAGAGGUCAACCUUGGUCCACUCGUAGAGCUCCAUGUCAUAGACCUCCUUCAUGACGAACUCAGGGAUGUCCUGCCCACGGAAGAGCCACAGCCCCUUGACCUUGAAGGGCGCCUCAGAACCAAUCACGAGCAUCUUGCCAAAAGCAUACUUGCGGCACAGAUCCAUCCGCUGCAGGAACCCGCCGACCUUGUUCAGGGUCACGUACGACACGGUGUUCUCUUCCUGGUACUUGUAGUCACAGAACCACAGAGAGUAGCCCUCUGGGUCAUACAUCUCCCAGAAACCUGAAGCAUAGACAUCAUACAUGAGUUUUGGUUCAUGUUAAGAUCAGAGUUACAAAUGAACAAGG